CUAAUAUGAUGGGAAUUUCUGCGUUAGGUUUGGGAAAAGGAUACUUGGUUCCAUUCUUGGGAUAGACGAUUAUAGCUCCAUGAACGGUGGCUCGAGUCCAGUCACUAUGAGCAUGCCACCAUAGAGUGCCUUCCUCAGAGGAAAGGAUGAUCUUCUGGCUAAACUUUGACCCUGGUUGAAUUGGGCAUUGUGUGAUAUACUCGGGACCAUCUGUCCAUGGAUAUCUAGGCAUGUUCACCCCAUGCCUGCAAAACGAUAACUAUACAUUAAAACUAGUACUAAUUUUUAGACUAACAAAAGAUGGCAUGUAGCAACAUAUUAUCAUAGUAACAAGAGGCAUCAACUAUAUUUCAAUGGAACUGAUGCAAAUAACCCUAAAAUAUUAUUUUAGAUUUAACUUUAUUUGCAAAGCAAUACAUUGCAGCCCCCUCUUAGAAAUAAAAGAAUGUAUGUCAUGCAAGCAUGUUGCCCACUGCUAUCUUUCUCCGAGACAUGCAUAGGACUUACCAGUGAAUGGUGAUAUUUUCUUUUCCCCUGUUAUAAACGUUGACGAUGAUCGUCUCUCCUUUCUUAGCAUAUAUAGUUGGUCCUGGAAAUUGUCCAUUUACUGUUAAGAUGUUCUUGGUGCUACAAAGCCUUGUAUAUGAAGCCUCCUUCACCUGCAACCAAUUAAAAGUUAACCAUGCAACCUCAUCCCAAAAGAAAUAUUACAUGCAUGAAUAGUUGCAUCGAUCCAUUCAUGCAAGUGUAUAACCAAUUAGAAAUUGAUAGCAUGCAUGAAGGACUCAAUGACACCAGGGUACCCGAAGACCCCAUGAGGGUCAUAACGGUGGAAAAUGAGAGCCACACUGCUCCCUAAAUAUUAUGAUCAAAAGGUGGCGUUAAGGCCAUAAUCAUAUAUAGUAUUUACCACAAAAGUAAGCCGACGAGUUGAAGCUUGGCAAUGGAUGCCACCACCAAAAAGUAGAAACACUAAAAUUUGCAAGAGGAAAACCUUCAUGAUCAGCCACAUCUUCUUUGGAAUAAAAGCCUCUUCUCUUGUCCUAAACACAACUGCUUCAAUUUUCUUACUAUUUCUAAUAAGCACGACUUAUCUUCUCUCUGACAUGAAUAGAUGAAUUCUUAAAGGUAUUUAUAGAGGCUGGAGGUGAAAGCUGAACAGCUGGUUUCCUGGGGUACAACCAUUCCUCGCCGCGUAUCAAUAUAAGAGAAGUAAUUUGAAUGUGUAUUGGUUUUGAAAGUUCUUCCAGGACCACUUCAAAGAGCAGGUUGUGUAUGAUAUCUGACCACUUACCAAAAUUUAAAUAAACCAAAUUCCUGAAGACGAGUUUCUUAGAAUCUCUUGAAUUUUCUAAUUCAAAAUACAUGAAAGAUGAUUUUCCUGGGGUACAACAAUUCCUCGCCGCGUAUCAAUAUAAGAGAAGUAAUUUGAAUGUUCUUCAGAAAGCAGGUUGUGUAUGAUCAGCUUCAAUCAGGUUGUGUAUCGUACAAGUUUGACUUUGAGAAUUGACCAAGAAAUUAAUCAAACAUAUUAUUUUAGAAUAAAUUUCAAAUACAUGUAGAAUACUUUUAAAACUUUGACCUCGCAUAUAUACAGUACCUUUAUCAAGAUUAGUCAAGAUUUUCUCUUUGUAUUUGGUAGGAAGGGAAAAGUCAACGCUGCUUUCAGAAGGAAUAUAGGAUUCCAUUAUAGGAAAGAAACAAUCAUUCAAUUAUAGGAACCGGAUCGAAAAUUCCUUGUCCGGUUGGAGGGUCAAUCCAGACAUUCAAAUCAUUCAACAUAUAAAUUAGUUUAAACGGAUAAGAGAACAUUCAGACAUUUUCAAACAUCAAAUCUCCACUUUUUAAAAAAUAAUAAUAAUAAUAAUAAAUAAUUAUAGAUUUAAAAAUAACUUUUUUCAGAACAAAUAAGAAAUAAUUCAAACUUCCUUGUUUGGUUUAUUGUACCAUAUAUAAUGAAAAAUCAUUAUAUAAAUAAAUUAUGCAAAGAUGUAUAUAUUUUAAAAUUAUUUAUAAACAGAAAAAAUGAUGAAUAAAAUUUGAGACGUGAAAAUUUGAUCAAGUUAAUUUAAAAACUUCUUUUAAUUUUUUUCACUUUUUUACUCCUAUUUUUUCACACUAUUUUUUUUCUCACAUUUCCUUUUAAACCUUUGAAAUAAAUUCCCUACUAUUUGUGGAGCUUUAAUAUAAUUUUUUUCUCCAUAUUAUACAUAUUUAUGCAAUGUUUGGUUAAACUAUUUUGAAUUUCUAUUUUUACCUUAACAAGAAACAUUUCUUGAAAAUGAAGAUUAUUUUCUCCUUAUUUUCAAAUUUGUGUUUCUCCACUUUUUUUUUUUUAAAUAAUAAUAAAUAAUUAUAGAUUUAAAAAUAACUUUUUUCAUAACAAAUACAAUAUAUAGCCGGCUUAUAAAAACUAUUAUCUAAAAAAAGGAAAAAAAGAAAAGAAAAGAAAAGUAAAAUAAGAAAUAAUUCAAACUUCCUUAUUUGGUUUAUUGUACCAUAUACAAAGAGUUUUAAAUAAUAAAUUGGAAGAUCAUCCCAAACACUUUAAAGAGUUUUAGAAAUCAAUACUAAAAUCAAUCUUGAUUUAAAACUCCUAAAUAAUUAAUUGUAAAGUUGUUUUCAAAGGAAACCCUUCUUAUCUCGAUUUCCCCUCACUAAGAUACUUCAAAAGUGGAAUAAUAGAUAAGAGUGAACUUAAAACUCAAUUAAGAAAAUUGGUCAAUAAGGAAGAUCAAGUAUAGUACAAAGUUAAAUCUUAGGAGAUAUCACAUCUUUAUAAAUAAAAAAUAAAAAAUCAAUUAGUAGGAGUUCAUUUAAUUCAAUAAUUAAAUUCAUUUUGUUCAAAAAAUUAUGCACUUUCAAUUUAAAGAUAGAAUUAAAUAAUAUACUUUACAUACUUAAAUUAUAUUAAAAAAAUUAUAAACAAACAUUUUACUCCGACUCAUUGAUAAUAACAUUGUGCCCAAAUAGUAGAACUUGCAUUAGGUGGCUAGUCUCACUUUGUGCCUUUUAGCAAUGGACAAAAUGAUUUAUAAUCAAUGAUAUACCAAAGGCUAAUAACACCCUUAUUAGCUAGAGUUACAUUAUAUCACUAUCCUCACCAAAGGUAACGCAGGUCAACAACUUCUCUCUUAAACCAAUGUAAUAAAUUAAAUGAUAAAAUUCAUUUGCAUAACAAUAAACAAAUCAUAUGAUAUUCCCAAUUUAUUUUAUAAACUAAGGAACAAAUCAUAACAUUUUUAGUAAAAUAUUAUUUGAUCCACUUUAAGGAACUUAAACAUUUUGAUAGUUUAAAAAUAGAUGAAAAAAAUUAAGAAAUUAUAAAAUGGUUUACUAUACUAUUAACCAUUACCUUGAAGAAAUCAUUCAAAAUCCUGAAAGACUUAAUCUACACCUAAUAUAAACAUAAAUAAAAAAUAAUCAUUAAAGAUUAAUUAUCUAAAUUAAUGACUUCCUAAUUUUUUUGUAAAACUUACUUUAAUUCCAAACCCUUUUCUAAAGUUCUAUUUUUUGAAUUAAAUUUUUUAUUAACCAUAUUAUUAUUAUCAUUUUCACUUCUCAUAAUUACAUUAAUGGGUUUUGUUGAAUUAUUAAUGUUAAUAUUCCUUCUUCUUUUUUUCAUGGUAGGAAGUAGGUAAUUAUUUAUUAAUUUACUACUAUUUUUACUUAUCUCCUACCCACAACCCAAAUCUUAUUAUAACUUUAUUAUUUCUUUGCCACAACCACUUUCCUCAUUUCCUCAAUUCUUCUUCCUAUUAAUCUCGUGGUUAAAGAAAGGUAAAAGAAUCUAAAAAGAAAAUCAUACAUGAAGAACUUACCUUAAAUUUCAUAAUGAAGCAAAUAAAAAAAGUUUCUUCUUUCUAACCCUUCAAACCAAACUUCUCUAUAUACCUUUCUCUUGUUUCUUUUUCCUCUCUAUUUUAUCUUUUCAAAUUUUAAUAAUGUGGAGAAAUCAAUGGAAUUUAGGGGUGAAUUAUACUUUUAUCGCUAAAAGUAACUUUUAUUGAUGGAAUUUUAGAUGUUGUCAGUGGUGCAAAUUUUUUUUAAAAAAUUUCUAACGAAUUUAAAAAUUUCAUCACUAAAAGACAUGAUGGGAAAAUUUUGGCAUCGUCAUUUUUUUGGCACAAACACUUUUCUGAUAGAAAAAACCUAUUUUCUCAGAAAAGUAUUUGUCACUAAUUAUAAUUUUUGGUGACUAAAAGUUACAACUUUUUAUAUAUAUAUAUAUUUGCUUGUAAAAUGGUUUCAUUAAGUGGUUGUAUUAUUUCUUGACAAAUUGAGUAAUUUUAUCAUUAUUAAAUUGUGAUAUUAAUAAGUAAUAUUGAUAAAUAACUAGAUGAUUUAUAUUGUGAAAUAACAUAUGUAUUUUUUGAGACUUAAUAUUUAUACUGUAAUAUUUUAUUUCUAUUAAUAAUAAUAAAAUAAUUACAGAUUCAUAAAAUGAAAUACUACAAUACAGAUUUAUUUAAAUUUAAACGUUUUGUAACGUAAUAAUAGUAUUGUUAUGAAAUAAUAAAAAGGUAAAUUAUUUAAGCAAUUAAUAUUUAUAUCGUAAUAUGUUAUAUUUUUUUUAUAUAAAUAAUAACAACAAAUAAUUCAAGACAUGUAAGAUUUGUUACUUUGAAACAAACUUUCGAAUCCUAGGUACAUCCUUAAGAAAAUUUGUUACAUUCAAUCCUUGAGCUAACGGGACACCUAUCUCUUUUCCCAUGGUCCAUUUAUUCAUUUGGAGACCUCGAAAAGUGAUUAGAGGUCAUUCCCCACCUUAAAACGAACUUUGACUCCCAUAGUACAUCCUUUACAAAAUUUGGUACAUCAUUCACAAAAAUUCGUACAUCCUUAAAAAAAUUUGGUACAUCUAAUCCUUGACCUAUUAGGACCCCUAUCUUAUUACUCAUGGUUCGUUUAUUCCUUUAGAGAUCUUUGGAAGUGAUUAGAGGUCGUUCCCUACUCCGAAACAAACUUUGGAAAUCCUUGGGAUAACGGGACACUUAUCUCCCUUCUCAGGGUCCAUUUAUUCCUUUGGAGAUCCUUAAGAAGUGAUUGAAGGUCGUUCCCCACCUCGGAAUAGACUUUGGCACCCUUGGUACAUCAUAUACAAAAUUUGGUACAUUCUUCACAAAAUUUGGUACAUCUUCAUAAAAUUUGGUACAUUCUUAAAAAAAUUUGGUACAUCUAAUUCUUGAGCAACUAAGACCUCUAUCUUAUUGCCCAUGGUCUGUUUAUUCCUUUAAGAAUCUUUGGGAAGUGAUUGGAGGUCAUUCUCCACUCUGGAACGAACUUUGGAACCCUAGGGACAUCCUUAAGAAAAUUUGGUACAUCCAAUCCUCGAGUUAUUGGGACACCUAUCUCCAUUCUCAUGGUCCAUUUAUUCAUUUGGGAACACUUAGAAAGUAAUUGGAGGUUGUUCCCUACUCUGGAAUGAAUUGUGGAACCUUGGGUACACCUUUAGAAACUUUUUGUAUUUUUAUGGUUAUGUAAUGGUUUGAUGUUGUUGAUUGAAAUGAGGUGGUUGAGUCACAAUUUAUAAUCAUCAAGGGAAAACAAAUUGUGUUUAUUCAUGACCAGAUGAAAAUGAAUAACAAAUGGAAUUAUUGUCACUUUUAAUGGUAUUAUAUUAUGAAUCAUUUGAAUAGUUUUCUUAAAACAAUUUGUCAAUUCCAAAUGGAUUAUAGCUGAAUUGAAAAAUGAAGGAAUAUAGUUGUAGAAAAGAAGGGUUGAAUUUUUGUGGGCAUUAUGGAAGAAAGAGGUCGAGCCUUAUAUGAAAAACAGAUUGUUAACACUAGGCAUAAUAGUGGACGACCUUUUCAUGUAGGGGCUGACCCUUUUUAGCUUAUAACCCUUAGUCAUGAUAUUAGUUUUAUUUGAAGUGAUUAGUAACAAAAAUAAAGGUGUUGUUCAUAGGCAAUCCCAUCGUGUUUUUAAUAUUGGUUUUGUUUUAUGUGGGUGGUAGGCAGAACAAAGGUUGACCCAUUGUUUAAUAGGUAGGCCUUUGAAUAUGGACGUUAUAACCUUAGAAUAUGGACAGUGAGGAAAAUAGUGGUCAACCCAUGUAUUCAGAGGUAGAGCCUGAACUUAUAUUACAUAUCAAAUAAGUUCCUAACAAAUAAAUAAAUAAAAGUAAAUGCAUUGUGUGAUGUUUGGUAUAGACAAUACAUUUCAAUAUUUAGCACAUUAAUGUCACACCAUAAAAUGUUAAUGAAACAAACUUGGAUUGUUCAUAAUCUGAAUGAGACGUUAAUAUAUGAUGACUAUAUAUGUGACCAUGACAAUUGUUAUAAGUAAUUAGUUUUGACAGGGUUAUUUAAAAAUAUAUAUUUAAAAAACUAAAUACCUAAUGAGGUCUAACUGUGAGAAUAAAAUAAUUUAUGCUUAUUCUAUAAAUGUUGAAAGUAUUUUUGUGAUGAAUAUAUGUAUUAUUGGAAAUAUUUACAAACAUGCCUAGUUUAUUGAUGUGUGUGUGUGUGUGUAUUAAAAAAAAAAAAGUAAAAUCAAGGAUGUUCAUCCUUUCCUCAUAAGAAUGUACAUUGGGUUCUGAAGUCCAUUUUAGGGUAGAGAACAACCUCCAAUCACUUCUCAAUGGUCUUUAAAUGAACAAACCAACCAUGGGUAAUAAGAUAGGGGUCCUGAUAGCUCAAGGAUUGGAUGUACCAAAUUUUGUGAAGAAUGUUACAAAGUUUGUAAAUGAAAUACCAAAUUUUAUAAAGAAUAUACCAAGGAUGCCAAAGUCCGUUCCGAGGUGAGGAACGACCUCCAAUCACUUCUCGAGGGUCUCCAAAGGAAUAAAUGGACCAUGUGAAGGGAGAUAGGUGUCUCAUUAGCCCAAGGAUUGGAUGUAUCAAAUUUUCUUAAGGAUGUACCUAGGAUUCCAAAGUCCGUUUUGGAAUAGGGAAGAACCUCCAAUCACUUCCCAAAGAUCUCUAAAGGAAGAAAUGGACCAUGGGUAAUCAAAUAAGGGUCCUAAUAGCUUAAGGAUUGGAUGUACCAAAUUUUUUAAAGCAUGUUCCAAGGGUGCCAAAAUCCAUUCCAAGGUUGAGAACGACCUCCAAUCACUUUCUAAGAGUCUCCAAAUGAAUCAAUGGACCAUAGGAAAGGAGAUAGGUGUCCCGUUAGCUCAAGGAUUAGAUGUAACAAAUUUUUUUAAGGAUGUACCUAAGGUUCCAAAGUUCAUUUCGAAGUAAGGAGCAACCUCCAAUUACUUCCCAAAGAUCCUUAAAGGAAUAAACGAACCAUGGCUAAUAAGAUAGGGGUCUCGAUAAUUCAAGAAUUGGAUGUACCAAAAUUUUUUUAAGGAUGUACCAAAUUCUGUGAAGGAUGUACCAAAUUUUGUAAAGGAUGUACCAAAGGUGUCAAAGUCUAUUCUGGUAAGGGGAACAACCACCAUUCACUUUUCGAGGGUCGGUCUCUAAAGGAUAAAUAGACCAUGGGAAGUGAUAUAGGUGUCCCUUUAGCUUAAAGAUUGGAUGUACCAAAUUUUCUUAAAGAUGUACCUGGGGUUUAAAAGUCCAUUUCAGAGUAGGGAUCAACCUCCAAUCACUUCCCAAAGAUCCCUAAAGGAAUAAAUAGAUCAUGGGUAAUAAGAUAGCGAUCCUUAUAGCUCAAGGCUUGGAUGUACCAAAUUUUUUUAAGGAUGUACCAAAUUUUGUAAAGGAUGUAUCAAGGGUGCCAAAGUCCAUUCUGAGGUCAGGAACAACCUCCAAUCACUUCCCGAGGUCUCCAAAUGAAUAAAUGACCUCCAUUUGUUCUAAGGUAGGAAAUGACAUAUAAUGACUUCCUAAGAGUUCCUAAGGGAACAAAUGGACCAUGGGAAGGGAGAUAAGGGUCCCAAUAGCCCAAGGAUUGGAUGUACCGAAUUUUCUUAAGGAUGUACCUAGGGUUCCAAAGUCUAUUUACAGGUGGGGAAUGGCCUCCAAUAACUUCUCAAUGGUCCUCAAAUGAUGAAAUGGCAUAAGGGUCCUAAUAGCCUGAUGAUUGGAUAUACUAAUUUUUCUUAUGGAUGUAAUUAGGGUUCCAAUGUUAGUUUCAAGGUGGGGAAUGACCUUUAAUCACUUCCUGAUGAUUAGAUAUACCAAAAUUUAUUAAAGAUGUAUCUAAGGUUCAAAAGUCUGUUUUGGGGUGAGAAAUAACCUCCAAUUACUUCCUAUUGGUCCCUCAAUGAGCAAAAUGACCUUGGGAAGAGAGAUAGGGGUAUAAUUAGCCGGAGGAUUGGAUGUACUAAAUUUAUAUAAGGAUAUAUCUAGGGUUCCAAAGUCUAUUCUAAGGUAGGGAACGACUUGCAAUCACUUUCUAAGGGUCCUCAAAAGAUCAAAUGGACCAUGGGAAUGGAUAUAUGGGUCCUGGUAGCCCAAGGAUUGGAUGUACCAAAUUUUCUUAUGGUUAUACGUAGGAUUCCAAACUCCAUUCCGAGAUGGGAAACAACCUCCAAUCCUUUCCUAAAGGUCUCCAAAAGAAUAUAUGGACCAUGAGAAGAGAGAUAGGGGUUUUGAUUUCCCUAGGAUUGGAUGUACCUAUUUUUGUUAAGGAUGUACCUAGGGUUUCAACAUUCGUUUUGGGAUAAGGAAGGACCUCCAAUCACUUAUCGAAGGUUCCCAAAGGAAUAUAUAGACCGUGAUAAAGGAGAUAGGGAUCCUUGUUCCCUUAGGAAUGGAUGCACCUAUUUUUCUUAUGGAUGUAUCUAUUUUUUUAUGAAAUUAAUAUAAAAGGUUAACUACAAUUUUUUUUUAAUGAAAAAUUAUAUUUUCUUUUAAUUAAAAAUUAAAGAUUUUAAUGAAACAAAAAAUUAGAUCCAUGAUCAAGUUAAAACCAUAAGAAAAAAAGAUAAAAGAAUCAUCACUUACUAUGAUUUUGAUAUGAUAAAUUUAAAAUAAAAAAUAUAUAUAUAUAUAAUAUAAACAAUAAAAUAGUAUUACAAAUAUAUUUUUACUUUGAUGUGUGAUAUGGUUUAUAAAAUAUAUAAAUCUUUUAUUUAGCAUUAAUAUAACAAAUCUUAUAUCAUAAACCUAUAAAUAAUAAAAUAUAUUUUUUAAAUUUAAUCCUUGAUUUAUUAAAAGUAUUACUAUAAUUAAUAUUUAAAAUCAUCAAGUAUAUUAUUUGUGGAAUAAUAUUUUCAUUUUUGGCCAUUAUAUAUUUAUGUUUUUAUAUAACUUGUUAUAUUAACUAUUUAUUAUAUAUUAUUAUUUUAAAGUUAAUAUGUCCAAAAAAUAAUUAAAAUCAAUAAAUAUGGAGAUAUUAGAGAGUUAAAAAAAUAUAAAAUUGAAGAAGUUUUAUGCGAUAAUACAAAGAAAAAAAUAGUUAUUGGUGUACUUGACAACAACAUUUAAUGUGGUAAGUGUACUUGCCCUCAACUUUUGAGGGUAAUUUUGGAACAAAUUCAAAAGCACUAUUGGAGUGCAUGAAUUGGUAUAAAAAAAAUUCCAUUUUACAUUAAAAUUGAAAUAGUAAAACCACAGUUUUAAAAACCAUAUUUUUUAAUUGGUGAUGUACCAAAGCAUGAUUAUCCCAAUUUUAAAUAAUACAAAAAUCAUAAAUUUUAAAUUUUAAUUUUAAUCUUCUUUUAAAAAUUUGUAAAUUUUAAUGUUUAAUUUUUUAAUUUUUUAAUUUAUAAAUUUUAAAUAAUAUAAAACUCAUGGCAUGUUGAAGUGCAUUAAAUGCAUUGUAGUAGCAUAUUGUAUUUUUGUAGCAUAUAUGACAUAGAUGGAAUUGUGUGGAGUGUUUUUUGGGAAAAAAAGAUGAAAAAAAAAAAAUUCUCAAACCCUCACCUAGUUAAGCACCAUUGCAAGUUUGAAAAAAAAAAACCCAAUUUUUAAAAAGAGAGAAAACCACCAUCGCAAACAAUGGCUCACCACAUUUGUACCUGAUGCCAUAUCCUCUUCAACCUUUCAUCAUUUUCACCACCAACCCAUCUACCUUCUUGAAAAGUCAUUUUCCAACUACCAAUCAUACCCACCAUUCUCCAUAACACAUUUGUAUCUAAUAAUAAUUGUGAAAAUGACCAAUUUGAUUAAGCAAAUCACUAAAGGGGGGGAGGGGGGAAUGUGGGAAGAGAUGAAUUAGGUGUUAUAUUUUUUAUUUUAUUUUUUCAAAAGCAACCAAUUAAUAACAAAAAGAAUAAGAGAUAUUAAUUAAGGCAAUAAUUAAGUAAAAGAUAAAGAGAAGAUAUAUGCAAACUCUUUUAUUGUGGUUCAAAACUCCACCUAUAUCCAUUCUUUUUAACCUCCUAAGUAAGUGAGGAUUCCACUAUCAAAGACCUUCAACCUAAGCCUUCAAGCUUUAUAUUUGGAUUCAUGGUCUUCAAUGGGCACUCACAAUCCUUUCAAAUACUUCACCCACUUGAAGUCUCUUCACUCAAAAUGAGUAAAUAAGGAAAGUUCUAAUGCUUUCUAUUAGGACAUUGAGUCUUAUUUAUAUGUUGGCAAUUUUGUUUACUUUAUGUUUCAUCAUAGAAGUCUUUUUAGAUAAUGGCUUGCUCCCCAUUGAAGAUCAAGGGUGGUUGUUCGUCCAACCAAGAAGUCAUACGUAUAUUUAAAAAGGUUUGACUUGUUGCAUAUAAGGCUUCUUUAAGGUAUAAAAGGUUUAGUAUCAUUUUUGGACUUAAAAUGUUUUAAAAUGAUUUUUUAAAAGAAGUAGGGGCUGCUCAAGUGGAAAGGACCGAUCAACCAGUUAGACUACUCAAGUGGUAAGGAUGACUCAAGUAGUCUAAGUCUACUCAAGCAAUCAUAACAGUCCUUUCGAGUUUAGACACAAAUUUUGGAUGAAUUUCACUUGAACUCUAGUUUGAAAACUUAAGUUACUGAAACUCUUUGGAUUAUAAAUACUUUCUUAAUAACCCCUUAAGGGUUAGGGAUCGAAGAUUGAAGAGAUCUUAGAGAUUAAAAACCUUUCAUUCUUAAAAAGAGGGACUCCUUGAUAGAAAGCUUAAAUUGCUAUAUAAUUCAUGAUUUCUCAUUCAAGGAUUUGAAUCUUUAAAUUGUGGGUUGAAGACCAUAAUCCCUUCGAAGUGGCAAAAAGAUCUACUAGGGAGCAACAGGAAGUUGCUACGUCACAAACGUGGAUUAAGUUGUAGGUGUUGAAGAGUAAGUCUUUAGGAUAAAGCAGCCAAGUAAAUUUGUGUAACUUGAUUUUGAAUAGUGGAUUUAGAUUGGUAGGUCUUAGACCUUGUGGGUUUUUUUCUCCAAAGUUUGUGGGGGUUUUUCACAUACAAAUCUUAUGCCUCAUUAUCUAUAUCUUUUAUAUUUGAUAUUAUGUUUGUAGGGUUUUCAUAAAAGGUGCAUAUUUGUAGACCCCUCAUUUUGUCCUCCUAACACAUCUGAUACUUUAUGUUUUCCUAAGCUUCUCUCUUACCCUAUGGUUGUCCCUUAGAGACCCAUUAAAACUCAUAUGAAUUUUUUUCCCUAAGCUACCUUUUGGGACACUUUGUUGAGGGGCUCAUUUGGACUCACAAUGUGACUUUGACAACUUCUCAAGUUAGUUUUUAGGUUAGACUUCACUUAGAUUUUUUUUCCAAGAUAGGGUCACUUAGAUCUUUUUUAUACUAGGAUCACUUGGACACUUCACUUAGGUUGGUUUUCUUGAGUUUGAUUUCUAGGUUUUAGGUUUAGGUGAGUUCUUGACUUGAUUUCAAUAUUUGAAUGCAUGGGGUGAGUAUCAAUCUUUAGUUAUGUGAGUUCAAUGCAUUGAUUUUCUUAUUAUCUAUUACAUUAAGAUUAAUAUUUGGAUUUUGAUUGCAUGCGUUAAAUUUCUUUUAUUUAUUUUUUAUUUAUUUAUUUAUUUUAGAAAAUUUAUGUGAGACUAAUGUUAUGACUUUUAAUUGCUUGAAUUGAUGCUUGAUCUUAAAUAUGCAUACAAUUGACCUUUAAUUUUUAAUUGCAUAAUUUUAAUUUGCUUUAAUUUUCAAUUUCAUAACUUUUACUAAUUUUAAACUUUAUUUUAAUUUUGCAUGAGAUUUGAAUGUAUACUUUGGAGAAGAUCCCUUAGCGUACACGACUGCCCCAAUAAUAGGAUGGAGAUCAAGAAACUUAGGAGAUUCUUUUUUAGUUCAAGUGAUACAACCUACAACCUACAUGUGAACAACAUGCACCCAUUGACCUUCUACAAAAUGCACAGUCUACACAAAAGGAGACAUUUAUGCAACAUAGAUACAGGUUUCUUUUCUAAAAAAAAGUGUAGGCUGCCAUAUGAUAGGGCUUUAAACUAUUAAAGGAAAGUUAUUCAUGAUUAUUUAUUUUUUAUUUUAAAAAAGAAACUUAUAGCACACAUAGGAUGCAAGGGGCCACUUUCUAAAAAGAAAAGGGAUUCUUUCUUUUGGAUGAGGAUGUAGCAUAAAAAGUGAGGACCACUUUGAGAAUGGAGUCCGGUUUGGAGAAGAAAAAAAAAAAAAGACCACACGGUUCCAUGGAGAGGGGAGGGCAUAGUCUACCAUUGAAGGAGAGUUGACAGCCAUGUGUUCCUUGAGAAGGGGGUUCGCUCCCCACAACACACAUUUCAUCCUAAGGAGAGGAGGAUCUUCACACGUUGUCGAUUAGGGAGAAUACAAAUGCACAUGGAGGAUCACUUAUAGCCAUGAAUAAUAGCAGCUCAUCCAUAGCCCCACACACAACCAUGCAUAUUGGAGAAGAACUAGAAAGUUGUCACUUCAAGAUUUACCAUAGGUGCACACAUCAUUUGGAGAAGGUAAGUUAGGUUUUUUUUUUUUUUUCAAUUCUUAAUUUUCAGUUUGCAAGUUAGUUUUCUUUGUAUUUGUUUUGAUUCCACUAGAUUGAAAGUGGGAAUUAUUAAUCUUAGUUAGUUUUAUUAAUCUUAGUUUUGAGUCAUCCUAUAUAGUUUAGACACUUUCAUAAGUUUAGGUUCAUUAAUAAAAUUAAUUUUAUGCUUGAAAGUUCAUGUUUUUAGUUUGCUUUGACUUAGUCUAGCUCAUUUUAAUUAGUUUAAGUACUUUUAUAAUUUUAGUUAUUCUAUGUUUGAAAGUUCAUGUUUUUAGUUUACUUUAAUUUAGUCAAACUCAUUUUAAUUAAUUUAGGUACUUCUAUAAUUUUAGUUUCUUAGCUGAAUUUAUCCCAUUUUUUUUUAGUUUUUAUUUUAAAAUCAUUAAUGUUAGUUCCUAAUCAUCCUUAUCUUAAUUUAUAUGUUUUUAAGAUCCUAGUAGUUAGUUCAUGAAUCGAUAUCUUGUUAGUUUGUCUAAUAUAAAAUGCUUUGCUUGUUGCUUUACUGAUCCUUCAUUUAAUUUGAUUGUUUUUUAGGCCCUUGGAAACUCAUGAUGAUUGGCCUCUACUCUCACCUAGUUUAGGUUGCUAUAAAUUAUCACUUUCUAAUGUUAUUUUCUCUUUUAAAAAGAAAGUCUUUUCCCAAAAUUUUAUUUAUUAAAAUGGAUUUAAAAAACUUCUUCUAUAAUCCUUAGGGUUAAAAAAAAAAAAUCAUUUUCUUAAAAACUAUACAACCAUGUUUUAAUAUAUUUACACCUUUCUUUUAUUUUCAAUAAAAAUUGUGAUUUUUAGUGAAAUAUGAAUCCAAGCUUGUGGUCCCAAACGAAUGGGACAAUUCUUGGCUUUGAUGAGUUUGUCAAUUCUCAUGCAAGGUUGGGAAUCCAUAACCUAAAUUUGUGUAUAACAAAUGAGGAUUUGGUGACUAACCCCUUCAUAAAAUUAUUUUUCAAAAACCUUUUAUUGUUAACUUGUUGGAUUUGUUGCAUCUUUGGAAUAAAAUUUUGAUUUGGAUAAUUUAUGAUAUUCCUAAAAAUUUUCUUGUGGUUGAUGAUAUUAUGAACUUCAUUAACCUCAUUUUAGAAGUUUGAUUGAAUCAAAAAUCAUAUUUUUAAUGGAAAUUAUGAAUUAAUCUUUUGGUAGGUUCAGUUUUUUCCCAAUUCUGGAUACCCAAAUUGUUUUUUGUAUUUUCAAAUUGCUAAAUGACUUUGAAAAAUUAUUUUGACUUUUCUUCCUUCAUUCUAGACUUCUUGAAAUUUAUUUUAUACACAUAAAUAUUUAAAAAAUGUUUUGAUAAUUAGGAAAAAUAUAUUUUCUUUGUUCUACCCACUGUUGGCAUCUUAGAUCUAAGCAACAGAAGCAAUACCAUUUUUUUAAAAAUUAAUAUUUUAGGGUUAAAGAACUAACCUUUAGGUUUUGAGGUUCCCAAACCUUAAAUUCCAAGUGUUGAAGACGAUCCUGAAGUUGUUAGAAGUCUUGUAAACCUAUGAUCUUUCGCCCAAUGACUUAACCUUGUUCUUGGAAAACAAUGAGAAGGAAAGGCGGGUGGAGGCUAUGACUCUCUUUCUCUUUGAAUGGUGAGAGGCAAAAGCUAUAGAAACCUUAAUCCAUAUAGGGUAUUUAUAGGGAACCUAACUAGGCUUAAGUGACUUGAGCCUAUAUGGUCGGGCUUAGGUCACUUAAUCUAUCCCAAAAUGGGUCCUAAUUGAUUAAUUAACCUAAUAGGGCUUACUAAUUAAUAAAUUAGCCCAAUCCAAAGACCUUAUUCACUUACCCUUAUGCAACCUUGAAAAAUUACCAAAACACCCUUAUGCACAAAAGUGAACCUAGAGCUAAUCUGACCCUCAUAAUGCAUUCUAACAAGGUAUAUGAGCUCAGAGUGAGGAUCACUAGGAUCCAUAUAAGUAUUGGCUCCCUCAUAAUCAAAUUUUGAAUUUGAUUCAACAUCCCACUAUAAAAAAUCAACUAAACUCCAGUAUCCUAUGUAAAUAAUAACAAGACACUAAGUGCUCAGGUUCAUGACCUAUUAUCCACUACAUGCAGACUCUCCAUGAACUGGUGUCUGUAAUUUAACAAGGUAGUAUUAUUACCUUUCAAGAUUACCUCUUAAAUCCUUGAGUUAUAGAUCCCACUUAUUAUGUGAUCAAUUGACAUACUCUUACUCUAAAGAUAAUAUGUCAAAUUCCACUAAAGGAAUUAUUAUGGCCACAUAUUUCAUGAUCAUAUUUCUUUCGAUCACCCAAAGGAACACAUUGUCUCAAUCCCAUGAGAUAUCAUGGUGCCUAUAUUGUGAAUUCCUAUUACCAUCAACCUUUAUCAAUAAUGACCCAAUCCAUAUGGAUAUAUAACCACUUUAGGGUCUCACCCAAAUGUUAAACCCUCCUAUUUAUUUUGGAAUAUACUGAAUAUCCUUUUAAGGUUAAAAGUCCAUGCAGUAUGGUAACUUGGUAAAUCAUGAUAAUCGAUAACCUUGUGUCAUGAUUGACUGUAGGCCUUGUCUAAUAUUCAUCACAUACACUAGUGCACUCACCAUAGGAAAUCCAUCCAGAUGGCCAAGACAAGUCACCCCUCCAAUUAGGAGGUGAUGCACUAGAGUCUCUACUAGAUUGCCCAAAUCCAUGAACCAGCGGUGGACAACUUAUCUACUUGCAAGGAACCCAUGACUUGUAUCUUUUGUGCAACUGCUAAUGCACCCAAGUCAUGUACAAUGUAAGAGACAUGGACUAAAUGCUCAAAUCAUUGUUAGUACACUAAAAGGAUAGCAAAGGGAUGGUUAAGUCUAACUUUGUUACAUCAUAUCUUGCUUUCAAAGGCUCAAUCCUAACAAACUCCCACUAGCCCUAAAAGCAAACUAGGCAUCAUAGAAAAAUUUUUGUUCCAUGUCUCAUCACAUCUUUAUACUAUCUCAUUAUAAAGUAACACUUCUUAUUUAUGUGUUUCCUCUUCUGGUGAUACUUCAAUUCUUUAGACCAUGCCAUUGUCCCGUUGUUAUCACAUAACAGGAUCUUAGAUGAUAUAGCCAAGGGAAAUACCAAUAAGCCAAAAGGCUUUCUUUGUUGCUAUAAAAACAACAAAAAAGAAAAACCCCACUUCGAGUGUACACAUACCUAGAGGUAGACUUAUAAGAGUCCUUAUCAGACCGAAGUCCAAUUUCCUAGUAUGAAAUGAGUACUAACUCAUCGCAAAGGAUCACAACAUAUAAUUCCUUAUUUUCCAAAGAUACUAGAGUAUAUGUUUGACAUCUGGCCAAAGCUCUAAUAAGGAAAUGGACUAAUAUCCACUCAUUAUUCAUACAACAAAGCAAAUAUCUGGUCUAUCACAUAACAUCGCAUAUUUAAGGCAAUUCAUUAUAGAGGCAUUGGAUAUCGCCUUAAUGUGAUCUCUCUCCAUAGAUGUCUAAGGUCAUUGAUCAUAAGAAAGACAAGUCUAAAACUAAAUAGUAACAAACCUUCUUAGAGUUUUGCAUCAUAUACUUGACCAAAUGCUCAUCCAUGUAGGUGACAUGGUGCAAUUCUCCUAUUCUUGUAAUCCUGAAGGAUCAUAACCCGAAGAAUAUAUUGCAUCUUCCUCUAGAUUUUCAUCCAGAAUUGAGUAGACUAUUAGUUCUUGACUGAUGACAAUAUCCCUACAUCAUAUCUAAUGAGUAGAUUUUCAUCUACCUGUAAGAUCUUUGAGCAUCACUAUGCUUUCUUGUGUCUUUUUAUACACACAAGGCUAUUUGCUAUGAAAAUGUUUGGUUGUUAUGUCUUACAAAUGAGACACACUGCAAUAGAUAGUAGUAAUAUGAUGGAUUUGAGUAUGAUCACUAUUGAAAAGGUUUUCCAUAGUUGAAACAAAUUUCAAAAUGAAUCGCAAUUCGGAGUUGAAAUGAGGGAGUUGUAGUCGAUUGAAACUAGGUUGCACAAUGAGCAUGGAAGCACAAUGAUGUUGACUUCAACUCAAAAUUGGGGCUACCUCCCAUGAGCUUUUUGAGGCAAACCACAUAUGGUUUUGAAGCUUAAGAAGUCAGAAAUCCAAUACUUCAAACGGAUUUCAAUUUGGAGUUGAAGAAACAAGGGAGAUUUGGUUGAUUGAAGCUAAGUUGCACAAAGGGCAUGUAAUUACGAGAUGGAGUUCAAGCCAAAUUAUUUUUGGUUGUUUGGGCUCAUUUUUUGGGCCUCUUUUUGGGCUCUUUUAGUGGCAAUUAGGCCCGUUGGGUUUUUCUUUUUUUACUAACCCUAUUUUUGGUUGCAGGGCUAUUUUGAUAAUUUGGAUUCUAUCCAAGUUUUAGAUACCAAUUUUGCAACAAGAUCCCUAAGGCCAUGAGAAUUAUUUAUUUAAUUUUCUUUCAUGUCUUUUAUACUUUUUUUUUUAGAUAAUUUAUUAAAUUGGAAUGUGCUAGGACUUAGGAAAUUUUUAUUUUAGGUAAAGACAAGUUGGAAAUAAAUAAGGAACCUACUUCAUUUUCAAAAUUAAACUUUUAGAGAUUUUUUUUUAAAUAAAUCUUUUUAGAUUUUAGAUCUCUAAGAAUCUUUUUAUUUUAAGGAAGAAGUUUUUUUUUUUUUUUUCAGGUUUUUUUGAAAUAAAAUUAUUUCUAUUUAGCACAAGAUUCUAAAAUAAAGAAAUAAAUUAUUUUUGGAAAAAUAUAUGAUAGAUAAUUCAUGAUUAAGAUAGCUUACCAAGAUAUUGUUUCAAAUAAAAUAAAUUAAAAUGGUAAUUUUGGAUUUUCUUAAAAGAAUAAAUUUUCAUGAGUUUUAUUUCCAUUAUUAUUUAGUUAACAAAUUGGUUGUUGUCAUUUGGAAUUUCAAAUUCCUUUUGGGACUUUUUUUUUUGGGUUAGAUAGUUUUCUAAGCUCUCUCUCUCUCUCUCUCUCUCUCUCUCUCUCCUCCCCCCCCUUCCCCCUCUCCCCUAGAGAGAAGGAGAAUGACACGUACAUUGGUCCUCCAGGCUUUUCCUCCUUGAGAGAAAGAGAAAAUCGUUUAGUUUGAAAAUGAAAGUUCAAGGAUAAGGAAUAUGAAAGAUAUCCUUAAUUGGCAUAGGAGUCCCAAUUCAAGUAAUAAAUAAAAGUUUUGGAAAUUUUCAUGAUAGAUAAUUUAUUUUAAGAUGGAUUAUUUUAAAAUUAUCUUAAAGUCUCUCUUCCAAAAUAUUAAGUGGGAGCGGGCCAUAGGCAAGAGCCCAUCUUGAUUUCCAUCCUAAAGAUGGGGUGGCCCAAGGAAUCAAGGGAUAUGGACUAUCCUUUAUGGACAAGACUAUAUAUGUUUAUAGUAAGAGUGGCCAAUCCUAAAGAUAGAACUCUUCACUUCGUAACAUUGAUGUUAAGGAUCUUGAUUACUCAUUUAACUUAGAAAUGAAGUGGUAGAAUCACCUAAAGUGGUCCCACUUGCAUGGGCUAAGGGCUCAACAUAAAGGUAUGUUGAUCAAUGCCUUAGGAUAACCUUUGGAAGUUUAAGGCAGGUUGAUUAAUUAGAGAGGGUCUCUACCUAGUAAUAAGAGUCAUAACCUGCCUAAAGUAAGCUUGAUUCUUAUGAUACUAGGUUACCUUGCAUAGAUACAUAUAGUUUGAGAGCACUACAGUUUUGCUAAAUUAAUUACCAAUUUGCCUUAAAUGCUCAAUUCCUUUUAUUAAUGCAUGGAAUUAUUAUUUUUAUUAUGGAUAUCAUGUCUUUAAUCUAUCACAUUUUAUCUUUUGUUUAAAUUGGACCUAAUUUUAAAUUAGAAAUAAUCUGGAUAUAGUAUUAGUUGCAUAGAAGCUGUUUUUGGUAGAGUUUGUUAUUUCCUUUGAACAAACCUAUCAUCAAGUAAGAGAAACAUAUCAAAGGUGGCAUAAGACGGAUCAAAAGACUAAGUCUCUCAUACUUGGGUCUUUAGAUAAUGUGUUGCAAAAGAAACACAUGUCUAUUGUCGUAGUCUAUGAUAUUCUCUUCAAAGUUGCAAAGGUUAUUUGGUGAUAAGGGCAAGUCAACUAAACAACUUGCCCUUAAGACUAUUAUGAACACUAGGAUUCAUGUUAUCUUAGAGAUCUUACUAGAUUCUUUUGGGAUGGGUAAGAAGAUUCUCAAAGAGUGGAAGGGUGUUCAUAUGGAAGUCAAGGUUCUUCAAGCUCUUCUAACACUAUCUCAAGCUACCUACAUAGAUAAGAUUUUGGUCAAGUGUGUGAUGUGGGAUUCCAAGAAAGGUUUGUUACCUUUUAAGCAUAGAAUUCCCCUUUCUCUAAAUCAGUGUGUGCUAAAACACUUGAGAAGAAUGAGUGCAUGUAGUUAAUACUUUAUGCCUCUGUAGUGGGUAGUCUUAUGUAUUUGAUGCUAUGUACUAGGCCAAAUAUUUUUUUUGCAGUGGGUAUGGUGAGUAGAUAUCAGUCUAAUCUAGUUGCAAAACAUUGGACAACAGUCAAGCAUUUACUCAAGUACCUUAGGAGAAUGAGAGAUUGUGUUUGUGCUCCAAAGUGUUGAGAUAGUUUAAAGGGUGACAUGAUGGUUGACAAGAUACCUUUUGUGAAGAACCUAGUGGAUCUCUUCACCAAGACAUUGUCAGGGAGAGUCUUUGAUGGUCACAAGGAUAACACAGGUUUCAAAUGAGUGUCUAACAUGCUUUAUAGGCAUGAUGUUUUGAGGGCUAGUGGGAGAAUGUUAGGAUAUAGCCCUUAAAAGCAUGGCAUGAUGUAAUAAAUUUGGAAUUCAUUAUUUAUUUAACGAUGUUCCAGUUUCACUUUUAUCGAUCCUUAUUCCAUGUAUUAUACUUUAUGAGCAUUCUUGCCUACAUCUUUUGCAUUGUAUGUGACUUAGGUACAUUAGGAGCUUCAUAGAAGAUCUAAGUCAUGGGUUCCUUACAAGUAGAUGACUUGUUCACAACUGGUUCAUGGGUCUAAGCAACCCAUUAGAAGGGCACCACCUCCUAAUUGGAGGGAUUAGACUAGUCUUGGCUAUCGGGAUGGUUUUUCCAUGGUGAGUGCAUUAGUGUGUAUGGUUACAUAUUGGACAAGACCUAUAGUGAGUCACGACUUAAGGCUAUCAANNNNNNNNNNNNNNNNNNNNNNNNNNNNNNNNNNNNNNNNNNNNNNNNNNNNNNNNNNNNNNNNNNNNNNNNNNNNNNNNNNNNNNNNNNNNNNNNNNNNAUAUUGGACAAGACCUAUAGUGAGUCACGACUUAAGGCUAUCAAGUAGUCAUGACCUCACCAAGCUGCUUCAUUAUGUUGUCUCUCAACCUUGAGAGAAUAUUAAGCUUGUGCUAAAGUUAGUAAUGACUUUGAUCUACGGGUAAGAACAUAAGCUGAUCAUAUAUUCCCUAUGGAUUAGGUCACUACUGAUGGAAGCCGGUAGCAAUAGGUAUUCUCAAUAGAGGCACCAUGAUAUCUUUUAGGAUCGAGACAGUGUGUCCCCUUUGGUUAUCAUAAGGAGGUGUGUUCAUGGAAACUAUGGUCAUAGUAGUUCCUUAAGUAAAACUUGACAUAAACUCUUUGAGAGUUAAGAUAUGUAAAUUGAACAUACAAUGGGAGGAUCCGUAACUUAAGGAUGGUAAAGGUCUUGAAAGGCUAAUAGAUUUCACCUAGUUAGACUAUGGACACCAGCUCAUAGGAAGACUGAACACAAUGGAUAGCAAAUCAUAGACCCAAGCACUUGGUGUCUCAUUGUUAUUUACAUAGGAUACUGGAGUUCAGUUGAUUCUCUAUAGUAGGAUGUUGAAUCAACUUUAGAAUUAGAUUCUAAGGGAGCUAGUAUUCCUAUGGGUCCCAAUGGUCCCCGCUCUGAGCUCAUUUACCUUGUUGGCAUGGGUUAUGAGGGUCAGAUUGGCUCUAGGUUCACUUUUGUGCAUAAGGACGUUUUGGUAAUUAAGUAAAGUUGUAUAGGGAUAAGUGAACAAGGUCUCUAGAUUGGGUUAAUUGUUUAAUUAGUAGGCCCUAUUGGGUUAAUUAAUCAAUUAGGACCCAUUUUGGGCUAGAUUUAGUUACCCAAGUGCAUGUGGGCUCAAGUAAGUUAAGCCCACUUAGGAACCCUAUAAAUACCCUCUAGGGGCUAGGGUUUCCAUAACUUUUUGUCUUCCAUCAUCUAGAGAGAUAGAGAGUCAUAACCUUCACCCUCUUUUCCUCUCCAUCGAAAGUGUGUGAAGAUCAAGGUUCGAGUCAUCGGGCAAAAUAUCGUAGGUUUAGAGCAGGUUGUGUAUGAUAUUUGAUUACUCACCAAAAUUUAAAUAAACCAAAUGCCUGAAGAAUUCUAAUAAUUGUGAAAAUUUCUCACAGCUCAGCUUCAAUCAGGCUGUGUACCAUAGAAGAUGAGUUUCUUAGAAUCUCUUGAAUUUUCUAAUUCAAAAUACAAGUUUGACUUUGAGAAUUGACCAAGAAAUUAAUCAAACACAGUAUUUUAGAACAAAUUUAAAAUAUAUGUAGAAUAUUUUUAAAAUUUUGACCUCGCAUAUAUACAGUACCUUUAUCAAGAUUAGUCAAUAUAUGUAGAAAAGUCAGCGCUAUAUAAUCAUAAUCCAUCAAAGAUACACUAUUUGCUACUGUGGGCGUACCGGCCAUUAGUAAUGGGCCAAAAUGUUCUCCAUGAUUAAAAAUAAAAUACAAUCAUGGCAUAAAAAUCUUGACCCUCAUUUUCAAGAGGUGACUUUCUCCAAGAAAGAAUUAUUUUCCUUUUUAUUUUCUCAUGGGGAGAAAGUUGGAGAUUCACAUUGUUUAUAUUUUUAUAAUAGUUUUAGAGUAGUUUUAAAGCUUCCAAAAAUUUCUCCCUUAUUUUUAUUUAGUAGGUUGGCUCAGUCCACUUGGUACCCAAAAACAAACCCAAUAAAUAAUUAUUUAUUGAAUUUGGUCAAUCCCAAUGUUUUCAAAACCGAAUUAGACAUUGAAUUAGAAAAAUUAUCGAUUCAUAGUUCACUGGUCAGACUAGUGACCGAACUGGUGACAUCAUAAAUACAUAAUUUAUAUUUUAUUAAAAUUAAAAAUAAUUUUAAAAUAUAUAUAUAAUUAAAAAUUAAUAAUAUUUGUAAUAUUAUUUAUUCAUUUUAUAUAAAUUUAUUAAUAUUUUAAAUUUAUUAAUAUAUGUAUAUAUAUAUAUAUAUAUAUAGAAUAUUUAAAUAUGAAAAUAUAUUGAAAAUGGGUAUAUAUAUAUAUAGGUAGUCUUUGAGUCAACAUGCAUAACAAGAUUGGACAUCAAUUAAUUCAUUUAAUAAUUAUGUUGAUUAGUUUAAUUAUACUUUUUAAAAUAUUUAACUCAUAUUUAACACAUUUUUAAUUUGAUUUUAAAUAAAUAGGUUAAUUGAGUUAUAAAUAUAUUAAUCAUAUAAAUUAACACAAGACCUAACUCAACCUAAUUAUUAAAUGGGACAAAUGAGUUAUACGAUAUGUUACUUGUUUAGUAAUUAUGUAGUAUUUUAGGUUUACGUUUUUAAUCAAAUUAUUAUUCGUGUCAAGUUUGACAUAACACACAUAUGACCCACCAACACAAAUUGUAACCCCUAAGCUUGUUCACUCAAAAAGUAAAUUUAUACUAAUAUUUAAUUACCUAGUUUAAACUAGUAGGAAUAUUUUUAAAUUAUUGCUUAGUUUUUUUAAAAUUUUUAAUAUUGACAUAUGUAUAUAGUUUCUCUAAAGACAUUUCAUUGAUGUAGAAUUCCAAAUAUAAUUUGUCUAUAUAAAGAUAUCAUAUAUUUUUAAUAAAUAUAUAUUGUAAGUUAAAUAUUAUAUUGUAUAAUAUGUUGUACUAUAUGCAUAAGUAAUACAUUACUAUUUUACAAAAUAAAAAAUACACUAUAUAAUAGUAAUAUAUUAUAUACAUAAAAAGUUUUUGUGUGUAAAGUAUCCAACCACAUUUUAAUUAAUAAUUGAUUAUUUUAUUUUUAAAUAAUCUAAUUAUGUAUUUAUUAUUUUUAAUUAUUAAUAACUAAUUUUUCAAAAGUGAUUUGUUAUUAAGAAUAAAAUCAUAAAUUAUGCCAUAAAAGUAGUAAUUGUUGUACAUACUAAUUUGUUAAGGAUUAUUAUUAUUAUUAUUAUUAUUUUACUUGCAUACAUUGUUUAAUAAAAUAUUUAUUUUAAGUUUUAAAUUCCUUACUUUAAAUUUUCAAUUUUAUUUUUAGUCUAAUUUUUAAUCUAUAAAUUCUAAUUUUUAAUUUUUAAAAUUUUAAUUCCUAAAUUUUAAAGGGGAAAUCAUGUAACCAUACAUCACCAAUAAAAUAAAUAAAUGAGAUUUUUAGAACUUUGCUUUUACCUUUUUAAUUUUAAUGUAAGAUGAGAAAAAAUAUUGCCUAUUCAUGUAUUUCAAUAGUGCUUUCAGAUUUGUUUCAUAAUUACUCUUGAAAGUAAAUGACAAAACACACAUCACUUUAAUACCACCUAUUGACAAGUACAUGAAUAAUUUAUUUUUCUUAUUUCUCUCACAUCAACUCUCUCACAUGUCUCACUUACCACUUGCCACAUUUCCACUUUUUUCUUUUUUCUUUCUUUCUUUUUUUCCCCCUCUUUUACCACCAUAAUCCUUAGUCACCUAUUAUAUUUUUCACUACUAUUUUUUUUCCUUUGAUAUUCUUUUUAAUAAGCUCAUAUAUUUUGUCAUAAAACUUCUUUAAUUUUAAUUUUUUUCACUCUCUAAUUUCUCUAUAUUUAUUUAUUACAAUUAUAAUUUUUUGGACAUAUUAUACUUAAAAUGAUAAUGUAUAAUAAAUAGUUAAUAUAACAAAUAAAAUAAAAUAUAUGUAUAAUGGAAAAAAAUGAAAAUAUUAUCCCACAAAUAAUGUACUUGAUGAUUUUAAAUAUUAAUUAUAUGAAUAUAUUUAAUAAAUUAAGGUUUAAAUUUAAAUAUUUUAUUUUAUUAUUUAGAGGUUUAUGAUAUAAGAUUUUUUUAUAUUAAUGCUAAACAAAAGAUUUAUUUAUUUUGUAAAUUCUAUCACAUGUAAAAGUAAAAAUAUCUUUAUAAUACUAUUUUAUUAUUUAUAUUAUUUUUAAAAUUUUUAUUUUAAAUUUAUCACAUCAAAAUCAGAAUAAGUUAUUGUGCUUUUAUCUCUUUUCUUAUGAUUUUAAUUUGAUUUUGGAUCUAACAUUUUGUUUGUUUAAAAUCUUUAAUUUUUAAUUAAAAUAAAAUAUAAAAGAAAAUAUAUUUUCAUAAAAAAAAUUGUGUUUAACCUUUCAUAUUAAUUUUAUAAAAAAUAAGUACAUCCAUAAGAAAAAUAGGUAAAUCCAUACCUAGGGGAAUCGAGACCCCUAUCAUCCUUGUCAUGGUCUAUAUAUUCCUUUGGGACCCUUGAUAAGUGAUUAGAGGUCCUUGCCUACCCCAGAAUGAACUUUGGAAUCCUAGGUACAUCCAUUCUUAAGAGAACCAAGACCCUUAUCUCAAUUCUCAUGGUUCAUAUAUUCCUUUAGGGAUCCUCGAGAAUGAAUUAUAGGUUGUUCUUCACCUUGGAUCAGACAUUAGAACCCAAGGUAUAUCCUAAAGAAAAUUUGGUACAUUUGAUCCUUGGGCUACCGAAACCCUUAUAUCCCUUCCCAUAGUCUAUUUGAUACUUUGGGGACUCUUGAGAAGUGAAUGGAGGUCGUUUCUAAUCUCGGAAUGGACUUUGAAACCUUAAGUACAUCCUUAAAAAAAUUUGUUACAUCAAAUUCUCAAGCUAUCGGGACCCUAUCUCCUUUCCCAAGGUCCAUUUGUUCAUUUAGGGAUCCUCGGGAAGUGAUUGGAGGCUAUUCCUCACCCCAAAAUGGACUUUUAAACCCUAAAUACAUCUUUAAGAAAAUUUGGUAUAUCUUAUCCUCUGGCUACCCCAUAUCGCUUCUUAUGGUCCAUUUGAUCAUUUAGAGACCAUUUAGAACUUCUUAUAUAAACAAAAAUAGAAUUAUAAAAUUCUUAUAAGAAAUAAAAUUUUUAUGACUUCUACAUGAAACCUUUUUUUUUUAAGUUAUAAGUUUUUUUAAAAAUAAUUAAAUAGGUAUAAAAACUUUUAUUUAACUCUUAAAAGUCAAUCCAAAUAAAAUUUAUAUAUAUAUAUAUAUAUAUAUAUAUAUAUAUUUGAAAAUCACUUUUAAAAAUCCAAAAAAUCACUUGAAAAUACUUUCCAAAACUUUUUUUAACUUACAUUUAAAAAAUAAAAAAUAAAAAAUGAUUAGUUUUUACUAGUUAUUUAAAUUUCAGGAAGCGAGAAAGAAUUUACUCUGAUGUAAAAAAAAUGAGAGAAAAGUAAUUAAAUCACUAAAAAAUAGACUUGGAGUUCCUUUGGUGUGCGGUUAGACUCAAUUUGUCCCCAUGCAAUGGAAAUGGACAAUAUUUUAUUUUUUUAUUUUUUUCCUUUUCCUUUAUGUUGGUGUAGUCUUGUGAUAUUGUUACUAAAAUAGGAGGUAAAAAUAUAAAUUAUACAUCCAUUAUUUUAAAUUUAGAAAAAAGUGCUUAUUUUAAUUUGAAAUAAAUAAAUAGAAAAAAAAACUGAUUUUAUCUCAAUUGUGUAAGACUUCAAAAAAAAUUUCUUAUUUGCAAAAUAUUUUGAGUUGUAAAAGUAAAAAUUAAACAAACCAUUUCAUGACCUUUUUCACAAGUAUCCAUUUAGAUCAUAGUCUAGUUUUAAAAUAUUUGAAUAAUCCAAUUACUCUAAACUAUAUCAUUUAUAAUUUUUUAAAUUAUUACUAUCAUACCUAACCUUGUAUGGAAUUGGAAUAAAAUAUGGAUAAGUAAAAGAUGUCAAAUGAAAGAUAAUUUCAAACUUUUCUAAUACAGCAUGAUAUUUUAUCAUGUUGAAUAAAAUUGGAAUGGACAAAAGUUGUCAAAUCAAGACUUCCAUGGCAAAUUCCACCAUUGCAUAUCUCAAAUAUUAUUCUACAACAUUAUCUUUGUAGACUUUUAACAAUCCAAGAAAUUGACAAAUUAUAUAAUAAUCCCAAACACAAUAUUCUACAACUUUACAAUAUUCUACAAUUUUUUGGAAUAAAAAAUAAAUAAUGAAAUCUACAACUUUAAAAUAUUCUACACUUUUUUUGAACAAAAAAAAAUAAAUAAUGAAAUCUUUGGCAUGUUAAUUCUUUGCAGCUUCAACAUGGUGGCAUGUCGGAUGGCGGAGGCAGCAUUUGAGCUUCUGGGUGUUUACAAUAUCUAUUGUUGUUAUUUAAAGGAAUCAUUGAAAUGAUUGCAUGAAAGAUUUAUUCCAUAGCCUAAAAUAAAUAUUGGCUUUAUAUAUAUAUAUGUGUGUGUGUGUGUGUGUGUGUGUGUGUGUGUUUGCUCAAAUGAUAGGCCGGUUUUAAGCCAUAAUAAUAAUAAUUGUAUUAUUGUAUUAUUGAAAUAAAAAGGUUAUUGUAUUAUUAUUUAUUUUUUUGAUUGAAUAGAAAAAAUCAAAAUAUUUGAUUUCUUUUUAUUCAACUAAAAGUAACUUGUUGAUAUACAAACACCCCAUCUCAGUGACUAUCAAACACGUACUCUUGUUAACANNNNNNNNNNNNNNNNNNNNNNNNNNNNNNNNNNNNNNNNNNNNNNNNNNNNNNNNNNNNNNNNNNNNNNNNNNNNNNNNNNNNNNNNNNNNNNNNNNNNUAAGCCAUAAUAAUAAUCAUUAUUUUACUUAUUAUUGAAAAAUAUAAGGUUGUUGAUAUCAACAAGUUACUUUUAGUUGAAUAGAAAAAAAAAUAUUUUAGCUUUUUUUAUUCAAUAAAAAAGCAAACAUAUCUAAAUUUAUAUAAUAAAAAUGCUUUAACUAGAAAUGAAUUUCAUAUGGACCACUAUCAAAUACCAUGCAUAGGGAGAAAUCCAGAUCCUCACUUGCUCUUUGAUUUUAAUGCAUUGAAUUUGAUGUUGCCUAAAACAAAUUAUAUUUCAUGUCCUGUAUUAUGAGUAGACAACCAUUCCUUAUGUUGGAUUUUAGAUAAAGAAUGGAUAUUGGAGAUUGGAGUUGUAAGAAAUUAGGAGAUCCUAAUUUUAAAUAUGUAACAAAGUUCUAUAAUCGCCUCAAUCCAUGUUUUAAAAAUUGUAUUUCUUUCUAAUAUUGGAGCAAACUUUUUCUUUGUUUCUUAUAAAUUUCAUUUGGGAAUGAUUUAAAAAUAAAUAAAUAAAAUCCCUUCUAAAUAUUAAAAAGUAACACUUUCUUAUAAAAAUUAAUUAGGUGGAUGGUAAGGUAAAAUUCAGGAUAACUUCAUAUUUUUUGCUUUAAUUGAAAAUUAAAAUCAAAAUUAAAGUAAUAAUUUUUAAGGGGAAAUAUUGAUAUUGUAAAACUUUUAUUAAACAUGAAAUAAUUUCUUAUAUAAACAAAAAUAGAAUUAUAAAAUUCUUAUAAGAAAUAACAUUUUUAUGACUUCUACAUGAAACCUUUUUUUUUAACUUAUAAGUUUUAAAAAAAUAAUAAUUAAAUAGGUAUAAAAACUUUGAUCUAACUCUUAAAAGUCAAUCCAAAUAAAAUUUAUAUAUAUAUACAUUUGAAAAUCACUUUUAAAAAUCCAAAAAAACACUUAAAAAUAAUUUCUAAAUAGUUUUUUUAACUUACAUUUAAAAAACAAAAAAAUUUAAAAUGAUUUGUUUUUACUAGUUAUUUAAAUUAAGGAAGCAGGAAAGGGUUUGCUCUAAUGUAAAAUAAAAAAAAAAAAAAAUGAGGGCUGAAAAGUAAUUAAAUCACUAAAAAUAGACUUGGUGUUCCUUCAGUGUGCAGUUAAACUCAAUUUGUCCCCAUGCAAUGGAAAUGGAAGAUUUUUUAUUUUUUAUUUUUUAUUUUUUUCCUUUUCCUUUAUCUUGGUGUGGUCUUGUGAUAUUGUUACUAAAAUAGGAGGUAAAAAUAUAAAUUAUAUAUCAAUUAUUUUAAAUUUAGGAAAAAAAAGUGCUUAUUUUAAUUUGAAAUAAAUAAGUAGAAAAAAACUGAUUUUAUCUCAAUUGUGAAAGACUUCAUUAAAAUUUUCUUAUUUGCAAAAUAUUUUGAGUUGUAAAAGUAAAAAUUAAACAAAUCAUUUCAUGACCUUUUUCACAACAUGAUAUUUUAUCAUGAUGAAUAAAAUUGGAAUGGUCAAAAGUUGUCAAAUCAAGACUUCCAUGGCAAAUUCCACCAUUGCAUAUUCAAAGACUAUUCUACAACAUUAUCUUUGUAGACUUUUAACAAUCCAAGAAAUUGACAAAUUAUAUAAUAAUCCCAAACACAAUAUUCUACAACUUUACAUUAUUUUUUUUAUUUUAAUACAAGAGAAAUCCUUAGUCAACAAUUUUUUUGAACAAAAAAUAAAUAAUGAAAUCUACAACUUUACAAUAUUCUACAAUUUUUUUGAACAAAAAAAUAAAUAAUGAAAUCUGAAUAAUGCAAACAAUCACUGAAAUCUUUGGCAUGUUAAUUCUUUGCAGCUUCAACAUGGUGGCAUGUCAGAUGGCGGAGGCAACAUUUGAGCUUCUGGGUGUUUACCAUUUUUCACUAUGAACGCAGUUUCCAUGCCCCAAGUCAGAUGGCGUUCUACAUGGCAGUGCAUGAACCACACCCCUGCAAUAGAGAAAACAUACCAACAUUACACCUAAUUUAUUGCAAUAUUAAGAAAAAUUAUUCCCUUGGUAUGCAGGUUGGCAGUUUCAAGGGUUUUUUUUAAUAGAGGACAUGAGUGCUUGCAACAUACCAGGGUUGGAUGCCUCGAAUCUGAUUGCAACCCAACCAUUCGUAGGAACAGAGAUGGUACUCUGAAGGGGAGGAUCCACUAGAUUAUAGCGCAAAGGGUCCCUAUUUUUAUCAAAAUUCCCAAAUCCCCAUCCAACAAGGUAGAAUCUAUAUCCAUGGAGAUGCAUGGGGUGGUGUGUCCCUGAAACCAAGUUUGUCCCUUGAAAAACAAUCUCCACUGUGGAGUUAUACUCGACCACCCUUACUUCUGUUCCAAUUUCCGGCGUUUGAUACUCCAAUGGAAGAUAAUCAGCUGUAAAAUCGAACACCAAUGGUGGAACGCUAGGAAAUUUAUCUCCAUAUACACCACUGAUGUUAUAAUAGUAAGCUUGUAGUAUGUCAAUCGUAGGGGAUUGGAAGCUUAUGUUGUUUAUACUUGCAGAGAGCCGCGUCCCAUUGGGCCCUGCACAUGAAUUAUUGGGGCAUAGGAACGAGUUUACAGAAAUAGUGUAAAUUAGUUUAGUGCUCGGGCUCAAUGGGACAUUGGAAGGAUGUUCCGCAUCUGCUAAGCUUCGAAGGCUAGCCAUGACCUGAACCGAUGCAUUUGUGUCAUUGUAUGCAGGAAAAUGAGGCAAAGAGGGAGGUGAAGAUGGAGUGUAGUAUCCUCUGUAUUGUACAAUAGCUGUGGUGGUUGUGUUAUCAUAAAAAUUUUGAGCUACCGGGGCAAUGGAAUAAGUUUUAGCCGCCAUGUAAUAGUGAUCCAGGCGUUGGUUAGCUUCUAGUAAGACAUCGAAGGUUUGGCCAGGAUAUAUUGUGAUAUAAUCUUGUGUCAAUGGUUUCGUGUAGCUACCAUCUAUUCCAACCACUGUCAUUUUAUGCUUGGCAAUUGAGAAGAAGAGAGCCUCUUGCAAAGCAGCAUUGAUUAUGCGAAGUAGAUAGGUCUUUCCAUGAUCCACCGUUAGCUUGAAUGUGCCUACAAUUAGAAAAGGAAAGUUGUAUACUUACGACUAGCGAAAAGAAAAGGAAAAACUUUCCAUGAGUAUCCACUAAUUAUGAAGUGAUUGAUUGAUUAGGGGUGUAAAUUUGGCUCCACAGUUCAAAAUUAUAUUUAGACUAGCCUUUUCAUAUGUGUUAAAUCAUGGCUCUACCAUCCUCAUAACUAUAUUCAUCUUUCUUAGCAUUAAGUUUUAAAUAUGUUGAUGUUAAUAAGAAAAAGUAAUAUGGUUAACAUACAAGAAAAUGAGAUCAGUGUACAAUUUUAAAAUGGGAAGUUAAACUUUAUACUUGAUUUUGAGCAUGGAUAUAGAUCACCGGGUUGUCCAUUUAUCAAUAAAGAAUCAGAGGCAUUGGGGUCAGCUCCGGUUGCAAGCCCUUCAUCUCGAACCGCAUUCACAUCACUCUUCCACCAUUGUCCUGCAUUUCAACAACUCCAAUAAUUUAGAUUUUGCUUUGUUGGUUAAUUCAUGAUAUGUAAAUUAACCUUUAAAAGCAACUACACUUAUACCUAAUAUGAUGGGAACUUCUGCGCUAGGUUUGGGAAAAGGAUACUUGGUUCCAUUCUUGGGAUAGACGAUUAUAGCUCCAUGAACGGUGGCUCGGGUCCAGUCACUGUGAGCAUGCCACCAUAGAGUGCCUUCCUCAGAGGAAAGGAUGAUCUUUUGGCUAAACUUUGACCCUGGUUGAAUUGGGCAUUGUGUGAUAUACUCGGGACCAUCUGUCCAUGGAUAUCUAGGCAUGCUCACCCCAUGCCUGCAAAACAAUAACUAUACGUUAAAACUAGUACUAAUUUUCAGGCUAACAAAAGAUGGCAUGUAGCAACAUAUUAUCACAGUAACAAGAGGCAUCAACUGUAUUUCAAUGGAACUGAUGCAAAUAACCCUAAGAUAUUAUUUUAAAUUCAACUUUAUUUGCAAAGCAAUACAUUGCAGCCCCCUCUUAGAAAUAAAAGAUUGUAUGUCAUGCAGGCAUGCUGCCCACUACUAUCUUUCUCCGAGACAUGCAUGGGACCUACCAGUGAAUGGUGACAUUUUCUUUUCCCCUGUUAUAAACGUCAACAAUGAUCGUCUCUCCUUUCUUAGCAUAUAUAGUUGGUCCUGGAAAUUGUCCAUUUACCGUUAAGAUGUUCUUGGUGCUACAAAGCCUUGUAUAUGAAGCCUCCUUCACCUGCAACCAAUUAAAAGUUAACCAUGCAACCUCAUCCCAAAAGAAAUAUUACAUGCAUGAAUAGUUGCAUCGAUCCAUUCAUGCAAGUGUAUAACCAAUUAGAAAUUGAUAGCAUGCAUGAACGACUCAAUGACACCAGGGUACCCGAAGAGACCCCAUGAGGGUCAUACGGUGGAAAAUGAGAGCCACACUGCUCCAUAAAUAUUAUGAUCAGAAGUGGCAUUAAGGCAUAAUCAUAUAAAGUAUUUACCACAAAAGUAAGCCGACGAGUUGAAGCUUGGCAAUGGAUGCCACCACCAAAAAGUAGAAACGCUGAAAUUUGCAAGAGGAAAACCUUCAUGAUCAGCCACAUCUUCUUUGGAAUAAAAGCCUCUUCUCUUGUCCUAAACACAACUCCUUCAAUUUUCUUACUAUUUCUAAUAAGCACGACUUAUCUUCUCUCUGACAUGAAUAGAUGAAUUCUUAAAGGUAUUUAUAGAGGCUGGAGGUGAAAGCUGAACAGCUGGUUUCUCUCCAACUUUUGCUGUAUUUCUUUAAUAUAUAAUUCAGAAUCUAUUGAAGAUGAUUUUCCUGGGGUACAACCAUUCCUCGCCGAGUAUCAAUAUAAGAGAAGUAAUUUGAAUGUGUAUUGGUUUUGAACGUUCUUCCAGGACCGCUUCAAAGAGCAGGUUGUGUAUGAUAUGAAGACGAGUUUCUUAGAAUCUCUUGAAUUUUCUAAUUCAAAAUACAAGUUUGACUUUGAGAAUUGACCAAGAAAUUAAUCAAGCACAUUAUUUUAGAAUAAAUUUAAAAUAUAUGUAGAAUACUUUUAAAACUUUGACCUCGGAUAUAUACGGUACCUUUAUCAAGAUUAGUUGGCGCUGCUUUGAGAAGGAAUAUAGGAUUCCUUCUCAAAUCAUUCAAAUCAUUCUAAUGAACCGGAUCGAAAAUUCCUUGUCCAGUUGGAGGGUCAAUCCAGACAUUCAAAUCUUUUUUUCUUUUUCUUUUUUUCUUUUUUGAAUAUUAAAAUUAGGUAAGCAAUGAAAUCAUUCAAUAUACUCAUCUAUUGUUCAUAACAUCAGCAUCUGCCAAUUGUUUAUUGUACAUUUUCAAACAUUCAGACAUUUUCAAACAUCAAAUCUCCACUUUUUUAAAAUAAUAAUAAUAAUAAUAAAUAAUUAUAGAUUUAAAAAUAACUUUUUUCAGAACAAAUAAGAAAUAAUUCAAACUUUCUUGUUUGGUUUAUUGUACCAGAUACAAAGAAAAAUCAUUAUAUAAAUAAAUGAUGCAAAGAUGUAUAUAUUUUUAAAUUAUUUAUAAACAGAAAAAAUGAUGAAUAAAAUUUAAGACGUGAAAAUUUGAUCAAGUUAAUUUAAACUUCUUUUAUUUUUUUUCACUUUUUUUCUCCUAUUUUUUCACACCAUUUUUUUCUCACAUUUCCUUUUAAACUUUUGGAAUAAAUAUUUAUUUGUGGAGCUUUAAUAUAUAUUUUUUUCUCCAUAUUAUACAUAUUUAUGCAAUAUUUGGUUAACCUAUUUUGAAUUUCUAUUUUUACCUUAACAAGAAACAUUUCUUGAAAAUGAAGAUAAUUUUCUCCUUAUUUUCAAAUUUGUGUUUCUCCACUUUUUUUUUUUUUAAAUAAUAGUAAUAAAAAAUAAUUAUAGAUUUAAAAAUAACUUUUUUCAGAACAAAUACAAUAUAUAGCCGGCUUAUAAAAACUAUUAUCUAAAAAAAGGAAAAAACAAAAAAAGGAAAAGUAAAAUAAGAAAUAAUUCAAACUUCCGUAUUUGGUUUAUUGUACCAUAUACAAAUAGUUUUAAAUAAUAAAUUCGAAGAUCAUCCCAAACACUUUAAAGAGUUUUAGAAAUCAAUACUAAAUUCAAUCUUAAUUUAAAACUCCUAAAUAAUUAAUUGUAAAGUUGUUUUCAAAGGAAACCCUUCUUAUCUUGAUUUCCCCUCACUAAGAUACUUAAAAAGUGGAAUAAUAGAUAAGAGUGAACUUAAAACUCAAUUAAGAAAAUAGGUCAAUAAGGAAGAUCAAGUAUAGUACAAAGUUAAAUCUUAGGAGAUAUCACAUCUUUAUAAAAAAAAAAAAAAAUCAAUUAGUAGUUCAUUUAAUUCAAUAAUUAAAUUCAUUUUGUUAAAAAAAUUAUGCACUUUCAAUUUAAAGAUAGAAUUAAAUAAUAUACUUUACAUACUUAAAUUAUAUUUUAAAAAUUAUAAACAAACAUUUUACUCUGACUCAUUGAUAAUAACAUUGUGCCCAAAUAGUAGAACUUGCAUUAGAUGGCUAGUCUCACAUUGUGCCUUUUAGCAAUGGACAAAAUGAUUUAUAAUCAAUGAUAUACCAAAGGCGAAUAACACCCUUAUUAGCUAGAGUUACAUUAUCACUAUCCUCACCAAAGGUAACGCAGGUCAACAACUUCUCUCUUAAACCAAUGUAAUAAAUUAAAUGAUAAAAUUCAUUUGCAUAACAAUAAACAAAUCAUAUGAUAUUCCCAAUUUAUUUUAUAAACUAAGGAACAAAUCAUAACAUUUUUAGUAAAAUAUUAUUUGAUCCACUUUAAGGAACUUAAACAUUUUGAUAGUUUAAAAGUAGAUUUUAAAAAAUAAGAAAUUAUAAAAUGGUUUACUAUACUAUUAACCCUUACCUUGAAGAAAUCAUUCAAAAUCCUGAAAGACUUAAUCUACACCUAAUAUAAAUAUAAAUAAAAAAUAAUUAUUAAAGACUAAUUAUCUAAAUUAAUGACUUUCUAAAUUUUUGUAAAACUUAUUUUAAUUCCAAACCCUUUUCUAAAGUUCUAUUUUUUUAAUUAAAUUUUUUAUUAACCAUAUUAUUAUUAUCAUUUUCACUUCCCAUAAUUACAUUAACAGAUUUUGUUGAAUUAUUGAUGUUAAUAUUCCUUUUUUUCAUGGUAGGAAGUAGGUAAUUAUUUAUUAAUUUACUACUACUUUUACUUAUCUCCUACCCACAACCCAAAUCUUAUUAUUACUUGAUUAUUUCUUUACCACAACCACUUUCCUCAUUUCCUCAAUUCUUCUUCCUAUUAAUCUUCUGGUUAAAGAAAGAUAAAAGAAUCUAAAAAGCAAAUCACGCAUGAAGAACUUGCCUUAAAUUUCAUAAUGAAGCAAAUAAAAAAAGUUUCUUCUUUCUGACCCUUCGAACCAAACUUCUCUAUAGACCUUGCUAUUAUUUCUUUUUUUCUCUCUAUUUUAUCUUUUUAGUUUUUAAUAAUGUGGAGAAAUCAAUGGAAUUUAGGGGUAAAUUAUACUUUUGUCGCUAAAAGUAACUUUUAUCGAUGAAAUUUUAGAUGUUGUCAAUGGUGCCAAUUUUUUUUAAAAAAAUUCUAAUGAAUUUGAAAAUUUCAUCACUAAAAGACAUGAUGGGAAAAUUUUGGUGUUGUCAUUUUCUUGGCACAAACACUUUUGUGAUAGAAAAAAAUUAUUUUCUCACAAAAGUAUUUGUCACUAAUUAUAAUUUUUGGUGACUAAAAGUUACAACUUUUUAUAUAUAUUUGCUUGAAAAAUGGUUUCAUUAAGUGAUUAUAUUAUUUCUUGACAAAUUGAGUAAUUUUAUCACUAAAUAAUGUUAUUAAAUUGUGAUAUUAAUAAGUAAUAUUGAUAAAUAGCUAGAUGAUUUAUAUUGUGAAAUAACAUAUGUAUUUUUUGAGACUUAAUAUUUAUACUAUAAUAUUUUAUUUAUAUAAAUAAUAAUAAAAUAAUUAAAGAUCCAUAAAAUGAAAUACUACAAUAUAGAUUUAUUUUAAUUUAAUUUUUUUGUAAUGUAAUAAUAGUAUUGUUACGAAAUAAUAAAAAGGUAAAUUAUUUGAGCAAUUAAUUUUUAUAUUGUAAUGUGUUAUUUAUAUUUUUUUAAUAUAAAUAAUAACAAGUAAUUCAAGGCGUGUAAGAUUAUAUCCUAUAAUAUAAAUUUAUUUAAAUUUCAAUAUUAUUACAUGAUGUUACCCAUUAUAAAUAAUACUAAAUGAUUUUUAUUAUAUUAGGUAAAAGUUAUCUAUACAACUCUAAAAUAGUAUUGAAUUUAAGUUAGUUAUGGAUAAGCCAUAGUCCACUAAUUUGUUCUCAUUCAAAAUCAUACCUUGUCUACUUAAGAAGUAAACUUAUACUAACUUUUAAUUACAUAGUUUAAACUAAUAGAUUUUUUUUAAAAAUAAUUGUUCAGAAUGGAAUUUAUCAAAUAAAUUGCCUAGCAUCUAUAAAGACAUUUUAUUUUCAUAAAAUUCCAAAUAUGACUUUUGUUUAUAAAGAUAUAUAUUAUUAAUAAAUAUAUGAUUGCAAGAUAAAUAUUAUAUGAUAUAAUAUAUGACGCUAUAUGCCUGACUACUAUAUUACUAUUUACAAAAUAAAACAUGUACGUAUAAAUUUUUUUUUUUUGUAAAGUAUUCAACCAUAUCUUUAUUAAUAUUUGAUUACUUUAUUUUUUAAUGAUUUCAUUAUGAAUUUAUUAUUUUAAUUAUUAAUUACUAAUGUACUAAAAGUGAUUAGUUAUUAAGAAUAAAAAUCAUAAAUUAUACCUUAAAAUACUAACUACUAUAGCUAUUAAGUUGUAAAGGAAUUUUUAUACUUGUAUACAUUUUUUAACAAUUUUUCUUUUUUUAUAAAAAAUAUAGUUAUAAAAGUAAUUGAAAUAUAUCAUAAAUUAUUAUAUGAUUUACCUUUAUAGUGUUUGAUAUUUUUGUUUGAAAUACAAUAGAAAGAGAAAGAAAAAAGAAAAUGAUGUAGAACUCUAAUCUCAUUUUGAUCAUUAUUUUAUUGAUGUUGGUUCAAGUAUUACACUUCAACAUUAUUCCAAUGUUUUCUAUUAAUCAUACUUUUCUUUUAGCUCAAUUUCAAAAUUUUCACUUUAAUCUAGAAGUCUAGAAUUAAAUUUAUGUUAGCUAUGAAUAAACUAUAGUCCUCUAAUUUGUUAUCAUUCAACAUAAGGCUUGUUUAAGGAUGAUAAAAUUUGAUACAAUUCGUCAACAAGACUUGAAUCUAACAUGCUUUUUAUGGGUUUGAUUUGAGUAUAAUUGAGUUUGAGUCAAAUUCAUGUUGACCUAUAUAACUCAUUUAAUAACUAGGUAGUCUUUGGGUCAACAUGCAUAACAAAAUUUGACAUCAAUUAAUUCAUUUAAUACAUGUGUUGAUUAGUUUAAUUAUAACUUUAAAAUAUUUAACCCAUAUUUGACACAUUUUAAAUAAAUAGGUCAAUUGAGUCAUAAACAUAUUAGUCAUAUAAAUUAACACAAGACCUAACUCAACCUGAUUAUUUAAUGAAAAGAUCUAAUUACUAAAUGAAACAAAUCAGUUACAUGACAUGUUACUUGUUUAGUAAUUAUUUAUUAUGUUAUGUUUACAUUUUUAACCAGAUUAUUAUUCGUGUCAGGUUUGACACAACAUAAAUAUGACCCAUCAACACAAAUUGCAACCCCUAAGCUAGUUCACUCAAAAAGUAAAUUUAUAUUAAUAUUUAAUUACCUAGUUUAAGCUAGUAGGAAUAUUUUUUUAAUUAUUGCUUAGUUUUUAAAAAAUUGUUAACAUUGGAAUUUAUCAAAUAAAUAGUCUAGUUUCUCUAAAGACAUUCCAUUGAUCUAGAAUUCCAAAUAUAAUUUGUGUGUAUAAAGAUAUCAUAUAUUUUUAAUAAAUAUAUAUUGUAAGUUAAAUAUUAUAUCAUAUAAUAUAUUGUACUAUAUGCAUAACUAUAUUACUAUUUUACAAAAUAAACAAUACACUAUAUAAUAGUAAUAUAUUAUAUACAUAAAAAGUUUUUUUGUAAAGUAUCCAACCACGUCUUAAUUAAUAAUUGAUUAUUUUAUUUUUAAAUAAUCUCACUAUGUAUUUAUUAUUUUUAAUUAUUAAUUACUAAUUUUUCAAAAGUGAUUUGUUUUUAAGAAUAAAAUCAUAAAUUAUGUCAUAAAAGUAGUAAUUGUUGUAGAUACUAAUUUGUUAAGGAGUGUUUUUACUUGCAUACAUUAUUUAAUAAAAUAUUUAAUUUAUGUUUUAAAUUCCUUACUUUGAUUUUUCAAUUUUAUUUUUAGACUAAUUUUUAAUCUAUAAAUUCUAAUCUUUAAUUUUUAAAAUUUUUAAUUCCUAAACCUUAAAGGGGAAAUCAUGUAACCAUAUAUCACCCAAAAAAAAUGAGAUUUUUAGAACUUUGCUUUUACCUUUUUAAUUUUAAUCGUAAGAUGAGAAAAAAUAUUGUCUAUUCAUGCACUCCAAUAGUGCUUUCAGAUUUGUUCUAAAAUUACCCUAAAAAAUAAAAGACAAAGUACACACCACUUCAAUACCACCUAUUGACAAGUACAUAAAUUAUUUAUUUAUUUUAUUUCUCUCACAUCAACUCUCUCACACAUCUCAGUUACCACUUGCCACGUUCUCACUUUUUUCCUUUUUUCUUUUCUCUUUCCUUUUUCCCUCCUCUUUUACCACCAUAAUCCUUAGCCAUCUAUUAUAUUUUUAUUGUUAUUUUUUUCUUUGAUAUUCUUUUUUAAUAUGUUCGUAUAUUUUCUCAUAAAACUUCGUUAAUUUUAAUUUUUUUCACUCUCUAAUUUCUCCAUAUUUAUUGAUUAUAAUUAUUUUUUGGACAUAUUAAACUUAAAAUGAUAAUAUAUAAUAAAUAUUUAAUAUAACAAAUUAAAUAAAAAUAUAUAUAUAAUGGACAAAAAUGAAAAUAUUAUCCCACAAAUAAUAUACUUGAUGAUUUUAAAUAUUAAUUAUAAUAAUAUAUUUGAUAAAUUAAGGUUUAAAUUUAAAUAUUUUAUUUUAUUAUUUAGAGGUUUAUGAUAUAAGAUUUUUUUAUAUUAAUGCUAAACAAAAGAUUUAUUUAUUUUGUAAAUUCUAUCACAUGUAAAAGUAAAAAUAUCUUUAUAAUACUAUUUUAUUAUUUGUAUUAUUUUUCUUUUAAUUUUUAUUUUAAAUUUAUCACAUCAAAAUCACAAUAAGUGAUGGUGCUUUUAUAUUUUUUCUUAUGAUUUUAAUUUGAUUGUGGAUCUAACUUUUUGUUUGGCUAAAAUCUUUUAUUUUUAAUUAAAAUAAAAUAUAUUUUUCAUAAAAAAAAAAAUUGUAUUUAACCUUUCAUAUUAAUUUCCUAAAAAAUAAGUACAUCCUUAAGAAAAAUAGGUAAAUCCAUGCCUAGGGGAAUUGGGACCCCAAUCAUCCUUGUCAUGGUCUAUAUAUUACUUUGGGAUCCUUGAUAAGUGAUUAGAGGUCCUUACCUACCCAAGAACGAACUUUGGAACCUUAGGUACAUCCAUUCUUAGGGGAACCAAGACCCUUAUCUCCAUUCUCAUGGCUCAUAUAUUCAUUUAGGGACCCUCGAGAAGGAAUUAUAGGUUGUUCCCCACCCUGGAACAGACAUUGGAACCUAAGAUAUAUCCUAAAGACAAUUUGGUACAUUCGAUCCUUGGGCUACUGAGACCCUUAUAUCCUUUCCCAUAGUCUAUUUGAUACUAUGAGGACUCUUGAAAAAUGAAUGGAAGUUGUUCCUCAUCUUGAAAUGGACUUUCGAACCCUAGGUAUAUCCUUAAAAAAAAUUGGUACAUCCAAUUCUUGGGCUACAAAGACCCCUAUCUCCCUUCCCAAGGUCCAUUUAUUCAUAUAGGGAUCCUCAGGAAGUGAUUAGAGGCUAUUCUUCACCCCAAAAUGGACUUUUAAACCCUAAAUACAUCUUUAAGAAAAUUUGGUAUAUCUGAUCCUCUAGCUACUGGAACCCCUAUAUCACUCAUCAUGGUUCAUUUGAUCAUUUGGGGACCCUUUAGAAGUGAUUUCAAGUCAUUCCCAAUCUCAGAAUGGACUUUGAAACCCUAGGUACAUCCUUAAGAAAAUUUGGUACAUCUAAUCAUCAAGCUACCAGGACCCCUAUCUCCAUUUCCAUGGUCCGUUUGUUCCUUUAGGAACUCUUGGGAAGUGAUUGGAUAUCGUUCCCCAACUCAGAACAGAUAAUGGAACCCUAGGUACAUCCUUAAGAAAAUUUGAAACAUCCAAUCCUUGGGCUCAUGAGACACCUAUCUCCUUUCCCAUGGUCCAUUUAUUCUUUUAGAGACCCUCAGGAAGUGAUUGGAGGUUGUUCCUCACAUUGGAAUGAAAUUUGGCACCCUUGGUACAUCAUUUACAAAAUUUAGUACAUCCUUUACAAAAUUUGGUACAUCCUUCACAAAAUUUGGUACAUCCUUAAAAAAAUUUGGUACAUCCUUAAAAAAAUUUGGUACAUCCAAUCUUUGAGCUAUCGGGACCCCUAUCUUAUUACCUAUGGUCUAUUUACUCCUUUAGGGAUCUUUGGAAAGUGAUUAAAGGUUGAUCCCUAGCUACUUCAAAACAGACUUUGGAACCCUAGGUACAUCCUUAAGAAAAUUUGUUACAUCUAAUCCUUGAGCUAAUGGGGCACCUAUCUAUCUUCCUAUGGUCCAUUUAUUCAUUUGGACACCCUUAAAAAGUGACUGGAGGUUGUUCCUUACCUCAAAAUGGACUUUGAAACCCUUAGUACAUCCUCUAAAAAUUUUGGUACAUCAUUCACAAAAUUUGGAACAUCAUUCACAAAAUUUGGUACAUCCUUAAAAAAAUUUGGUAUAUCCAAUCCUUAAGCUACCAGGACCCCUAUCUUAUUACCCAUGGUCUGUUUAUUCCUUUAGGAAUCUUUGGGAAGUGAUUGGAGGUUGUUCUCUACUCCAAAACAAACUUUGGAACCCUAGGUAUAUCCUUAAGAAAAUUUGAUACAUCCAAUCCUUGGGCUAAUGGGACACUUAUCUCCCUUCUUAAGGUCUAUAUAUUCCUUUGGAGACUCUCGGGAAGUGAUUGAAGGUCAUUCCCACCUCGAAAUAGACUUUGGCACCAUUGGUACAUCAUUUACAAAAUUUGGUACAUCCUUCACAAAAUUUGGUACAUUCUUUAUAAAAUUUGGUACAUCCUUAAAAAAAUUCAGUACAUCUAAUUCUUGAGAAAUUGAGACCCCUAUCUUAUUAUCCAUGGUCUGUUUUUUCCUUUAAAAGUCUUUGGAAAGUGAUUGGAGGUCGUUCCCUACUCUGAAAUGAACUUUGGAACCUUAAGUACAUCCUUAAGAAAAUUUGGUACAUCUAAUCCUCAAGCUAUUGGGACACCUAUCUCCAUUCUCAUGGCCCAUUUGUUCAUUUGGGGGCACUUAGGAAGUAAUUGAAGGUUGUUCCUUACUAUGAAAUGAACUGUGGAACCUUAGGUACAUCUUUAAGAAAUUUUUGUAUUUAUAUGGUUCUGUAAUGUUUUGAUGUUGUUAAUCUAAAUAAGGUGGUUGACUCAUAAUUUAUAAUCAUCAGGAGAAAAAAUAUUAUGUUUAUUCAUGACCAGAUGAAAAUGAAUAAAAAAUGGAAUUAUUGUCACUUUUAAUGGUAUUAUAUUAUGAAUCAUUUGAAUAGUUUUCUUAAAAAAAAAUAAUUGUCAAUUUCAAAUGGAUUAUAGUUGAAUUGAAAAAUGAAGGAAUAUAGUUGUAGUAAAGAAGGGUUGAAUUUGUGUGGGCAUUAUGAAAAAAAGAGGUCAACCCUUAUAUGAAAAACAGAUUGUUAAGUAGUGGGCAUAAUAGUGGACGACCUUUUCAUGUAGGGCUAACCCUUUUUAGCUUAUGACCCUUAGUCAUAAUAUUAGUCUUUUUUGAAGUGGUCAAUAGCAAAAAUAAGGGUCGACCCUUUAGUUCAUAGGCAGUCCCAUCAUGUUUUUAAAAUUGGUUUUGUUUUAUGUGGGCGGUAGGCAAAACAAAGGUUGACCCAUUGUUUAAUAGGUAGGCCUUUGAAUAUGGACGUUACAACCUUAGAACAUGGACAGUGAGGAAAAUAGUGGUCACCCCAUGUAUUCAGAGGUGGAGCCUGAACUUAUAUUAUAUAUCAAAUAAGUACCUAACAAAUAAAUAAAUAAAAGUAAAUGCAUUGUGUGAUGUUUGGUAUAGACAAUACAUGUCAAUAUUUAACACAUUAAUGUCACACCAUAAAGUGUUAAUUAAGAGGACUUGGAUUGUUCAUAAUCUAAAUGAGGCAUUAAUAUAUGAUGGCUAUAUGUGUGAUUGUGAUAAUUGUUAUAAGUAAUUAGCUUUGACAAGGUUAUUUACAAAUAUAUAUUUAAACAAUUAAAUACCUAAUGAGGUCUAAGUGUGAGAAUAAAAUAAGUUAUGCUUAUUUUGUAAAUGUUGUAAGUAUUUUUGUGAUGAAUAUAUGUAUUAUUGGAAAUAUUUAUGAGCAUGCCUAGUUUAUUGAUAUAUAUAUAUAUGUAUGUAUGUAUGUAUGUAUGUAUGUAUGUAUGUAUGUAUGUAUGUAUGUAUGUAUGUAUUAAAAAUGUAAAAUCAAGGAUUAGAUGUACCAAAUUUCAUGAAGAAUGUUCCAAAUUUUGUGAAUGAUGUACCAAAUUUUUUCAAGGAUGUACCAAGGGUGCCAAAGUCCAUUCUGAGGUGAGGAACGACCUCCAAUAACUUCUAAAGGGUCUCCAAAGGAAUAAAUGGACCAUGGGAAGGGAGAUAGGUAUCUUGUUAGCCCAAGGAUUGGAUGUAUCAAAUUUUCUUAAGAAUGUACCUAGAAUUCCAAAGUCUAUUUUGGAGUAGGGAACGAAUUCCAAUCACUUCCCAAAAAAUUCCUAAAUGAAUAAAUCAACCAUGGGUAAUAAGAUAGAGGUCCCAAUAGCUCAAGGACUGGAUGUACCAAAUUUGUAAAGGAUGUAUCAAAUUUUGUAAAGGAUGUACCAAGGGUGACAAAAUCCAUUCCAAGGUGGGGAAUGACCUCUAAUCACUUUCGAAGGGUCUCUAAAGGAAUAAAUGGACCAUAGGAAAGGAGAUAGGUGUCCCGUUAGUUCAAGGAUUGGAUGUAACAAAUUUUCUUCAGGAUGUACCUAGGGUUCCAAAGUCCAUUUUGAAGUAAGGAACAACCUCCAAUCACUUCCCAAAGAUCCCAAAAGGAAUAAAUGAACCAUGGGUAAUAAGAUAGGGGUCUUGGUAGCUCAAGGAUUGGAUGCACCAAAUUUUUUUAAGGAUGUACCGAAUUUUGUAAAGGAUAUACCAAAUUUUGUAAAAGAUGUACCAGAUUUUGUAAAUGAUGUACCAAGGGUGCCAAAGUUCGUUCCAACGUGGGGAACUACCUCCAAUAAAUUUCCGUGGGUCUCAAAAGGAAUAAAUGAACCAUGAGAAGUGAUAUAGGUGUCCCAUUAGCUCAAAGAUUAGAUGUACCUAGAGUUAAAAAUUCCAUUUUGAAGUAGGGAUCAACCUUCAAUCACUUCCCAAAGAUUCUUAAAGGAAUAAACGAAUCAUGAGUAAUAAGAUAGGAGUCCUUGUAGCUCAAGGAUUGGAUGUACCAAAAUUUGUGAAGGAUGUACCAAAUUUUGCAAAGAAUGUAUCAAGGGUACCAAAGUUGUUUUCAAGGUCGGGAACGACCUCCAAUCACUUCCCGAGGGCCUCUAAAGGAAUAAAUGGGCCAUGAGAAGGAAGAUAGGUGUCCUAUUAGCCUAAAGAUUGGAUGUACGAAAUUUUCUUAAGGAUGUACCUAGGGUUCCAAAGUCCAUUUCAAAGUAGGGAACGACCUUCAAUCACUUCCCAAAGAUCCCUAAAGGAAAUGGGUAAUAAGAUAGGGGUCUUGGUAGAUCAAGAAUUGGAUGUAUUAAAUUUUUUUAAGGAUGUACCAAAUUUUGUAAAAGAUGUACCAAAUUUUGUAAAUGACGUACCAAGGGUGCGAAAGUCCAUUCCGAGGUUGGGAACAAUCUCCAAUCAUUUCCUAAGGGUCUCCAAAGGAAUAAAUGAACCAUGAGAAGGGAGAUAGAUGCCUUAUUAGCCUAAGGAUUGGAUGUGCCAAACUUUCUUAAGGAUGUACCUAGGGUUCCAAAGUCUGUUUUGGAGUAGGGAAUGACCUCCAAUCACUUCCCAAAGAUCCCUAAAGGAAUAACAGAGGGUAAUAAGAUAGGGGUCCCGGUAGCUUAAGGAUUGAAUGUAUCAAAUUUUUUUAAGGAUGUACCAAAUUUUGUGAAGGAUGUACCAAAUUUUGUAAAGGAUGUACUAAGGGUGCCAAAGUCCAUUCCGAGGUCGAGAAAGACCUCUAAUCACUUUCCGAGGGUCUCUAAAGCAAUAAAUAGACAAUGAGAAGGGAGAUAGGUGUCCUGUUAGCCCAAAGAUAAGAUGUAUCAAAUUUUCUUAAGGAUGUACCUAAGGUUCUAAUGUUUAUUCCAGGGUGGGGAACGACCUCCAAUCAUUUCUUAAGGGCCCCCAAAGGAACAAAUGGACCAUGGGAAAGGAGAUAUAGGUCUCGAUAACCUGAUGAUUGGAUGUACCAAAUUUUCUUAACAAUGUACCUAAGGUUCCAAUGUCCGUUCCGAGGUAGGAAACAACAUCUAAUGACUUCCUAAAGGAACAAAUGAACCAUGGGAAGGGAGAUAGGGGUCCUAGUAGCCUAAGGAUUCAAUGUACCAAACUUUAUUAAGGAUGUACCUAGGGUUCCAAAGUCUAUUUAGAGGUAGAGAAUGACCUCCAAUCACUAGGGUUCCAUUAUUAGUUCCAGAGUGGGGAAUGACAUCCAAUCACUUCUCGAGAGUUCCAAAAUGAAAAAAUGGACCAUGGGAAAUGAUAUAGGGGUCCUAGUAUCUCAAUGAUUGGAUGUACCAAUUUUUCUUAUGGAUGUAAUUAAGGUUCCAAUGUUAGUUUCAAGGUAGGGAAUGGCCUCUAAUCACUUCCCAAGGAUCGGAUAUACCAAAUUUUCUUCAAGAUGUAUCUAGGGUUUAAAAGUCCAUUUUGGGGGUAAGAAAUAACCUCCAAUUACUUCCUGAUGGUCCAUAAAGGAGCAAAUGGACCUUAGGAAUAACGAUAGGGGUCUUGGUAGCCCAAGGAUUGGAUGUACCAAAUUUUCUUAAAGAUGUACCGAAUUUAUAUGAGGAUAUAUCUAGGGUUCCAAAGUCUAUUCUGAGGUGGGAAACGACUUACAAUUACUUCCUAAGGGUCUUUAAAAGAUCAAAUGGACCAUGGGAAGGGAUAUAAGGGUCCUGGUAGCUUCAGGAUCGGAUAUACCAAAUUUUCUUAAGGUUAUACCUAGGAUUCCAAACUCCAUUCCAAGAUAGAAAACAACCUCUAAUCCUUUCCUAAAGGUCUCCAAAUGAAUAUAUAGACCAUGAAAAGGAGAUAAGGGUUUUGAUUCCCUUAGGAUUGGAUGUACCUAUUUUUGUUAAGGAUGUACUUAAGGUUUCAACGUUCGUUUUGGGAUGAGGGAGGACCUCCAAUGACUUAUCGAGGGUUCCCAAAGGAAUAUAUAGACUAUGAUAAGGAAGAUAGGGAUCCUUGUUCCCCUAGGAAUGGAUGCACCUAUUUUUUCUUACGGAUGUACCUAUUUUUUAUGAAAUUAAUAUAAAAGGUUAACUACAAUUUUUUUUAAUGAAAAAAAUUUAUUUUCUUUUAUAUUUUAUUUUAAUUUAAAAUUAAAAAUUUUAAUGAAACAAAAAAUUAGAUCCAUGAUCAAGUUAAAACCAUAAGAAAAAAAAAGCAUCAUCACUUACUAUGAUUUUGAUAUGAUAAAUUUAAAAUAAAAAUAAAAAUAAUAUAAAUAAUAAAAUAGUAUUACAAAUAUAUUUUAUUUUUACAUGUGAUAUGAUUUACAAAAUAAAUAAAUAUUUUAUUUAGCAUUAAUAUAAAAAAAUCUUAUAUCAUAAAACUAUAAAUAAUAAAAUAUAAUUUUAAAAUUUAAUCCUUGAUUUAUCAAUUGAAUUACUAUAAUUAAUAUUAAAAAUCAUCAAGUAUAUUAUUUGUGGAAUAAUAUUUUCAUUUUUGUCCAUUACAUAUAUUUAUGUUUUUAUUUAAUUUUUUAUAGUAACUAUAUAUUAUUAAUAUUAUUAUUUUAAGGUUAAUUUGUCCAAAAAAUAAUUAAAAUCAAUAAAUAUGGGGAGAUUAAAGAGUGAAAAAAAUUAAAAUUGAAGAAGUUUUAUGAGAUAAUACAUUAGCAUAUUAAAAGAAAUGUCAAAUGAGAGAUAGAAAAAUAGGAUAUGGUGAUAAGAAAGAAGAAAAAAUGAUAAAAGAAAAAAGUAAAAUGUAGAAACGUGGCAAAAGGUGAGAUGUGUGAGGGAGUUUAUGUAAGAGAAAAAAAAAAGUGAUUGGUGUACUUGACAACAACAUUUAAUGUGGUAAGUGUACUUGCCCUCAACUUUUGAGGGUAAUUUUGGAACAAAUUCAUAAGCACUAUUGGACUGCAUGAAUUGGUAAUAUUUUUUUUUCCAUUUUACAUUAAAAUUGAAAAAAUAAAAACAAAGUUCUAAAAACCAUAUUUUUUUUGUUGGUGAUGUACCAAAGCAUGAUUAUCCCAAUUUUAAAUAAUACAAAAAUCAUAAAUUUUGAAAUUUUUUUUUAAUCUAAAUUUUUUUAUUUGUAAAUUUUAAUGUUUAAUUUUUUAAUUUCUAAAUUUUAAAUAAUAUAAAACUCAUGGCAUGAUGAAGCACAUUAAAUGUGUUGCAGUAGCAUGUUGUAUUUUUGUAGCAGAGAUGACAUAGAAGGAGUUGUGUGGAAUGUUGUUUGGGAAAAAAAAGAUGAAAAAAAAUCUCAGACCCUCACCUAGUCAAGCACCAUUGCAACUUUGAAAAAAAAAAACAAAAACAAAAAAACCCAUUUUAAAAAAGGAGAAAACCACCAUCGCAAACAAUGGCUUACCACAUUUGUAUCUAAUGCCAUAUCCUCUUCAACCUUUCAUCAUCUUCACCACCAACCCAUCUACCUUCUUGAAAAUUCAUUUUCCAACUACUAGUCAUACAUACCAUUCUCCAUAACACAUAUAUAUCCGAUAAUAAUUGUGAAAAAUGGCUAAUUUGAUUAAGCAAAUCACUAAAUGGGGGUAAAGAGUGGGAGGGGAUGAAUUAGGUGUUACAUUUUUAUUUUUAUUUUUUAAAAAAUAACCAAUUAAUAACAAAAAGAAUAAGAGAUAUUAAGUAAGACAAUAAUUAAGUAAAAGAUAAAGAGAAGAUAUAUGCAAACUCUUUUAUAAUGGUUUUAAAAUCCACCUAUAUCCACUCUUUUUAACCUCCCAAGCAAGGGAGGGUUCCAUUAUCAAAGGCCUUCAACCUAUGCCUUCAAGCUUUAUAUUUGGAUUCAUGGACUCCAAUGGGCACUCACAAUCUCUUCAAGUACUUCACCUAUUUGAAGUCUCUUCACUAAAAAAUGAGUAGAUAAGGAAAGUCCUAAUGCUUUUUGUUAGGACAUUUAGUUUUAUUUAUAUGUUGGCAAUUUUGUUCCAUUUUAUGUUUGAUCAUAAAGUUCUUUUUAGAUAGUGACUUGCUCAAGUGAAAAGGACCGCUCAAGUGGUCUAAGUCUGCUCAAGCAGUAAUGAUAGUCCUAUCGAGUUUAAACACAAAUUUUGGAUGAAUUUCACUUGAACUCUAGUUUGAAAACUUAAGAUACUGAAAAUUUUUGGGCUAUAAAUACCUCCUUAAUAACCCCUUAAGGGUUAGGGAUUGAAGAUUGAAAAGAUCUUAGAGAUUAGAAACCUCUCAUUCUUAAAAAGAGGCCUUGAGAGAAAGCCUAAAUUGCUAUAUCAUUCAUGAUUUCUCAUUCAAGGAUUGAAUCUUUAAAUCGUUAGUUGAAAACCUUAAUCCCUUCGAAGUGGCAAAAGAAUCUACUAAGGAGCAAUAAGAAGUUGCUACAUCAUGAAUGUGGAUCAAGUUAUAAGUGUUGAAGAGUAAGUUUUUAGGGUAAAACAGUCAGGUAAAUCUGUGUAACUUGAUUUCGAAUAGUGGAUUUGGAUUGGUAGGUCUUAGACCUUGUGUUUUUUUUUUCUCCAUAGUUUGUGCGAGGUUUUCACGUAAAAAUCUUAUGCCUAAUUGUCUAUAUCUUUUAUAUUUGAUAUUAUGUUUGUAGGGUUUUCAUAAAAGGUUCAUAUCUAUAUAUUUUUGCUUAGAUUUAAUGUGAUUAAGUUUGAUUGAUUUGUUGGGAUUGCUUUUGAGGUUGUUAGGGUUGUUAUCUUGGUAUUUAUGGUUGUUAUCCUUAUAACAAGUUAUUAUUAUCCCUAACAUCUAUCAAGAUAUCCUUUGGAUAUUAAUAAUUUAUUUAUUUUAUCCCAAAUAAUCUUUGGAUAUCAAUUAAUCAUAAAAAUCAAGUUUUACUAUUCUAAAUUUAGGGUGAACUCAUUUUUUAAUAUCGAGGAUAAACUUGAAAAUUUCUUAGAGGUAAAAAAAAUUGAUAUAACAUAUAAAUCUUUAUUUAAAUUUUUAAAUCACCCAUUCAUCCCACCUUUGGAUGUUCGUUAUUGGACUUUCAGUUGUUAUUCAAGUGAUAUUAAAGCAAUACUCAUUUUCAAUUGGUAUCGGAGUGGAAUAAAUAACCAAUUCUUUAUCCUAUUGAUUAAAAAUCCAAUUUUUAUUGAUUGGACUGUUUAAAAAUCAAAUUUUUAUUAAUCACAUAGGAUAAAAAUCAAAAUUUUAUUGAUCCUGUAAGUCUAAUAUGGAACAAUAAAAAAGUGGUGCUCCUUUGAAUAGUUACCCUAUUUUGAUGGGAAUAAUUACUCCUAUUAGAAAGCAUGAAUGAUGUUUUUCCUCAAAAUGUAAGGUGAAAGGGUGUGAAACUCAAUUGAAUAUGGUUGGGGACCACCAUUAAUCCUUGAUACUCAAGGAAGAUUAAUAGGUGAACUUAAACCUAAAAAAAAAAUGAGACAAAUCCAAUAAUCAACGUAGUGAAGCCAAUGCUAUAUUUUUAAUGGAGUUUAUCCAGAAAGGUUUUGUAGGAUAGCAAAUUGCAGAUGUGCAAAUUAAGCAUGGGAUAUUCUUCAAGUCACUCGCGAAGGUACAUCCUCUAUAAAGAUUUAUAAAUUACAAAUGCUUGCUACAAGGUUUGAAAAUAUUAUGAUGCAUGAAAAUCAAACUUUUUCUUCUUUUUAUUCUAAAUUAAGUGAUAUUGUAAUUUCUUAGUUUAACCUUGGAGAACUUAUUCCUAAUUCUAAGGUAGUUAGGAAAAUAUUGGGAUCUCUUCCAAAGAAAUUUAGAACUAAAGUAAUUGCCAUAGAGGAGAGCAAGGGCAUUGAAUCCAUGAGAUGAACUUGUAGGCUCCAUUCAGACAUAUGAGAUGACUCUACCUAGUUCCUAAAAGCCUAAAGAGUCUACUUUUAAGGCUUUUAAUGGUGAGAAAAAAAAUUAAAAUUCCAUAUGAUAUAACAAAGGAUGAAUUGGCCCAUAUGGCCAAAAUGAUUAAAAAGGUCAUAUAAUUCAAUAAAAGGUUUUACAAGAACCAAGAAUCUAGAAAAAGAAAAAGACCUAAUGAACAAUCAUCCAAUAAGAAAAGAAAAGAUUCCUCCAAAGGUAAGAAAGUUGAAUGCUUUAACAAUGGAGGUCUAGGACAUUAUGCUUAAGAUUGUCCUAGCCCCAAAGAUGCCAAAAAGUCUAUGCAAGCAACAUGAAGCAAUACUAAUUCUGAAGAGAGUGCUUCCACAACUUCUGAAGAUGCAAGGUAUGAUCCCAAUGACUUGUUAGCUUUUAUUGCUUUUAUGGAACUUGUGCAUGAUAGUGAUGAUGAUGAGUUUACUAAUGAACAAAGGACUGAAUUCUUGAGUAAUCUUGUUGUUGAGCAUGAAAGACAAAUUAAGAGUUAUAUGAAAAAUAAUGAUAUCCUUGAUGCUCAUGAUAAAAACAAAAUUGAUGUGCUUAGUGCUGAAAAGACUAAUUUGCUUGAGAAAGUUAGGUUUCUUGAAUUUGAACAUCAUUCUCUCCUUGAGAAGAAUAAUCCUCUCACUCAAGAGAAAAAAUAACAAGCCUUUUUCAUCUGUGAAUAAAUUUUUUUUACUGCAGAACUAAAAUGUUUAAUGAAAUUCUUGAUAAAUGCAAAAUCCAUGGUGAUAAAAGAGGUUUGGGGCGCAUUAAUAAAGAUGAAACUCCCUUUGAAUUCAUUAUUUUUCCAUUGAAAAUCCCAUCUUUAAAUUCCAUUACUUAGCCACUUUCCACUUUCCACUGUAAAUAUUAUAUUAAAAAAUUUUAAAAAAAAAUUAACUUAGAAUUUCUACAUAUGGCCAUUAAAAUAUUUUAUGAAAAAUAACUUACCAAAAAAAUAUUUAUGUACAUACCAUUAAAAAUUUGAUAUUAAAAAACUUUUUUUUUAUUUAAAAAAAGUAACUUACCAAGAAUAUAUUGAAAGCACUUUAAAAAAUAACUUACUAAAAUUUUAUUUACGUACAUACCACUAAAUAUUUUAUAUUAAAAACACUUUAACAAAAAUUGACUUACCAAAAAUAAAUUAAGUGCACUAAAACAAAUAAUCUAAAUGACCUAAGCCUAAAAAGUGUCUAAGUGAAAUUUAAACCUAAAAAGUGCCUAGGUGAAUUGAGCGGAAAUGGAUUUAAGUGAAACUUAACCUAAACUCAAAGAGCAACCGAGGUCAUAAUGAGGGUCUAGACGAGCUCCUCAACAAAAGCUCCCUAAAGGUGACUUGAAAGGAGUAAAUUUUAUAAGUUUCAAUGGGCCACCAAGAAAUAACUACGAAUCAAAAGAGAAGUAUAGGAAAGCACCUAAUGCCACAUGUGCUAAGAAGACAAAAUGGAAAGUCUACAAAUAUCCUUCUCCUCAUUCUCAAAAACCAUAAAGGCAGAGUCUUUAGGCUUUUGGGAACUAGGUAGGGUGAUCUCAUAUGUUUGAAUGGAGCCUACAAGUUCAUCAACUCUCAUGGAGUUGAUGUCCUUGCUCUCCUCUAUGACAAUUACUUUAGUUCUAAAUCUCUUUGGAAGAGAUCUUAAUAUUUUCCUAACUAUCUUAGAAUCUGGAAUAGUUUCUCCAAGGUUGAAUGAAUAAUUUACAAUAUCACUUAAUUCAAAAUCAAAGAAAGAAAAAGUUUGAUUUUCAUGCAUCCGAAUAUUCUUAAACGUAGUAGCAAGCAUUUGCAAUUUAGAAAUCUUUAUAGCAAAUGUACCUUCAUGAGUAACUUGAAGUAUAUCACAUGCUUCUUUUACACGUUUUCAAUUUGCAAUCCUUCGAAACUCAUCUAGACCAAUUCCAUUAAAAAUACUAAAUAAAGCCUUAGCAUUGGCUUCACUACUUUCAUUGGCAACUUUGUCCCAUUCAUGUUUAAAUUUAAGUUCUUUUGUUGAUCUUCCUUGAGCAUCAAGGAUAAAAGGUGGUCCCCAACCAUAUUCAAUUGAAUUUCAUACCCUUUCACCUUGCAUUUUAAGGAAAAACAUGAUUCUUGCUUUCCAAUAAGAAUAAUUACUUCCAUCAAAAUAGGGUGGACUGUUCAAAGGAACACCACUUUUUGACUAUUCCAUAUCAAACUUACAAGAUCAAUCAAAUUUUGAUUUUUAUCUUAUAUGAUUAAUAAAAAUUUGAUUUUUAAACAAUUUAAACAAUAAAAAUUGAAUUUUUAAUCAAAAUGAUAAAUAAUUAGUUUUUUAUCCUUCUCUAAUACCAAUUAAAAAAUGGGUACUACUUAAAUACCACUUGAAUAAUAACUGAAAGUCCAAUAAAAAACACUUUCAACGGUAGGGAACACCCACAGGAAAAGAGGGGGGGGGGGGAGAUGAAUGGGUGAUUUAAAAUUUUAAUUAAUAUUUGUAAAUGAUAACAAACUUUUUCUUACUCCAAUGGAUAUCAGGGAUAUCCCAAAUAAUUAAAUGUAUUAUACUUAAAAUCUUUAGGUAUUCAAAAAUAAGAUUUUUAACUUUUAGGGAUACCUUGCAAUUGUUUAGGGAUAAAGAUAAUAUAAUUCUUAAUAUCCAAAUAAUAAUAUCCCGAGAAAUGUUAUGGAUAAUAAUAAUUAGAUAUAAUGAUAACAACCACAACCACUAAGAUAACCACCAUAACAACCUCAAUAGCAAUCCCAACCAAUCAAACAACCUAAUCAAGUAAUAUAUGUAUGAAUAAAUAGAUAUGUACUUCUUAGGAAAACCUUGCAAGAUAUUAGGGAUAAUCAAUUUAAUCUAUUCUAGGCAAUUCAAAUAGAAUAUUAAAUAUAAAACUAUAGACAAUGAGUUACAAAUUUUUUUACAUGGAAAACUCCCACAAACUAUGGAGAUAAAAAACCACGAGAUCUAAGACCUACCAAUCUAAAUCCACUAUUCAAAGUCAAGUUGCAUAGAUUUAACUGGACGUUUUACCCGAAAGACUUACUCUACAACACCUACAACUUGAUCCAUGUCCAUGACAUAGCAACUCCAUGUUUCUCCUUAGUAAAUCCUUCAAUCUCUCUAAAGGGAUUACAAUCUUCAACUAAUAAUUCAAAGAUUCAAAUCCUUGAAUGAGAGGAUGGGAAUGGUGUGGCAAUUAGGCUUUUUUCACAAGGAGUCCCUCUAAAGAAUAACAGGUCUCUCAACAAUCUUUUAAGAUCUUUAUGAUCUUUCUAAUAUCCGAUCUCUAACCCACAAGGGGUUAUAAGAUAGGUAUUUGUAGGCAAAAGCCAUAAGAGUUUCAGUAUCCUAAAUUUUCAAAUUAAAGUUUGAGUGAAAUUCAUUCAAAAUAUAUUUUUAAACUUGAUAGGACUGACAUGACCACUUAAGCAAACUUUGACCACUUGAGCUAGCACUUUACUUGAGCGAUCCUUAUUGCUUGUAUAGGUUGACUGAUUGAGUAGGAUUAACCACUUGAGUGACCCUUUCUUUUUGAAAAAUCAUUUUGAGUUUAAAAAUGAUACCGAAUCUUUUUAUACCUCAAAUAAGCCUUGUAUCUCAUAAGCCAAAUCUUUUUAGAUGUACCUAUGACUUCUCGGUUGGAUGAAUAGAAACCCUUGAUCUUCAAUGGAGAGAAUGUCAUUAUCUAAAAAGACUUUUAUGACCAAACAUUAAUUGGAACAAAAUUUCCAACAAAUAAACAAGACUCAAUGUCUUAACAAGUCAUUCCCAAUCUUUCAAACCCAUGACUUAUUCAUUUUUCCUUUGCUUUGAUCUAUCCAUGCUUCUUAAGUUUUAAAUAUUUCUUUAGGCAUAUUUGAUCCCUUUCUAUUCUUCGGUUAAAAUUGAUUCUAGUAAUUUCUAUUUUUUUUCCUCAUGCUCAAAAUAUUGUUAGAUAUGCAACUAAGGUCCUAGCACUUAAUUUGGGCGAGUGGAUCCCUUUAUAUAGUAUAAAUCAUAUCAUAUCCUAUUAUAGGGUUAUGCAUCUUGGUUCAUUAAAGCAUUUGGGGACUAUUCCCCUUAUACAUAGCCAUUAAAGCCUAAUUAAGAAUGCUUGACGUUUGCAUCUGGAUACCUAGUUGGGUGCAUGCAGCACUAACCAUGAGUCCAUACACUUAUCACUUGAGUAAUUCUACCCAAAAUUAGUCAUCUUAUCUAGUAUAUAUCCACUACAGCUUAGGCAAAAGAGAAACUAUAAGCAUUAUUGUUAGAAUUUACAUAUCAACCCGAUAAACCAUGAUCGUGCUUUUCAUGGCCAUAAAUCUUAAACAAUAGUAAUCGAUAAACAACUUUUCAAAAGCAUCACUUGCCUUGACCUAAGCAUUUAGGACCUAGUUCUUUUUGCUCUUUCUUACUCGACCUCUUACACCAAUGAAUCAAUACGGAAGUGGACACUUUGUCAAGGGCACAUCUCAACAAUAACAUAUAUUCCUAACAAUCUAGUGAGCAUUGCCUAACACAGGCCUGCCCAACUAAUAGUUUUUUCAUGAAGAGAGAGUUGAUCUCAACCCUUUUAGUCAACCUACCAUGGAGUAGCAACAUAAACUAUCUCUUCCCAAACACCCUAGUUCAAUUAGCUUUCAACUCUCAAGUCGUAGGUAAUCCAUGCUUGUCAACCUUCAUUCAAUUAAGAUCUAACUUAACCUUUGGAGAGGCAUAGCCAAGGUUCACUUUCAAUACUCCUUAGUGCUAGUGCUAGGUGCUAUAGGCAAAGAGGUCAAUCACCACCUCUAGGAAGAGUAUUGUUAAUUCACAUCACUCAUGGACCCUAGCUCAAGAGUUUGAGAACUAGUAAUAACUAUGAAAUAACAAUGGUCAAAGUGUAAGAGAUUUAUUUUAGGGAAACAAAAAAUUAAAUAAACAUAAUAAGCUUAGCAUGAUUAAUUAUCAAUUAAUUAUAUAUUUUUUUUAAUAAAGAAGUUCCAAGUUUGAAACCAUCGUUUAUCUAUAACCCUUUCGCCUUGACAAUAUGAAACUAUAUUACAAAUUUAAAUAAUUUUUCAAUGUUUACAUGUGAGACAUUAACAUUUGUUCAGAAAUUUAAAAAAAAAAAAAAAAAAAAGGUUAUUUGGACACAUGACUCAAAAUAACUCUCAAAUUGUAAAAAUGGCCCCUCACACUUUAAUUUUGUUGAGAAAUAACUCUUUAUGGAUACUCUUACCCUUCUUCAUUUUGUUUGUUAUAAAAAUCAUUAUCUUUUCAUAACUAUCUUAUCUUUCAAAUAACUCAUUCUUGCUUUCAUUUUAGAUUUUUAUCUAAAUUAAAUAAAUACACAAUAGUCAAGUUUGAUUUACAAAAAAUCUUAACUAGAAUUAAAUUUAUUUACAAAUAAUUUAACUACUGUCAAGUUUUCCAUUUCAUCUACAAAGAACUCGAUUAUAAUGAUAUGAACUUUGUUGUUAUUAAGUUUUAUUUUUAAAAAAAAAACUUAAUUAGAGUUAAUUUAACAUCUAUUCUACAAAAAAACCUAAUUAUAAUUAAGUUCUUAAUUAGAAUAUUCAUAUGGACAUAAACAUUAAAUGAAAGGAUUAUGUGAUCUCAUCUUCACAUUUUAGAAGUUUAAAUGAAACUACAAAAACAAUUAACAAAAAAUAGUAAAAAUUACCACUAAAGGACAACCUCAAAAAAUCCUAACAAAAAUCCCACUAGAAAAAUCCCCACCAAAAAACCUUAACCAAAAUCCUAGUGGAACAUUGAAAAAAAAAAAAACAACCAAAUCCCAACAAUACAAUUGCAAAAAAUGCUAACAAAAAAUAACUACAAAAUCCCAAUAUAUAUAUAUAUAAAACAACCAUAAAAAACACUAACCAAACACACACACACAUAUAAAGGAUAAUGAAAGAUCUUGAAGAAGACCGCAAAAAACAGGAAAAUCUCAACAAAAACUAACUCCAAAUCAAAAGAAACAAAAAACCACUACAAAAAAAAUCACAAAAAAAUCCUAACUAAAAAUAAAGAAAAUGAUGAAAGAUCUUGAAGAAGAAAAAAAGAUGAGAGAAUUGUGGUCGAUUUUUAUCAUUUCUUCGAUUUGAACUACACCCCUAAAUUCACAAGGAAAGAACUUGGAAAAUUCAUUGGAAGAGUGAGAAGGAAAUGAUUGGGGAAUGAGGAAAAAAUGUCAAUUGAGAAAAAAAAAAAAGUAAUAUUAUCUUAAAUCAAUCAUUUUUUUUAGAGAAUAAAGAAGAAAGGUCAUUCUUCUGAUUUGAGAAGCAUUUGAAAUUUUUUAGCCAAAAAUCUCUUUAAAAAAUUGUAAGUAAAGUGGUGUUUUUUUGUUUGUUUUCCUUUUUUUGUUUUUGUUUUUUUUUUUUUUCAAAAUUGUUUUUUUUUUUUGAAAAAAAAAACUUUUUAAAAUUUUUUUAACUGAAUAAAAAAAGUCAAAAUAUUUAACUUUUUUUUUUUAAUGAUAAAAGUAACAUAUUGAUUUUUCUUUAUUCCUUAAUAUUCAAUAUAAAUAAAAUAUUACAAAAACAAACAACUUAAUACUUAAUUUUAUUAAGCACUAUUUAAUUUUGAAAGGUGAAAAUAUGAAAUAUUACAAUGUCAUUAAACAAAAUAAAGUCCAUUGUUUUUUUAAAAAUCAUAUCAAUGUCAUUAAACAAAAUAAAAUCAUGGAUGUUGGACUCUACCAAAGCCCAAUUGAUUUUGCAUGAAUUAAUUCUACAAAUUCCAUGAUUUGAAAUUAUAGAAUUUAAUUCAUGCUUAUUUUAAAACAAUUUAAAAAUCAAGGAAAAAAAUUGUGAAAAAUGUUUGCCGAAGAGAAAAUGGCAAUAAAUUUUAUUGGAAAUGGGAUUUUUGAGACUUAAAAAUUCUAAGAAUGAAAAAUUGUGGAAUCAAAACAAGAUCUUUUUUAAAAUAAUUUUUUAAAGACAUGCAUGCACACGGGUUUUGAAAUUGAGCAUAGGAGGGUCGCCAUGCAACUUUGAAUCAUUCAUGUGGCCCAGGGGUGCAACUGAGACCGCACUGUGAGGUUGGUGAUUGCAGCUGUCAUCCUCUCUGAAUUUCCCCUCUUGCCGACUUGACAAUCCCUCUCAUGCAGAUGGGACAUUUUCCAACAGAGAUGUUGUCAGUCCUGAAUCAGAGGCACUGUUCCUAAUAUUUUCAUGCAUCUUAAUUAAAGGUAAACCAGGAAGGGUAGAGAUGAAGGAGCGGGUCCUGCGUGCUUGGGAAUGACAUACCAAAAGGGGCCAUGCAAACCAUGCAAGAGUGGGGUCCGAGGAGUGCCAAAGUGGGACGACAUGAUUUCAGUCAUUGUGCAGGUUUGUCUGAACUGGGAUUCUAUUCGGUGUUUCACUUCUUUCCUCCAUCCUUAAUGAUCUUCAUAACAGUUGGAAAGGAGUCAGACCAGUUUUUGUUUCCUUUUACCUCUUCUGCUGAUGGAUUUUCUAGAAUGAUCUCCAAUUUCUGUGAUUUUGGACUUCGAAAAUUACCCAUGAAAUUUCUGGGGAAAAACUGAUUGGAGAGAGAGAGUCCCUUCCUGAUAACGCAUGCUGGGCAUGAUGGUUUCCAGUCCCCAGUUGAAGGCUAUCGUCUUCAAGCCUCGAGAGAUCAUAAAAGUAAGAUUGGCGAGGGCGACUCUGAAGUUAUUUACAAGAUAAAGCCUUCAUUCCAUGUGCGCCUUAACAACAGGUAGCACCAAAGAAACCAGAGUGGACCAUUCUCAACCUCGGUCGCGUCCAUCUUGUUCAACUCUAAAGGAUCAGACGACUGUUUUGACCAAGGAUAUGGUUGUAUGUCUUCUGGUCCGCUGCCUAUUUACAUCUGGCAGCACUAAGCUAACUUCAUUGGCACCUAUGUAACUGAAAGCAUAGGUCUCUAUAGGUAAGUCUACUACUUUGCAUGUGAAUAUUUGGAAUGCUAAGACAACGGCGAACUAGAAUAAUGGAGGCAAUGAAUGAGCUAUUCCCCUAGAUGGGGGCUAUACUUUCUCCCAUAAUUGCUUCUUGCUGUUGAAUAACCAUCAAGAUACUCAUCUAAUGAGCAAUUACUUCUCAGAAUUGGCUGUCGAAGGUUUUGAAUGUACUUCCAGAUCAGAUGAAACAAAUGAGGAUCCUCUUGCCAUUGGAAGACUGCUGAAAGUGAGCCGGAGCAUGAACUUUACUAAUUAGAUUCAUCAAAUUGCGCACCUUGGCCUGCCAGUGUGGACCCGUUCUGGAGCUGCUAUGAUUAUCCUGAAGUUUAUUUCUAGUAACUGGCUAUAAGACUCUGCAAAAAUUCGGUGGUUGAUGGGAAUGCAAAGAUGGGUAUUCAACGCAUGGAGUCUCGAAUAACAUUCCUUGCUGCUCAUAACUAGUUCUGAUCCAUGUAGCAGAUUCCCCAAUUGUAUGUACGCGGACAUUUCCAUCAAACGACUAUCGAAACUGAAUUGGAGAAGGAAUUGCACCAAUUGGAUUCACUUAACCGUGCAUCUUAACCUUGGCAAAACUGGAUUUGGGAAGAAGCAUUCUACAUGGAAGAUCCAAUUGCUAGGAGAAGGGGAUAAAAAAUGUCUUCUUCCAAGGUGUUGAGUUUGGACAAGUCAUGUGGAGGUUGCAUGCACACGAGAAAUAAUGGAAAUGAACUUGUGGGAGAUGAAUAGUGGGGUUGGCAGGUUGGGUAAGUGUGAAGGAUGGGGACUGGUGGUGGAAUGAAUGGAGCUGUAGGUGGUGGAUAUGGUAUUAAUUCGGUGAAUGUGAAGAAUGGGAACUAGUGAGUAUAAAGGGUGAACAUGCAUGCAUAGUUUCUACUAGUACGAAUCUGCAAAGGAGCUACAUCAUUCUUCCAGCUCCGAAUGAGACGCGCGGCGACUUUAAACAUUGCAAAGUGGCCAUGCAAGUUGAACCCACGUGUGUGCGAACCCGGGAUGGAGUGGUUGAGUGGCAAACUAAGUGGGAAUUACAAAACUAGAACUUGUCAAGUAGUUAACAACUUAACAAAUUGUUAUUUAAGUAGUUAACAGGCUGUUUGUUGUAACUAAUUAGAUGUGUUUGUUAGUAACUGAUCUUUAGAUUCUUGUAUAUAAGAAACAGAGGACUGAUCAGUGUUGUAGAGGGAUAUAGCUCAAUUUCAGUUCCGUCUUUCUGGUUUUCUCUUAAACAGAUGCUCUACACAUCUUCUUCUUCUCUUCAUAUCUCUGAGUUCUUUCUUGGUAUCAGAGCCAUCAACUAACAUCUGUAAAUCUUUUUUUCAUGGCAUCAGAAGGAUCAACAUCUUCAAUGGAUCAUCCUAAUUCCAACUUUACUCAUCAUACAAUGCCAUCAUUGAAUCAAGCAUUCACGGUAAGAAUCAAUCAAUCAAAUUAUUUACUAGGGCGAACUCAGAUGUUGAACAUCAUCAUUGCAAAUGGCAUUGAAGAGAUGAUCCAUGGAAAAAUCCCUGCUCCUUCAUGGUUUCUUGGCGAUUCAGAGAACAUAAAUCUAGAAUACAAUAUAUGGCAACGUCAGAAUCGCUUAGUAAUGUGUUGGAUCUAUUCCCUUUUAACAGAAGGAGUGAUGACACAGAUUAUCGGACUUGAUACUACAUCAGAAAUCUGGAUUGCUCUAGAGAAAAUUUUCUUAGUAGCUUCAAAGGCUCGUACCAUGCAGCUUCGCUUCCAACUGCAAACAACAAAGAAAGGAGGAUUGAGUAUGAUGGAAUAUCUACUCAAAAUCAAGUCCAUUGUAGAUAACUUGGUUGCAAUUGGAGAAAAUAUUACGAGCAAGAUCGAAUUCUCUAUUUACUUGCAGGACUAAGAGCAGAGUACAAUUCGUUUGUCAUUUCAGUUACCUUUGGGCAUGAAUCAUUAAGCCUAGAAGAAAUUCAUAGCAUGCUCUUAACUCAUGAAAAUCGAUUGGAACAACACACAACAGAAGAAACAAAUCUUAUGCAAGUAAAUAUUGCAACAAUGAACCUUCAAGGUCACAACAGAAAAAAUCAAAAGUUUGGUCAAUUCAAGACUCAAGGUAGAGGUAGUCAGAAUCCACAACAAUUUAAUCAUCAGAAUUUUGGUAGAAGCCGUGGGAGAGGUCACUAUAACAACAAUGGUGGAAAUUUUGGGCAUGGUCUAGGAAAAGGUAGCUUUAAUAACCAUUUUUACUCAUCUGGAAACUUCAAUAAUGUUUCUGGUGGCAGCAAUGGAAAACCACAGUGCCAAGUAUGUGGUAAAUAUGGUCACAUUGCGAUUAAUUGCUAUAAUAGAUUUUAUCAAAACUUAUCAAUCAACAAUGAACAAUCAGCUUGCUGUAAUGGUUUGCAACUCCGUCCAAUGUUGGAGAUGGAAGUUGGUACAUGGAUACCGGAGCUAUGCAUCACCUAACUCCAAAUCUCAACAAUUUGAAUUCACAUACUCCAUUUGCUGGUUCAGACAAAGUCGUCGUUGGAAAUGGUAUUUGUUUAAAUAUCUCAAAUAUUGGACACUCCAUUAUUUCUUCAGCUUCUCGGUCAUUAAAUCUAAGAAUAUUUUACAUGUUCCACAACUUACAACCAAUCUGAUAAGUGUGAAUAGGUUGUAUACUAACAAUAAUGUUACUGUGGAAUUCUUUACUAAUGGAUUUGUGGUGAAGGAUCAAACUUUGAAGAAGGCUCUUCUCCAAGGCAACCUUAACUAUGGCUUAUACAAUCUGUCUUCAACACCUAGUAGAAGAUAUCAAGAUCCUGAUGAUAAUAAACUUGCUGGAAGAACAAGCUUGACAACUGAGGUCCCAUGUAUGUCAUCUACAUUACAACUUCCCAAUAAGGCAGUUCUAUGGCAUUUCAGGUUAGGCCUCCUGCACAUAAAAUAGUCAAUAAAGUUUUGAGUGCUUGUAGCUUGCCCCUAGAACAUUGGACAGGUGUUUGUGAACCUUGUCAAAUGGCAAAGAGCCAUCGCUUACCUUUUACUUUGUCUGAAUCCAGAGCCUCUCAGCCUUUUGCUCUUGCACAUUCUAAUCUAUGGGGUCCUACCCCUGUUGUUGGUGCUAAUGGUGCAAGAUACUUUGUGCUCUUUGUGGAUGACCAUACAAGAUUUUCUUGGUUGUAUCUACUAGCUUCUAAAGAUCAACUAUCUCUGCCUUUUUGCAAUUUAAAGUGAUGAUUGAGACUCAAUUUGAUACUAAAGUUAGAAUGCUUCAAACUGAUUGGGGAGGAGAGUUUCAAGCCUUUACUAAUACCUUAUGUAAGUUUGGGAUUCUGCAUAGAGUAUCUUGUCCAUCCACUUCUCAACAAAAUGGUCGUGUGGAGAGAAAACAUAGGCAUGUGGUUGAAGUAGGUCUUUCCUUGCUUGCUCAUGCUUCUAUUCCACUUAAAUAUUGGCCUUUUGCCUUCCAAUCUGCUUUAUAUUUGAUUAAUAGGCUUCCUUCCUCUGUGCUGAACUUUUCUCUCCAUAUAAGACUCUUUACCAUUGUCUACCAAAUUAUUCUUUUCUUCGCGUCUAUGGUUGCACUUGUUAUCCUUUUCUCCAUCCUUUUAAUCGCCAUAAAUUUGCAUACCGAUCAGUUAAAUGCACCUUUAUUGGCUAUAGUUCUAAGCAUAAAGGAUAUCUAUGUUUGAACUUGUCCACUGGAAAAAUACAUAUAUCACGACAUGUUAUUUUUUAUGAACUAGAUUUCCCGUUUGCUAAGCCUUCUACAGUUCAACCUCCUUGUCAUGUUUCCCCCUCUCAUUGUGCCAUUCCUUUAGUAAUACCAACCACUCCAAUAUCUUCCCUCUUGCUUUCCUCAUCCAGUCCAUCUUCAGAGCUGGUUCCAAUCUCUUAUGAUAGUAUGUCAAUUUCCUCUUCAAAAGUUGCACCUAUUCCAAUAGCUCAACCGUCUUUCUCUCAUGUUCCUCCUUCUUGUCAUCCCAUGACAACGCAUGCCAAAAAUGGCAUUUUCAAACCCAAGAUAUUUCCAUCCCCUAUUAAGACUAUUUUUCAUUCACCUUGUGAACCGAAUUCCUUCAAGGAAGCUGCUAAAGUUCCUGAAUGGCAGCAAGCUAUGCACCUUGAAUUUGAAGCUCUUAUGAACAAUAAAACAUGGGUCCUAGUUCCUCCUCCGUCUAAUCAGAAUAUCAUUGGAUGUCGCUGGGUUUAUAAAUUGAAGUACAAACCUGAUGGAACUGUUGAACGCAAUAAAGCACGUUUGGUGGCUAAAGGAUUUCAUCAAACUCCUGGUUUUGAUUACUUUGAAACCUUCAGUCCCAUGGUUAAACCUACUACUAUUCGUGUGGUUCUCUCUUUGGCAUUAAGUAAAAAUUGGUCCAUCAGACAACUUGAUGUUCAUAAUGCCUUUCUUAAUGAUGAUUUAUUUGAGCAAGUUUUUAUGACACAACCCCCAGGCUUUGUGGAUCCCUCUAAGCCCAACUUUGUUUGUAAACUUACCAAGGCAUUGUAUGGUCUAAAGCAAGCUCCAUGGGCUUGGUUCACCAAACUCAGCUCCGCCUUAGUUAAAUGGGGUUUUUCCAUGUCUCAAGCAGAUACAUCAAUGUUUGUUUACUAUAACAAUUCUGCCAUGCUUGUUGUCUUGGUUUAUGUUGAUGAUAUUACUGUCACUGGCUCAAGUUCCUUGCUCAUUGAACAACUUAUGUCCUCCUUAAACUCUUGCUUUGCUUUCAAGGAUCUUGGUCCUCUUAACUUCUUUCUUGGAAUAAAGGUGUUGAAUUUUGGAUCUUCUUUGCAUUUAAGUCAAGCUAGAUAUAUCUGUCAUCUUCUUCAACGUGCUGGUUUGUCUGAAUCAAAGUCCAUGACUUCCCCAAUGGCUGCUGGCCCUGUUCUUUCCAUAGAUGAUGGUACCAGAUUAGAAGAUCCCACCUUGUACCGGAGUCUUGUGGGUGCCCUACAGUAUUGCACAAUCACUAGACCAUAUAUUGCUUAUACCGUUAAUAAGCUUUGCCAAUUUAUGCAUGCUCCAACCUCUACUCAUCUUCAAGCCGUGAAGCAUGUCCUUCGUUAUCUCAAAGGUUCAUUGUUUUAUGGGCUUUCUUUCCAACCAUCUUCUUCCCUUGAUCUUAUUGCCUAUACAGAUGCGGAUUGGGCAUCUUGCCCUAAUGAUAGAUGUAGCACCAAUGGCUACUGCAUAUUUUUUAAAGGCAAUCUGGUCUCUUGGUCAGCUUCUAAACAAAAGGUGGUUUCACGCUCUAGUACUAAAUCCGAAUAUAGGGGCUUGGAUAAGGCAACAGUUGAACUCACUUGGAUCCAGUACCUGCUUAAAGAAAUUUUUGUUCCCCUGUUUCAGUCUCCUGUUCUUUAUUGUGAAAAUCUCAGCACUACUUAUUUAGUUGCAAAUCUUGUCCUUCAUUCUCGGGCUAAACAUGUGGAAAUUGAUUAUCAUUUUGUUCGUGAGCAAGUCUUGCAAAAAAUUCUUGAUGUUCGAUUUCUCCCAUUUGAAGAUCAAGUUGCUGAUAUCUUGACCAAAGCUCUUUCAACUCAAUGUUUCCUCCAUCUCCAAAGCAAGCUCACAGUUCUUUCUCAUCCUGUGUGCUCGAGGAGGGAUGCCAAGUAGUUAACAACUUAACAAACUGUUAUUUAAGUAGUUAACAGGCUGUUUGUUGUAACUAAUUAGAUGUGUUUGUUAGUAACUGAUCUUUAGAUUCUUGUAUAUAAGAAACAGAGGACUGAUCAGUGUUGUAGUGGGAUAUAGCUCAAUUUCAGUUUCCGCCUUUCUGGUUUUCUCUCAAACAGAUGCUCUGCACAUCUUCUUCUUCUCUUCGUAUCUCUGAGUUCUUUUUGAACUCUCAUCAUAAUGUGCACCGAAGGGGCCAUACAUGUGGGCUGCAUACCCAUGGGAAAAAUUGGGAAGGUGUGCAUGGGGAGUGAAUGGUGGAAUGAGUGAUGGACAUGUUGGAUAGGUAUGAGAUUUAGGUUGCGUAGGUAUGAACGAUGAGAGAUGGGUAUGGUGACAGUGGGGUAAUCCAGUGGGUAUGAAGGUUGGAGAAAUGGUGGGUUUGCACAUAAGAAUUCUUGCAUGUUGAGGAUGAAUGAGAUGCAAUUUGCUGGAGAAAACAUCGAUUUCCAGCACACCAGAUCACCAAAAAUUACUAUCAUUCUUUUCACCAUUGAUCGCGUUUUCACCAUUGAUUAUUGCAUUUGGGUUCUCUUUACCAUCACUGAUGUCUAAAAGCUUCACAUGAUACAAGGCCCAACUCAAAAUUGCUCUCUCUCUUCGUUUUGACCAUCCAAACCUGUUUGUAGAUGAGCCAUGCCCUGUCUCUUGCAGCAGCUUUUUCUGAGCGUGGACUGCCACCACUAGAGCUGAGGUAUUCCAUUGACAACCGGAGCUACACCGCUACAUGAAUAGGAGUCAAAUGUUGCUCAUACCCUGCAUCUCGUCCCAUAUCUGACUUUCUGCAAUUCCUCUAGUCUGUCCUUGAAUAACCCACAGCUAGCAAAAUCUCCCACAAACUGUAUUAAAAGAGAGUAGACAAAUUCAUGCCACGAGCACAUAUCUAAUAUCUCGAUGCAUUCUUUAAGUAGAGGAUUCCAAGAACGAUGGGAAACAUCUUUUCCAGAAUAAUGAGAACCUGGCCAAGAAGAGUAUCGACUCUGUCAUUGGCUCGGGCCCAUGAAGAAGCUAUGAUUAGCCAACAAGACCAAGAGCAACUAAGGAAGUCAAAGGUAAAAGAAGUGUAGCUGGAAUCUGGGUGCCACCAUUCAAACUGUUGAGUAGCCAAGUGCUCUGUAACAAUGUCAUCUAAUAAGAGGACUCAUUGGACAUCUCUUCUAUGGACAAGUGGGGCAUCAACAAAUUCUGAAAGGUGUCAUUGAGUCAACUGAAACUCUCUUGAACCUCAUAAUAGAAACCUACUCAUCAAAUCAUAGUCCAUUCCCACCAUAUUGGCCGCCUUCAAAAAUAACACUGAUGAGGCCCGAAGUUGUUGAAACAUCUGAAGGCUCUUCUGACAAUUUUUUGCACAGCUUCACGAGAAAUCUUCUCAAACCAUUUCUCAAGGAUGUCUAUACAAUGAAAGGUGCUAAUUACUUGGUCAAUGUUUUAUAUUAACACACUAUUAAUCAUGACUUACAAUUUUUUCUUCGAAUUAUUGAAUUGGAGAUGAGUCAAAUGCAACUGCUUAGAUGUUAACUAUCUUUCCUCUGUCAUAAAUAAACAAAUGGUUAAUUAAGUCUUAUUCUAUUGUUAUUAAAAAAAAAAUAGAACAACAUAUGAAAAUAAAAAAGGAUUUACAUAUUAAAAGAAAUGUGCAUUCCUAUGAUUUAUAGGGAUAUUAGUGCUCAUAAUGAGGAGGCAAAGUCAACUCUCCAACAAUGAUCUCACACAUAGAUAACUCCUAGAAUUGUAAUGUUUAUGUUUAUUUUUACGGUGUAAUUAGAAGAUUAUUUAUAUAAAAGUUCUCAAUAAUAUUUCUAGCUUCAAUUGCCACAUACACCAAGUUUUACAUGGCAUCAAAGUAUGAACUAACAAGCCAAAAUAUGUUUUCUUCUUUAUUCUUUUUUUCUAUUAAAAAAUUGAACUUGAAUUCAAUAUUUAGUAAUUUCACAAGUGUUCUAAUUUCAUCUUAAUCAAACUAAAAUAUUACAAAGUUUUCUAUUUGGAAAAAUCAAGUUCUCCCUUAGUUUUAUUUGUGGCCUCAGUAUUCACCAUUAUUUUUUAAAUAAAACGAGGAAAACAAAAGUAUCCUAACCUACAAUACUAGAUAUGGGUCAAUAAUAAUGGGCUUCUCACUUUAUGGCUUCUUCAAACCAUGAAAGGAGGCAUUUUAAAGAUGAUAUUUCAUGUUGAAAUGAUAGAUGAUCGAGGUAUGAACUGCUCUUGAAGAGUAUUUGCCCCUUACCAUAGUGGAGAAUGAAAGAAACCUAGAAAAUAUAUUCAUGACCCUCAAAAAGAGGUCAUUGUCUCUUAAAGAGUAUUUAGGGGACUUCAAAACUAUAUGUGACAAUCUUGCAACAAUCAAAAAUCUUGUUUCAAAUCAAGACAAAGUUUUUCAAUUUGCUCAUGGCUUAGGACAUGACAAAGAUAUGAAAAGUUUUUAAAUUUUCAUUUAGUCUAAAAUCAAUUUGCCAUUACAACACAAUUUUAUUUACUCUGACUAUGAUGAUUUUGCUUCUUUAUUUUAAAAUAUUUACUUCAUUGUGGAGGUAUUUUCCCAAAAAAAAAAAGGUUUUCCCAUUGUUACAAGUGAUGACUUUCACACUUGCUUUAAAGAUAUAAGAUUUAGAUUUAACCAAUGUAACCUAUUUCACUUUGAGAAGCAUUUUUUAAAGAACUAUUUCAUUCAUUAUAUGAAAAAUUAUCAAAUUUGACAUAAUUUUCAUGAAUUUCAUAAAUCUAAAAUCUCAUUUAGAAAUCAAACUUAGAAGAUUCCCUAUUAAUCAAGAAAAAUAGAAAAUCUUACAUUACCUAUACAUCAAAUUCUAUAUUUACUCCAAUCUUAGAGUCUAGAGUGUCAUUAAAAUAUCUCUAGGGAUAAUAGAGAGAAGCCUCACUUUUAAAAGAACUUCAUAAAUGAAAGAUCACUCAAAAUAAAUAAAAUAGUGAAUGUAUUUUCAAUAUUUAAUCAUUGUAUAUAUAAAAGAGUUAAAAUAAAUAAAAUAAAUUUAAAGUAUAAUAUAAAAAUAAUUUAUUAUUUAAUUUUUUUUGUCUUACUCUUUUUUCUUUCCAUUUUAUUAUUUUCAGAUAUUUUAAUAAAGAAAAAAAAUGUUAAGGGUCUUUUUCAUAUUUAAUCUCAUCAUAAAAAAUAUAAAAGAAAAUUAAAUAUAUAGUUAAAAAUUUUAUAUUUUAAAUAAUUUAAUCUUUACAUAUGAGAAUAAGUGAAAUCGGUUUUAAACCAAAAAUUUAAAUUUCUUUAAUCUUUGCAUAUGAGAAAUAAGUGAAAUCGAUUUUAAGCAGUAUAUAAAAAUAAUUUAUUAACUUUAAAUUAAUUUUUUAACUUUUUAAUUUAUGUUUCCUUCUUAUUUUCUUUUUAUUUAUUUAUUUUUUAAGUUGUGUUUGGUUUUCAGAAAUUAUUAAGGAAAAAAGAAAAUAAUAAGGAAAAUGAUUUUCUUGUUUGAUUACAAUAUAGAAUAUAGCAAUAAAAAUGAAAUAUAAUUAAAAUUAAUAAAAACUUAUACAUUCUCUAAUCUAUGUAUUAAAGAAAUAAAAUAAAUAAAAUAAGUUUGGAGUAACAUAUAAAAAUAAUUUAUUGAUUUUAAAUUUAUUUUUUAUUUUCCUUUGUGUUUUUUUCUUUCUUUCUAUUUUCUUCCCCUUUCAUUUUCCCUCAAAUGUUUUUGAGCCAAACAUAGCUUUUGAGUUUUAGUAACCAAACAUAAGCAUGAUGUUAGAACUUCGAGGAAACAUGAAUACAAUUUAUAGUUAUAAUGAUACAUGUGAUCUCUCUUUCAUGAUCAAUCCAAGAAGAACUUGGAGUCCCCAUCACCUAAACCCUUAUCAACUGCUAUUUUACAUAUGAACUACUAUUUUACAUGAUCAAUCCUAAUAGUCUCAUACACUUCUUUGUUAGACUUCAGCCAGCCACAAGUAUUGGUUGAAGGAAAUAAGACAACAUUCAACAAACAAGAAUUGAUUUCUUAAUUCAUGAUACAAUGAAAGGUGCUAAUUACUUGGUCAAUGUUUUAUAUUAACACACUACUAAUCAUGACUUGGCUAAUAAAAUAGCCUUACAAUAACUAAUUGAUAAGAAAAACAGCCCACGUUUUACACUAACAAAUAACGUGGUAAAGAGUAGAGAAUAAGUCAAAGCUGGAAACUACCCUGCUUAUAAAACUACCCUGCUUAAUAGGAAUUAUUAAAAAAAAAAAAAAAAACUAAACAAUCAGAAAACUUAAAUCUUGACAAGGACAUAGUUCUGAUCAAUUAUGAGAAGAUGAAAACUUGUUGCGAAGACAGAUUCUGAUUUUGCAAGCUUGGGUAGACCAGAUGUAACCUAAUUCACUUUGAGAAGCAUUUUUUAUAGAACUAUUUCAUACAUGAAAUGAAAAAUGAUCAAAUUUGACAUAAUUUUCAUGAAUUUCAUAAAUCUAAAAUCUCAUUUAGAAAUCAAACUUAGAAGAUUCCCUAUUAAUUAAGAAAAAUAGAAAAAUCUUACAUUACCUAUACAUCAAAUUCUAUAUUUACUCCAAUCUUAGAGUCUAGAGAGUCAUUAAAAUAUCUCUAGGGAUAAUAGAGAGAAGCCUCACAUUUAAAAGAACUUCAUAAAUGAAAGAUCACUCAAAAUAUUUAGGAAAACAAUAUCAUAUCAAUUAAUCAAACUAUCAAACUAUCAAACCACAGGUAUGUUAACUAAUAAGUAAGGACAUAGUUCUGAUCAAUUAUGAGAAGAUGAAAACUUGUUGCGAAGACAGAUUCUGAUUUUGCAAGCUUGGGUAGACCAGACACAGCAUUACUGGUACAUGCUGAUGAACUAGCUGCUGAAGAUUCCCAACUCGAAAACUAUUGAUCUGUCUUGAAACCAGCCUAGGAGUGAGACACCAAGGCUAAUCUACUGGAAUGAAGCAUUGCAAUACCUUGGGCUGCCAUGGAAAUGCAAUGAAAGUUGGCUUUCUUGACAAGCUUGAUCUUGGGAUGCCAAUCAUUGCAUUACUAAGUGAUGCUUAUGGGGCCACAUCCCCGUUAUGCUUGUUGGAGACUUUAACAGCAUGCCACCAAGUACACCGUAUCAGUUUCUGGCCUCAUCUAAAAUGGAACAUCAGUCACAACAUAGAGCCUACAGAUACCAGCAGAAUGAAGAUGCAUCCAGAACAAGGCCAUUCAUGCAUACAUGGAGCAAUGAAGAAUUAAGGCCCGCCACUGGCAGCGAUGGAGUUAUCUCAUAUGGUCCUUGUCAAACUCCUAUUCUUGGCUUCUGUGUACAGCACCACUGGAAGUUUUCCCACUCCAAUAUCAGAAAGUUGAAAUAUUCUCAAGAAAUGACCUGACCUCCAGGUUGACCUUGGCUGUUGAUACUGCUUCCAUUGGACCUCUUCCUCUCUUGGGUUCAUUCAUCACUCAGAUGGGUACAAAUGACUACAGUUCAAUUCCUUAACAACUCAAAGAUCACAAAUGCGAGGGAUCAUAUGGAACUAGAUGGCCUAUAGAAAAAAGAUGGUGAAAGAGCAGAGAAGGUGGACUCAUUAACAGCUGAAGUCAAAAGGCUAAAGGAUCUUUUGUUAUUUCCACAUUAAAAUUAAGUGGGUGGCCCACUAACCUAGUAUUUAGCCAAUUAAAAGAAUACCCAAUAUCUUUAAACUGUUAUAAAGAUAUUUACCCUUGAUGGAGUGGGUAAAUUAUAAUAAUUUUAAUAUUAUUAUUUGGAAUAAAAACAGUUAUUCGAAUAACACGUUUAGAACGAUUUUUGAACGUGUAUUCUUGGCCCUCUUCUCCUAUCAAUAAGAUAUAUAUAUAGAAACCCCUUCAUGUGCGGUGAGUACUCUCUUCCAUCAAUUACAGAAAACAAUUCUGUGUAUUAAGGUUUGAUAAGGAGAAGAAGAGAUAAAGGAUUUAAGAUCUAUAAACUGAAGGGAAAUCUCUCAUGGCUGCUUGUUCUUCAAACGGUAUGUAAUCUAUUUUUAAUUAAUGUUUUUAUUAUUUUAUUAUUAGAGAUGAGUUUGAAUUCAAUGAUCUGGAAUAUCGUGUGUUAAUUUCCGUAUUAAAUAUCAACAAUUGGUAUCAGAGCAAGGUUGAAUUUAAAUAUUCAGAAUCACUGUUUUAUAAAGAUUAAAUUUUGAGAUUUAUCUUCGAUUAAUUCGUCUCACUAAAAUGAAUAAAAAAAAAAUUAAUUAAACAAAAUAAAGACCAGCCUCAACGCGUAGAAGGAAGAUUUUUAUUUUUCCUUGCAACGCUAACUGGAUCAAUGCCGAUGAGGGGCGCUGGUUUGGCGGACUGGUUUGGCGUCAGUCCGGUGGCCGUUUUCUGACGCCAUUGCCGGUGCCAUCGCGCCGUUUUCAGGCGCCAAUCCAGGCGCCAUUGUCGGAGCACCAUCUCGCCGUUUGCGCGCUGGUUGCAGGCGCCAUUGUUGGCGCCAGUCCAGGCGGCAUUACUGGCCCCAUUGAAGGCACCAUCUCGCUGUUUGCGCAUUGGUUGCAAGCGCCAUUGCUGGCGCCAUUGAAGGCGCCGUUUUUAGGCGCUAUCUUCUGGUUGCAAGUGUCGUUUCCUCGCCGUUUCAGGCGCGCUUCAAACACCAGACUAGAAGCUUCAAUAAAGGAGAAAUACAGAAUCACAACACUGGUUAGCCGAUUGUCAUCAUCACUUAUUUGAAUAUGAAACUGAAAUCCUCUUUUAAGAUGUCCAUGCAGCUUGUGCUAUUUGAACAACAAUUUCAUGAAACAAAAAAAAAAACUAUUCAAGUCAUAGCUUUAGCUUUAGGUUGAAAUUCAAAAAAAUAAAAGGUGCAUAAGACUUUAGUUUGAUAUACAAUGUAAAUUGAUUAUUGAAUCAGAUGAUUAUUAAAGAUACUAUUUCCUUGAUUUUUUAUUAUUUGAUUUGAACCUUUGUGAAAUUAUUAUUGUAUCUGAUGAAUGCAGAUUUCUUUGAUUUUAUUAUGAUUGAUUAUUGAAUUAGAUGAUUAUUAAAGAUACUAUUUCCUUGAUUUUUUAACUCAAAUAAAAGAAUUAAUUUCAUCUUGUGAAAUUUUAUCCAAAUGACAAUUUAUAAAUGUAAGGUUAACUAAUUUAGAUAGUUGCCAAAGUAACCUAAAUUAGUGAGCCUUGUAUUUAUUGAAUUGCAUAAAAGAAUAAAGGGAGACUUGUAAAAUUCUUAAUAAUUCUCUUUAUAAUUAGGAGAAUGAGACUAACCCAAAGGAGAGUCAAUUUCUACUAAUUAUUAAUUAAUGUUUUUAUUUUGUGUUGCUUAGAAAGGUAAAAUGGAUACCCAAAGGUAACAUAUAAAUGACACAAAAUAGUAAAGUGUUUUAAGCUCCCUCCAAGUGAACACUGGAUAUGUUAAAAUUUACCCAAAGGAGAAUUUUAAUGAUAUCAAUAGUUCAUUGCUAUUUAUUUUAUACUUGAGGCUUUAUUGUCAGCAUUGUUCUAUUUUGUACAGUUCCCACUUCAUUACACUCUCUUGCAUCUGGAAUGACUGUUUUUGAUGGGUCGAACUUUUCUGAAUGGUAUGAAAGGGUUCAAUUCUCACUGGGCGUAUUGGAUCUUGACCUGGCUUUAAUAACUAAUAAACCUCUUGAAGCUAUGGAUGACAGUACUCCGGAGCAAGUGGAACAAUCAAAAGCUUGGGCAAGAUCCAACAAACUCAGUCUGAUGUUUAUGAGAAUGACUAUUGCCAAUAAUAUCAAGACCUCUCUCCCUCAAACCGAGUUUACCUCGGAAUUUCUGAAAUCUGUUGAGGAGCGCUUCAAACGCGCUGAUAAGUCUCUUGUAGGCACAUUGAUGGCUGAAUUGACCACCAUGAAAUAUGAUGGUCAGAAAGGUAUUCAGCAACAUAUUUUAAACAUGACUGAAAAGGCUACAAAGCUUAAGGCACUAGGCAUGGGUAUGGAUGAGUCCUUCUUGGUACAGUUUGUCCUUAACUCACUUCCAUCAUAGUUUGCUACAUUCAAAAUCGACUAUAAUACUAACAGUGAUCAGUGGAACUUGAAUGAUCUCACCAGUAAAUGUAUAUAAGAGGAAGUGAGAUUAAGACAAGAAGGACAUAAUCUUGCUCUUGCUGUAACUCAUGGAGUCAUGAAGAAGAAAGGAAAAUUCAAAAAAGGAAAGAACUUUCCACCUAAGAAAAGCGGACCUGGGGAAGGUAGCCAGAGUCAUGAUGGAAAAUUCACGGUAAGUUGCUACUUUUAUGGCAAGAAAGGGCUUGUGAAGAAGGACUGUAACAAGAGCAAGGCUUGGUUCGAAAAGAGAGGUAUAAAUCUUUCUUUUGUAUGUUAUGAAUCCAAUCUUGCUGAAGUUCCUUCAAAUACUUGGUGGAUUGAUUCUGGAGCCACAACUCAUGUGACUAAUUUAAUGCAGGGAUUCCUUACAACCAGGAAACCAAAGGAAAGUGAAAAGUUCCUCUAUAUGGGAAACCGUCUCAAGGUUGAAGUGGUAGUUGUUGGUACCUAUCGCUUACUAUUAGAGACGGGUCAUUGGAUGGAUCUUUUAAACACUUUUUAUGUACCUUCUAUCUCUAGGAAUUUAGUUUCCUUAUCCAAAUUAGAUGCUACUGGAUAUUCUGUUUUAUGUUCUGGACAAUUAAGUUUGAUGUUAAAUUCUGUUACAGUUGGUUCUGGUAUUUUAUGUGAUGGUUUAUAUAAAAUUUCCUUGAAUCAUGAAUUUGCACAAGCUUUGAUAACCCUACAUUCAAAUUUUGGUUCAAAACGUGGCUUAAUUAAUGAAAAUUCUUCAAUCUUAUGGCACAGAAGACUAGGGCACAUCUCUAGGGAAAGAAUUGAGAGAUUAGUGAAGGAAGGAAUUUUACAAAAUCUUGACUUCACUGAUUUUCAUGUAUGCAUGGAUUGCAUAAAGGGAAAGCAAACUAAACAUACAAAGAAAGGUGCCACAAGAAGUAAUGCGCUCCUUGAGAUAAUUCAUACAGAUAUUUGUGGACCAUUCUCUGUUCCAUGUUUUACAGGAGAGAAAUAUUUUAUCACCUUUAUAGAUGAUCUAUCUCGUUAUGGUUAUGUUUAUCUAAUGCAUGAAAAGUCUCAGGCCAUUGACAUCUUCGAGAUGUUCAUAACAGAGGUCGAGAGACAAUUAGAUAAAAAGAUUAAAAUUGUGAGAUCAGAUCGAGGCGGUGAAUAUUAUGGCAGAUAUGAUGAAUCACGACAAAAUCCUGGUCCUUUUGCCAAAUUCCUUGAAAAGUGUGGCAUUCGUGCUCAGUACACAAUGCCUGGUAUGCCACAAUAGAAUGGUGUUGCUGAAUGGCGUAAUCGCACAUUAAUGGAAAUGGUUAGGAGUAUGAUGAGUUACUCUUCUGUACCUAUUUCAUUGUGGGGUGAAGCCUUAAAAACCACAAUAUAUAUCUUGAACAGAGUUCCUAGUAAGGCAGUUCCAAAAACACCUUUCGAGUUAUGGACUGGUAGGAAACCUAGCUUGAGACAUAUACAUAUAUGGGGUUGUCCAGCGGAGGCAAGAAUCUAUAACCCACAUGAGAAAAAGCUUGAUUCAAGAACGAUAUCUGGAUAUUUCAUUGGCUAUCUGGAUAAAUCGAAAGGGUACAGAUUUUAUUGUCCUAACCACAGUGUGAGAAUAGUUGAAACCGGUAAUGCCAGAUUCUUAGAGAAUGGCGAAAUCAGUGUGAGUAAUGAACCAAGAAAGGUAGAUAUUGAGGAGAUAAGAGUGGAUAUCCCACCACCUUUUUUACCUCAAGAAAUUAUUGUCCCUCAACCUGUUCAACAAGUUGAGGAAAAUGAGCAACAUAAUAGAGAUGGUUCAUUACCACCAGAAAAUAUUGCCAUUGAAAAUGUUGUAGAGCCACCACAACCGACACCUUUGAGGAGAUCUCAAAGAGAAAGGAGACAUGCCAUUACAGAUGAUUAUGUGGUGUAUCUACAGGAAUCUGAUUUUGAUAUUGGGAUAAGGAAGGAUCCGGUUUCAUUUUCACAAGCCAUGGAAAGUGAUGAUUCUAGUAAAUGGAUGGAAGCUAUGAAUGAAGAGUUGAAAUCUAUGGCCCAUAAUGGUGUCUGGGAUCUCAUCGAAUUGCCUAAUAGUUGUAAACCCGUCGGCUGUAAAUGAGUCUUUAAGACAAAGCACGACGCUAAAGGCAAUAUCGAACGAUUUAAGGCCAGACUUGUGGCCAAAGGUCUCACUCAAAAGGAAGGUAUCAAUUACAAAGAUACCUUCUCUCCAGUUUCCAAGAAAGAUUCGCUAAGAAUCAUCAUGGCACUUGUAGCUCAUUUUGAUUUAGAGUUACAUCAAAUGGAUGUGAAAACUGCAUUCUUAAAUGGGAAUUUGGAUGAAGAUAUCUACAUGGAACAACCUGAAGGGUUCACAAAGAAAGGAAAUGAACACCUAGUUUGCAAAUUAAAGAAAUCCAUUUACGGUCUUAAAACAAGCUUCCAGACAAUGGUAUAUUAAGUUCAAUAAUGCCAUUACAUCUUUCGGAUUUAAAGAGAACAUUGUUGAUCAGUGUCUAUAUCUGAAAGUUAGUGGGAACAAGUUUAUAUUUCUGAUACUGUAUGUGGAUGAUAUUUUGCUUGCUAGCAGUGAUCUUGGUUUAUUACGUGAAACCAAGGAAUAUCUCUCUAAAAACUUUCAUAUGGUUGAUAUGGGUGAGACAAACUAUGUUAUUGGCAUCGAGAUCUUUAGGGAUCGAUCUCGAGGAGUGCUAGGUUUAUCUCAGGAAGGAUAUAUUGAUCGGGUUUUAGAGAGAUUUAAUAUGCAAUCAUGUUCAUCGGGUAUUGCACCUAUAUUGAAAGGUGACAAAUUAAGUAAAAUGCAGUGCCCAAGGAAUAACAUGGAAAGGGAGCAAAUGAAGAAAAUUCCUUAUGCAUCAGCUGUGGGGAGUUUGAUGUACGCUCAAACAUGUACAAGACCGGAUAUAAGCUUUUCUGUAGCCAUGUUAGGAAGAUACCAAAGUGAUCCAGGAUUCGAACACUAGAAAGUUGCAAAGAAGGUGAUGAGGUACUUACAAGGGACAAAGGAUUAUAUGCUCACAUAUAAAAGAUCAGAACAAUUAAAGGUUGUCGGUUACUUGGAUUCUAAUUAUGGUGGUUGUCUCAAUAGCUUAAAGUCAACUUCAGGAUUUGUCUUUAUUCUAGCAAAUGGGGCAAUCUCGUGGAAGAGUGAAAAACAAUCAAUUACUGCUUCAUCCACGAUGGAGGCCGAGUUUGUUGCUUGUUUUGAAGUUCAAGUCAUGCUCUAUGGUUGUGGAAUUUUUUCUCAGGGCUUGGUGUUGUCAACUCUAUUGCUAAACCUUUGAGAAUAUAUUGUGAUAACACCGCAGUUGUUUUCUUCUCUAAGAAUGGCAAAUUUUCUAGUGGAUCGAAACACAUGGAUUUAAAGUAUUUAGUUGUUAAAGAAAGAGUCCAGAAACAACAAGUGUCAAUUGAAAAUAUUAGAACCACAUUUAUGGUUGUUGAUCCAUUAACUAAAGGAUUACCUCCAAAGGCAUAUUUGGAACAUGUUAUGAGGAUGGGCCUUUUGAGUAAUCCAUAAUAUGUAUGAUAAUGAAUGGUGGUUAUGUAAUUGACAAUUUGCGCAUUAAAAUUGUUUCUGUUUAUUCUUGUUUUCAAUUAUAGGUGACGUUUUAUUGUUUGAUAAACAAGAAUUGUCCUGACAAGACAAAUUACAGGGGUUAUUUGGCAUUAAGGACUGGGUUAGUAAGGGUUAUUGAUGUGUGGUGCAUGGAAGGAAACAUGACAUUAUGGUUAUGUGACCGCCAUGACUCGCAUUUAUGAUCUAAACUGAUUCAGUAUUAUGGUAUAUGAUUUUGGACGUGUUGGCUAAGUUUAUUGAAAUCAUGAUCACGUGUCAAAUUUAUUUUCCAGUAUAUAUUUUAUAUAUAAACUAAAUAUAUUAUAGUUUUCAUAAUCGGUUUAGUGGGCCAAGUGGGAGAAUGUUAUUUCCACAUUAAAAUUAAGUGGGUGGCCCACUAACCUAGUAUUUAGCCAAUUAAAAGAAUACCCAAUAUCUUUAAACUGUUAUAAAGAUAUUUACCCUUGAUGGAGUGGGUAAAUUAUAAUAAUUUUAAUAUUAUUAUUUGGAAUAAAAACAGUUAUUCGAAUAACACGUUUAGAACGAUUUUUGAACGUGUAUUCUUGGCCCUCUUCUCCUAUCAAUAAGAUAUAUAUAUAUAGAAACCCCUUCAUGUGCGGUGAGUGCUCUCUUCCAUCAAUUACAUAAAACAAUUCUGUGCAUUAAGGUUUGAUAAGGAGAAGAAGAGAUAAAGGAUUUAAGAUCUAUAAACUGAAGGGAAAUCUCUCAUGGCUGCGUGUUCUUCAAACGGUAUGUAAUCUAUUUUUAAUUAAUGUUUUUAUUACUUUAUUAUCAGAGAUGAGUUUGAAUUCAAUGAUCUGGAAUAUUGUGUGUUAAUUUUCGUAUUAAAUAUCAACAUCUUUGCUAUCACAGACGUAAUCAGAAGAAGAGGCCAAGCAAGCUGCCUCUAGUCUAGGUGGCACAACCCAAAUAGAUGGAAUUGGAGAUAUGCUUGAAGUGAGUUUGAAAGAGGUUAUUUAGGCACAAGCACAACAACAUGAAUUGUCGUUUAAGCUUUUGUUGAUGAUUCAAGUUGGGAUUCUGAGAAACUAGAGUUGAGUUGGAGUGCCUUGGCUGAUGAGGUAGUGCGCCAAAACCCAAUGAGCCCUCUAAAAUCAAUAUGGUCAGUUCUUUUCCAGACUACCAGCAAUCUGCAUAGGUCUCCUCAUGCAACCACCAGUGGUGCAGUCUCAGUCCUAUCCCUGGGCCUCACUCCUGCAUGGCUACCUUAAUGCACACUGUCCUCUCCCAAAUGCAUUUCUAUUGUUUCUUUGUGAUCUUACAUGUUUUUAAUCGGGUUUUCAAAUGUUUUUUCAUUCAGAUAAUCUCGGGUUUAAAAAUUAAUCCUUAAACAUUUUUAGGCAUUAAAAUCCUAAUUUUUAAUAAACACUUGCAACCAUUCUUCUCCUAGCAUGAACCUUCCUAAUUUUCUUUAAUUUUCAACAAUUUUCUCGAUUUUUAAUAAACAUGAAUAAAUUCCAUAAUUCCAAAAAUAAUGGAAUUCCUUCCAAAUUCCUGUAAUUCCUCUAUAAUCAUUAGAGUUAGAAUUUAUAGGAUUAGCUCAUGCAAAAAUAAAAUUAGGCCUUGAUGGGAGCCCAACAUCCAUGAUAUUUUCCUUCAUAAUAAUCCAAGUGAAAUGCAUCUUAGGUAUUUAUUGACUUUGAUCUGUUUGUGAAGUGUGUGUGAUUAUUUUCUAUGGUACACUAACCUUGUUUCUUUGAGACAUUUUUGUUGUUGCAUAGGUAUGCUUUCAUCUCUACCUUGUCUAUUUAUUUAUUCCUCAUUAUCAUGCAUGAUUUGUUUUAGUCCAUGACUCUUGCUCCUUGGCAUCCACCAAUUAACUAGUCAAUUACCAUACUUGCUUCAACUUGAUUAGUAGAAACCUGAUUUUAGGGCUUGGAGGAGUGCAAUGACUUAUCAUCAUAACUUCUUAAUAGAUAACUUGACCCUCGGAUCCUAACUCAGUUUUCACAAACUUGCUUUUCCCUUUUAAGAGUCACAAUUAGGGGUUUUUUUUUUUUUCUUAUUUUGUUUUCCUUUCUUAAAAAUAAUAAAAAAUAAUUGAUGACUCCAAGUCUUUUCCUAAAAAUAAAAUAUUUCACAAAUAAAAAGCGAGUCAUGCUAUCAAGUGGAAAUGCAUGUGAAAAAUGCAAGUCCACAAGAUCCUAUAAUGGGGCAUUUUUCACCACUUUGAGCUUAUUAGAUUCACAUCAUAUUCAAUUGGGGCUUCAUUAGGGACAUGAUUCUAUUCUUGAGACUAUCAAACCUCUUGUCAUUCUGGUCAUCCUUUUGAGAUUUGAUUUGGAGCAUUUCCUUUGAGACAUGGACAAAUUUAUAUUUUGAUUUCUUAGUUCAUUAUCAUUGAGUUGGAGACAUCACGAUUACCAUAGUUUCUUCAGGAGUAUUUUUACCCAAUCAGACAAGUGAGGAUGUUUAUGCUUUUUAAAUAUGUAACAAAGUUCUAUAAUUGCUUCAAUCCAUGUUUUAAAAAUUGUAUUUCUUUCUAAUAUUGGAGCAAACUUUUUCUUUCUUAUAAAUUUCAUUUGGGAAUGAUUUAAAAAUAAAUAAAUAAAACUCCUUCUAAAUAUUAAAAAGUAACACUUUCUUAUAAAAAUUAAUUAGGUGGAUGGUAAGGUCAAAUUCGGGAUAGCUUCAUAUUUUUUGCUUUAACUUAAAAUUAAAAUCAAAAUUAAAGUAAUAAUUUUUAAGGGGUAAUAUUGAUAUUGUAAGAGUUUUACUAAACAUGAAAGAACUUCUUAUAUAUAUAUAAAAUAGAAUUAUAAAAUUCUUAUAAAACAUAACAUUUUGAUGACUUGUACAUGAAAUCUUUUUUAAAAGUUAUAAGUUUUUUAAAAAUAUAUAUGAAAAUCACUUUUAAAAAUCCAAAAAAUCCCUUAAAAAUAAUUUCUAAACAUUUUUUUAACUUAGAUUUAAAAAAUAAAUGAGUAAAAAAUGAUUUGUUUUUACUAGUUAUUUAAUUUUAAGGAAGCAAUAAAGGGUUUAAUUUGAUGUAAAAUAAAAGAUAAAUAAAUAAAUAAAUAAAUAAAAUGAGGGUUGAAAAGUAAUUAAAUCACUAAAAAAUGGAAUUGGAGUUCCUUCGGUGUGGGGUUAAACUCAAUUUGUCCCAUGCAAUGGAAAUGGACGAUUUUUAUUUUUAUUUUUUUCCUUUUCCUUUAUCUUGGUGUAGUCUUGUGAUAUUGUUACUAAAAUAGUAGGUAAAAAUAUAAAUUAUGUAUCAAUUAUUUUAAAUUUAGAAAAAAAAAAUGCUUAUUUUAAUUUCAAAUAAAUAAAUAGAAAAAAAACUAAUUUUAUCUCAAUUGUGCAAGACUUUAUAAAAAAAUUCUUAUUUGCAAAAUAUUUUGAGUUGUAAAAGUAAAAUUUAAACAAAUCAUUUCAUGACCUUUUUAACAAGUAUCCAUUUAGAUCAUAGUCUAAUUUUUAAAUAUUUGAAUAAUCCAAUUACUCUAAACUAUGUCAUUUAUAAUUUUUUUUAAUUAUUAAUAUGAUACCUAAGCUUCUACAGAAUUGGAAUAAAAUAUGGAUAAGUAAAAAAUGUCAAAUAAAAGAUAAUUUCAAUCUUUUCUAAUACAACAUAAUAUUUUAUCAUGUUGAAUAAAAUUGGAAUGGGCAAAAGUUGUCAAAUCAAGACUUACAUGGAAAAUUCCACCAUUGCAUAUCUCAAUGAUUAUUCUACAACAUUAUCUUUGUAGACUUUUAAUAAUCCAAGAAAUCGACAAAUUAUAUAAUAAUCCCAAACACACAAUAUUCUACAAUUUUUUUGAAUAAAAAAUAAAUAAUGAAAUUUGAAUAAUGCAAACAUUCAAUGAAAUCUUUGGCAUGUUAAUUCUUUGCAGCUUCAACAUGCUGGCAUGUCGGAUGGCGAAGGCAGCAUUUGAGCUUCUGGGUGUUUACCAUUUUUCACUAUGAACGCAGUUUCCAUGCCCCAAGUCACAUGGCGUUCUACAUGGCAGUGCAUGAACCACACUCCUGCAAUAGAGCAAAUAUACCAACAUUACACCUAACUUAUUGCAAUAUUAAGAAAAAUUAUUUCAAGGGUUUUUUUUUAUAAUAGAGGACGUGAGUGCUUGCAACAUACCAGGGUUGGAUGCCUCAAAUCUGAUUGCAACCCAACCAUUCGUAGGAACGGAGAUGGUACUCUGAAGGGGAGGAUCCACCAGAUUAUAGCGUAAAGGGUCCCUAUUUUUAUCGAAAUUCCCAAAUCCCCAUCCAACAAGGUAGAAACUGUAUCCAUGGAGAUGCAUGGGGUGGUGUGUCCCUGCAACCAAGUUUGUCCCUUGAAAAACAAUCUCCACUGUGGAGUUAUACUCGAGCACCCUUACUUCUGUUCCGAUUUCUGGCGUCUGAUACUCUAAUGGAAGAUAAUCAGCUGUAAAAUCAAACACCAGUGGUGGAACGCUAGGAAAUUUAUCUCCAUAUACACCACUGAUGUUAUAAUAGUAAGCUUGUAGUAUGUCAAUCGUAGGGGAUUGGAAGCUUAUGUUGUUUAUACUUGCGGAGAAUCGCGUCCCAUUGGGCCCUGCACAUGAAUUAUUAGGGCAUAGGAACGAGUUUACAGAAACAGUGUAAAUUAGUUUAGUGCUCGGGCUCAAUGGGACAUUGGAAGGAUGUUCCGCAUCUACUAAGCUUCGGAGGCCAACCAUGACCUGAACCGAUGCAUUUGUGUCAUUAUAUGCAGGAAAAUGAGGCAAGGAGAGAGGUGAAGAUGAAGUGUAGUAACCUCUAUAAUGUACAAUAGCUGUGGUGGUUGUGUUAUCAUAAAAAUUUUGAGCUAUCGGGGCAAUGGAAUAAGUUUUAGCCGCCAUGUAAUAGUGAUCUGGGCGUUGGUUAGCUUCUAGUAAGACAUCGAGGUUUGGCCAGGAUAUAUUGUGAUAUAAUCUCGUGUCAAUGGUUUCGUGUAGCUACCAUAUGUUCCAACCACUGUCAUUUUAUGCUUGGCAAUGGAGAAGAAGAGAGCCUCAUGCAAGGCAGCAUUGAUUAUGCGAAGUAGAUAGGUCUUUCCAUGAUCCACUCUUAGCUUGAAUGUGCCUGCAAUUAGAAAGGAAAAGUUGUAUACUUAUGACUAGCGAAAAGAAAAAAACUUUCCAUGAGCAUCCACCAAUUAUGAAGUGAUUGAUUAAUUAAGGGUGUAAAUUUGGCUCCAUAGUUCAAAUUUAUAUUUGGACUAGCCUUUUCUUAUGUGUUAAGUCAUGGCUCUACCAUCCUCAUAGCUAUAUUCCUCUUUCUUAGCAUUAAGUUUUCAAUAUGUUUAUAUUAAUAAGAAAAAGUAAUAUGGUUAACAUACAAGAAAAUGACAUCAGUGCACAAUUUUAAAAUGGGAAGUUAAACUUUAUACCUGAUUUUGAGCAUGGAUAUAGAUCACUGGGUUGUCCAUUUAUCAAUAAAGAAUCAGAGGCAUUAGGGUCAGCUCUGGUUGCAAGCCCUUCAUCUCGAACCGCAUUCACAUCACUCUUCCACCAUUGUCCUGCAUUUCAACAACUCCAAUAAUUUAGAUUUCGCUUUGUUAGUUAAUUCAUGAUAUGGAAAUUAACCUUUAAAAGGAACUACACUUAUACCUAAUAUGAUGGGAAUUUCUGCGUUAGGUUUGGGAAAAGGAUACUUGGUUCCAUUCUUGGGAUAAACGAUUAUAGCUCCAUGAACAGUGGCUCGGGUCCAGUCAUUGUGAGCAUGCCACCAUAGAGUGCCUUCCUCGGAGGAAAGGAUGAUCUUUUGGCUAAACUUUGACCCUGGUUGAAUUGGGCAUUGUGUGAUAUACUCGGGACCAUCUGUCCAUGGAUAUCUAGGCAUGUUCACCCCAUGCUUGCAAAACAAUAACUAUACGUUAAAACUAGUACUAAUUUUCGGACUAACAAAAGAUGGCAUGUAGCAACAUAUUAUCAUAGUAACAAGAGGCAUCAACUGUAUUUCAAUGGAACUAAUGCAAAUAACCCUAAAAUAUUAUUUUAAAUUUAACUUUAUUUGCAAAGCAAUACAUUGCAGCCCCCUCUUAGAAAUAAAAGAAUGUAUGUCAUGGAGGCAUGCUGCCCACUGCUAUCUUUCUCCAAGACACGAUAGGACUUACCAGUGAAUGGUGAUAUUUUCUUUUCCCCUAUUAUAAACAUCGACGAUGAUCAUCUCUCCUUUCUUAGCAUAUAUAGUUGGUCUUGGAAAUUGUCCAUUUACUGUUAAGAUGUUCUUGGUGCUACAAAGCCUUGUAUAUGAAGCCUCCUUCACCUGCAACCAAUUAAAAGUUAACCAUGCAACCUCAUCCCAAAAGAAAUAUUACAAGCAUGAAUAGUUGCAUCGAUCCACUCAUGCAAGUGCAUAACCAAUUAGAAAUUGAAAGCAUGCAUGAACGACUCAAUGACACCAGGGUACCCGAAGACACCAUGAGGGUCAUACGGUGGAAAAUGAGAGCCAUACUGCUCCCUAAAUAUCAUGAACAAAAGAUGGCGUUAAGGCUAGAAUCAUAUAAGUAUUUACCACAAAAGUAAGCCGACGAGUUGAAGCUUGGCAAUGGAUGCCACCACCAAAAAGUAGAAACGCUAAAAUUUGCAGGAGGAAAACCUUCAUGAUCAGCCACAUCUUCUUUGGAAUAAAAGCCUCUUCUCUUGUCCUAAACACAACUCCUUCAAUUUUCUUACUAUUUCUAAUAAGCACGACUUAUCUUCUCUUUGACAUGAAUAGAUGAAUUCUUAAAGGUAUUUAUAGAGGCUGGAGAGGACCAAAACUGGAAUUGGUGAAAGCUGAACAGCCGGUUUCUCUCGAACUUUUGAUGUAUUUUUUUAAUAUAUAAUUCAUAAUCUAUUCAAGAUGAUUUUCCUGGGGUACAACAAUUCCUCGCCGCGUAUCAAUAUAAGAGAAGUAAUUCGAAUGUGUAUUGGUUUUUAAAACUUUGACCUCUCAUAUAUACAGUACCUUUAUCAAGAUUAGUCAAUAUUUUUUCUUUGUUUUUGGUAUGAAGGGAAAAGUCAGCGCUAUAUAAUCAUAAUCCAUCAAAGAUACACUAUAUGCUACCAUGGGCGUACCGGCCAUUAGUAAUGGGCCAAAAUGUUCUCCAUGAUUAAAAAUAAAAUAUAAUCAUGGCAUAAAAAUGACCCUCAUUUUCAAGAGGUGACUUUCUCCUAGAAAGAAUUAAUUUCCUUUUUAUUUUCUCAUCGGGAGAAAGUUGGAGACUCACAUUGUUUAUAUUUUUAUAAUAGUUUUAGUUUAGUUUUAAAGCUUCCAAAAACUUCUCCCUUAUUUUUAUUUAUUAGGUUGGCUCAGUCCACUUGGGUACCCAAAAACAAACCCAAUAAAUAAUUAUUUAUUGAAUUGGGUCAAUCCCAAUAUUUUCAUAACCGAAUCAGACAUUGAAUUAGAAAAAUUAUCGAUUCAUAGGUCACUGGUCAGACUAGUGACCGAACCGGUGACAUCAUACAUACAUAAUUUAUAUUUUAUUAAAAUUAAAAAUAAUUUUAAAAUAUAUAUAUAUAUAUAUAUAAUUAAAAAUUAAUAAUAUUUGCAAUAUUAUUUAUUCAUUUUUAUAUAAAUGUAUUAAUAUUGUUAAUUUAUUAAACAAAAUAUACAUAAUAUUUAAAUAUGAAAAUAUAUUAAAAUGGGUAUAUAUAUAGGUAGUCUUUGAGUCAACAUGCAUAACAAGAUUGGACAUCAAUUAAUUCAUUUAAUAAUUAUGUUGAUUAGUUUAAUUAUACUUUUUAAAAUAUUUAACUCAUAUUUGACACAUUUUAAAUUUGAUUUUAAAUAAAUAGGUUAAUUGAGUCAUAAAUAUAUUAGUCAUAUAAAUUAACACAAGACCUAACUCUACUUAAUUAUUAAAUGGGACAUAUGAGUUACACGAUAUGUUACUUGUUUAGUAAUUAUGUAGUAUUUUAGGUUUACGUUUUUAACCAGAUUAUUAUUCGUGUCGAGUUUGACACAACACAAAUAUGACCCACCAACACAAAUUGUAACCCCUAAGCUUGUUCACUCAAAAAGUAAAUUUAUACUAAUAUUUAAUUACCUAGUUUAAACUAGUAGGAAUAUUUUUAAAUUAUUGCUUAGUUUUUUUAAAAUUGUUAAUAUUGGUAUAUGUAUAUAGUUUCUCUAAAGACAUUCCAUUGAUGUAGAAUUCCAAAUAUAAUUUGUCUAUAUAAAUAUAUCAUAUAUUUUUAAUAAAUAUAUAUAUUGUAAGUUAAAUAUUAUAUUGUAUAAUAUGUUGUACUAUAUGCAUAACUACUAUAUUACUAUUUUACAAAAUAAAAAAUACACUAUAUAAUAGUAAUAUAUUAUAUACAUAAAAAGUUUUUGUGUAAAGUAUCCAACCACAUUUUAAUUAAUAAUUGAUUAUUUUAUUUUUAAAUAAUCUAAUUAUGUAUUUAUUAUUUUUAAUUAUUAAUAACUAUUUUUUCAAAAGUGAUUUGUCAUUAAAAAUAAAAUCAUAAAUUAUGUCAUAAAAGUAGUAAUUGUUGUAGAUGCUAAUUUGUUAAGGAUUAUUAUUAUUAUUUUUACUUGCAUACAUUGUUUAAUAAAAUAUUUAAUUUAAGUUUUAAAUUCCUUACUUUAAAUUUUCAAUUUUAUUUUUAGUCUAAUUUUUAAUCUAUAAGUUCUAAUUUUUAAUUUUUAAUUUUUAAUUCCUAAAUUUUAAAGGGGAAAUCAUGUAACCAUACAUCACCAAAAAAAAUAAAUGAGAUUUUUAGAACUUUGCUUUUACCUUUUUAAUUUUAAUGAAGAUGAGAAAAAAUAUUACCUAUUCAUGUACUUCAAUAGUGCUUUCAGAUUUGUUCCAUAAUUACCCUCAAAAGUAAAUGACAAAAUACACAUCACUUUAAUACCACCUAUUGACAAGUACAUGAAUAAUUUAUUUUUCUUAUUUCUCUCACAUCAACUCCCUCACAUGUCUCACUUACCACUUGCCCCAUUUCCACUUUUUUCUUUUUUCUUUCUUUCUUUUUUUCCCCUCUUUUACCACCAUAAUCCAUAGUCACCUAUUAUAUUUUUCAUUCCUAUUUUUUUUUCCUUUGAUAUUCUUUUUAAUAUGCUCAUAUAUUUUCUCAGCUCAAAAUAUAUGUUAGCUCUGCAACUAAGGUCUUAACACUUAAUUUGGAAAAGGGGGUUCCUUUAUAUAGUAUAAAUCAUAUCAUAUCCUAUUAUAAGGUUGUGCAUCUUGGUUCAUUAAAGAAUUUGGGGAGUAUUCCCUUUAGACCUAGCCAUGAAAGCCUAAGAAUGCUUGACAUUUGCAUCUGGAUGCCUAGUUGGGUGCAUGCAACACAAACCGUGAGUCCAUACACUUAUCACUUGAGUGAUUCUACCCAAACUUAGUCAACUUAUCUAGUAUCCACUACUCCUUAGGCAAAAGAGAAACUAUAAGCAUUGUUGUUAGAAUUUACAUAUCAACCUGAUAAACCAUGAUCAUGCCUUUUAAGGCCAUAAAUCUUAAACAAUAGUAAUCGAUAAACAACUUUUCAAAAUCAUCACUUGCCUUGACUUAAACAUUUAGGGCUUAGUUCCUUUUGCUCUUUCUUACUCGACCUCUUACACUAAUGACUCAAUACGGAAGUCAACUCUUUGUCAGGGGCACAUCUCAACAAUAGUAUAUAUUCCUAACAAUCUAUUGAGCAUUGUCUAACACAAACCUACCCAACUAAUAGUUCCUUCAUGAAGAGAUGGUUGACCUCAACCCUUUUAGUCAACCUACCAUGGAGUAGCAACAUAAACUAUGUCUCUUCCCACACUCUAGUUCAAUUAGCUUUCAACUCUCUCCCAACCUCCAUCUCUCAUCUCAGCCUAUAGGUAAUCCAUGUUUGUCAACCUUCAUUCAGUUAAGAUCUAACUUAAUCUUUGGAGAGGCAUAGCCAAGAUUCACUUUCAAUACCCCUUAGUGCAAGUGCUAGGUGCUAUAGGCAAAUAGAUCAAUCACCACCUCUAAGAAGAAUACUGUUAGAUCACAUCACUCAUGGACCCUAGCUCAAGAGUUUGAGCACCAGUAAUAACUAUGAAAUAACAAGGGUCAAAGUGUAAGAGAUUUAUUUUAAAGAAACAAAAAAUUAAGUAAACAUAAUAAGCUUAGCAUGAUUAAUUAUCAAUUAAUUAUAUAUAUCUAUAUAUAUAUAUAUAUAUAUAUAUAUAUAUAUAUAUAUUUAAUAAAGAAGUUCCAAGUCUGAAACCAUUGUUUAUCUAUAGCCCUUUGGCCUUGUCAAUAUGAAACUAUAUUACAAAUUUAAAUAAUUUCUCAAUGUUUACAUGUGAGACAUUAACAUUGGUUCGAAAAUUACAAAAAAAAAAAAAAAAAAAAAAAAAAAAACAAGGUUAUUUGGACACAUGACUCAAAAUAACUCUCAAAUUAUAAAAAUGGCCCCUCACACUUUAAUUUUGUCGAGAAAUAACUCUUUCUGGAUGCUUUUACCCUUCUUCAUUUUCUUUAUUAUAAAAAUCAUUAUCUUUUAGUAACUGUCUUAUCUUUCAAAUAACACAUUCUUGCUUUCAUUUUAGAUGUUUAUCUAGAUUAAAUAAAUACACAACAGUCAAGUUUGAUUUACAAAAAAAUUUAACUAGAAUUAAAUUCAUUUACAAAUAAUUUAACUAUAGUCAAGUUUUCCAUUUCACCAACAAAGAGCUUGAUUAUAAUGAUAUGAACUUUGUUGUUAUUAAGUUUUAUUUUUAAAAAAAUUUAAUUAGAGUUAAUUUAACAUUUUAUCUACCAAAAAACUUAAUUAUAAUUAAUUUCUUAAUUAAAAUAUUCAUAUGGACUUAAACAUUAAAUGAAAGGAUUAUGUAAUCUCAUCUUCACAUUUUAGAAGUUUAAAUGAAACUACAAAAACACUUAACAAAAAAUAGUAAAAAUUACCACUAAAGGACAACCUCAAAAAAUCCUAACAAAAAUUCCACUAGAAAAAUCCCGACCAAAAAUCCUAGUUGGACAUUGCAAAUAAAUAAAAAUAAAUAAAUAAAUAAAUAAAGACAACCAAAAUCCCAACAAUACAAUUGCGAAAAAUUCUAACAAAAAAUAGCUACAAAAAAAGAAUAAAAAAAAACUAUAAAAUCUCAAUAAAAAAAAUUAUAAAACAACCAUAAAAAAAUACUAACCAAACACACACACACAUAUAAAGGAUAAUGAAGGAUCUUGAAGAAGACCGCAAUAAAACAACAAAAUCUCAACAAAAACCAAAUCCAAAUAAAUAAAAAAAUGCCACUGUUUGAUUAUUGUUCACUAUUUUCAAUUUUUAAAAAUAAGGUGAAAUAAUGAACAACUUUUAGAGAACAAGUAAAAGUUGUUUCCACCAAUUUUUAAAAAUAAUAGAAAAACACACACUCUAUUAUUUAUCUUCUAUAUAGAAUUAUUAUUUCUCAAUUCUUUUUUUGCUAGACAACUUAACUCCAAAUUAAAUAAUUCUUAAAUAAUAAACUCAUUAAUACCAUAAAUUUAUUAAGAUAAUAAAUAUAAUUUUUUCUAACAUAUAAUAAAAUAAUAUAUUUUCUAUUAAAAAUAUAAUUUAUGAUUUUAUUGUCAUAUUACUAUUUAUAUUUUACUAAAAACUAUAUAUUUUUUAAUUUAUUUGUAAUUACAAAAUUAUUUUCAUUUUCAAUAACACUUCACUUAAAUUUAAUUAAAUAAAUGUUAUAUAAAUUGAAUUUAAAAUGUUUUUACAAAAUCAAAACAAAUUUAAAAAAAAAUAAAUAAAAAACAAUUUAUCCAAACAGGUCUUUUUGUUUUUUAUUUUUAAAAUCCUUUUAUAAAAACAACUUGACAAAUAUUCUUAUUUUUAUAAAACAUUUAAAAACUUUUUUUGGUUCUUUGACUUAAAAACAAUUUCUCAAAAAAAAAAAAAAACAUAAGAAAUCAUGAUCAAACAAGAAUUUUAAAAAAAAAUUAAUUGAAGUACUUAUUUAACUUGUAUUAAAAAUGAAUAUUUAUAUCAUUUUUAUCUUAUAGUAAUUUUCACUAUAAUAAUAAAAAAAAUUAUUUAUCUUUAACGUAUACAUAUUUGUAGAUUUAAUUUUUAUUUGUUAAUAAGACUUAACUUAAAUUUGAUUUCAUAUUAUUAUAAAUUAAAUUUAUAAAAUUUUUAUAAAAUAAAAGUAAGACAUUGCUUUUAAAAACAAUACACAUUCUUUCAUCCAAACAAGUUUUUUGUUUUUUGUUUUACAAAAACUAUUUUUAAAACAUCUUAUCAAACACUCUUAUUUAAAAAAAAAAGAAAAAAAUUAAACUGUUUUUUGUUCUCUAUGUGAAAAAAAAAAUUAAUCAAAAUUUUAAAAAAUAUUGCCAAACGGGCCCCUAAGUUAUCCAAAGAUAAUUUUUUUUUUUAAUAAAAUAGAUCCAAUAAAACAUUUCCAUUAAAUAAGAAAAGGGACCCAAAAUUUUCUUUUAAUAAAAAUAAGUUUUAGACAUUUUUUUAGAUAAAAUAGUUCAAAUUUUUUGUUUUAAUAAAAGAAAUAGUUCAGAAUUUUAAAAUAAAUAAAUAAAAGGUUCAAAAAUAUUUUUUUCAAAUAAAAUAAAAUAGUCCAUGCUACUUCAAAAAAAUAUUCUUUUUAAUAAAAGAAAGUUUUCUUAAUAGAAAGUUCAAAUAAAUGUUUUUAGAAGAAUCUAGAAAAAGAAUAAUAAAAAUUCAAAUAAAUAUUUUUAAUAACAAGCUAUCUAGAAAUUCAUUUGUUUAACAAAAGUUUCUAGAAAAAAUUGAUAUUUAAAUAAAAUUGUCCAAAAAGUUAAUUUUAAUAAAAUUGUCCAAAAUUGAUUUUUAAAUAUAAUUCUCUUUCCUUGAUAAGAAUGGGAUUAAAAGUAAUUUUUAUAAAUAGAGGUCCUAAAGAAUUUUUUUAAAUAAGAAUAGUAUGAGUAAACCUUUAAAUCGAACUGAGAGACCUUUUUUUUUAAUAAAUUGGAAAACUAAUCUCCCGCUAGAUGAAAUCCAAAAUUCUUUCUAAAUAUAAUUGGAAUCCUUGGGAACAAAUUUGUGAAAUUCUUUCUCUAAAUAAGUUAGUAAUAAAGAAUCUUUUUCUAGGUAAAAUAAAAUAUAUAUAUAUAUAUAUAUAUAUAUAUAUAUAUUUAAUAAAAUUGGGUUGAAAUUCCUUCUUAUAAAUUUGUAAAUAUCUUUCUUUAAGUUUGUAGAUUUUUUUUUUUCAAAUAAAUAAAGAUUGAAUCAAAACACUUUUUAAAAUAAAUAUGUAAAACUCACCCCUCUUCUUAAUAAGGUAAACAAAAAUCAUUUCUUAUAAAUCAAAUCUUUUGUAAUCAAUUGAAGCCUUGUGAAUAAAUAAAUUAAAAUCACUAAUUUGAAAUUGUUGUUAAAAUAAAUGAAUUCUUUGAAAAUUUCUGGAAAUUGUAUUAUGAUAUUUGAAAUAAUAAAAUCUUUCUAAUAAAUUAUUUUGUGCAUUUCUCAUGUAUCAUUUCCACGUAUCCUUAUAAUUUGCUUUUGCAUUAUUUCAUGUACUUGUACUAUUCUUUAUAUAUAUAUAUUCCUUUUACGUGCUUAUUAGAAACCUUUUUAAGGCUUGAAGGGGUGCUACCCUAUGGUAUCUGCCCAAUAAAUAACCUGACCUCUAGAUUUGGACUCGAUUUUUACCGACACAUCUUUUCUUUAAAAAGGAGUAACAAUAGGGCUUUAUUUCUUUUCUUUUUUCUUUUAAAAAAAAUAAAAAAUGAGUGAUGACUCCAACUUUAAAAAAUAAAAAAUAAAAAAUAGUUUUUUAUAAUAAAAACAAGUCUCACCAUCAAGUGGGAAUGCACAUGAAAAAUGACAGUUCACAAUUGUAUUUCUUAGACUUAAAAUAUAAUACAAUUACUAAAUCAACAAAUGUCGUAAGUUUUUAAAUCUUUGAUGAUACAAGAUUCAAAGUAUAAUGGAACAAAUAGUUUUCAAAAGAAAACAAAUAUUUAAAAUGGAAAAUCUAACAAUAAAGACAAUGAAACAAGGUGAUACAAUAGGAGUUAAAUAGAGAAAUCUUUAUUCCACGAAUUUAUAGUUUAUUUAGUAGAAAAAAGUUCAAAAGAAAUAUUGUAUACAUUAAUGGAUUAAGUAGAUAAAAGGGAUUUAAGUAAUUUGACAUUUAUGCUUUCGUUAGAUAACAUCAAAUAGAUAUUUGAUAUUAUUAGUUUCCAUAUUGACUUUAGAAAUCUAUCAAAUGGAAGUUAAGAUUAUCUUUCUUUGAAUGGUUAUAUAAAUUAAUAGUAUAUAGGGUAACCUAAAGGAUUUAUGACAAGAACACAAAAUUAGGGAUAGAUAUCUACAUUUAGCUAGGUUGGAUUAUAACCAAUCCAAGAAUCAAAUAGAAGUUGAUUGGUUUUAACUAAAGUAUAACAAAUUUAUUUAUUGACUCAAGCUAAUCCAACUUAAUAUUAGUUUGAUUCAAUUUAGUUAACUCAAUUUAGACCAAAAUAUUAAGUCUAUAUGUUUUUUUAUCCACGGAACCAAAAUGAUCAAAUUGUUUUAGAUAAAAAUAAUUUUUUUUUUUACAAAUAAUACAAUUAAAAAAUUUAAAAAUAAUGUGUAGGAGCAAACCAAUGGGUUAUUUUCUUAUUGGGAGUAAGUCAAUGAAUAGUAUUCUUGACAUAUUGGGUGCUUGUGACUUGAAAUUAUAUAUCAUCAUUAUUUAGUCCCACAGUACAAAGAUUUUAAAUUUUAGAUCAUGCUUACGCCAUAAGCCACUUUAAAUUUGUAAUAAAGCCACAGGAGUUAGGCUCUAGGCAUCCAACACCAAACUAUAGCCUAACAAGUUAGCUUUGGAAGAGCAUGAUUUGACUCAUAAAGUCUCAAGAUUCUCCACAACACUCCAAAAUCCAAGAAAUUAUAUUUGUUCCACUCCUCUACUACUUGGGUUUGUUUGCCAAUCCACUUUUAGUAAGUGAUCUAGGUCAAACCUUUCAUAAUCCAAAUACUUAAACUAGUUUGAUCUCUAGUUUCAUUGCACUACCAAAAUAAAGUAAUUCAAGUAGAAAAAACCAAUGGCACAUGCAAGACAAGUUUUGCUGUUGGGGAGGUUUACAAAUAGCUUGUGGAAACCUUUCCUAGAAUAAUUUGAGACAAAUGCAAAUGGGGUUCCUAUGAACUAUUAUGCAAGGCUAGUCAGGCUUAUCUAUCAAACAAUGGAAAUUGAAGAUUUGGGGACCAAAUGAAAGUAAUCAAGUUUGAAGUUGAUGGAAUUGCUUAUUAACUCAAUAUGGAGGCUUAUCUCAAGCACCUUCUCAAUACAAUGCUUCGAGUCAAUUAACUACAUGCAUGCACUAAAGACUUCCACAACAAAGAAAAUUUUGCAAGAAUAAUCUAAAGAGCUACUACAACAGAGAAUGAUCUUCUGAACAUAUGUAAUUGAUUGUGCAUUAAUUAAGAGGGCUUCUCAAGUUGGAUAAGUUGUUUAGAAUUUUUAAGAGGGAAUUUUUAAACUUCACUGAAUUGAUCUAAGAGACAUUUACCAAGUUUUAUCAUGAUAAUAAAGUAUUGAGGAGAAAAUGUACCACCAAAACCAAGUUGUAUUUGCUAAGAAUACUUACUAUAUUCUAUUAAGAAAGAAACUAUCUAGUGGUAAAGGACAAGUUGAUAGUUUUAGUUCAUGAAGUUUUCACUACCCAAGCUAACAUCAAAAUCUAUUACAAGACAAAUCCCAAUAAGGUAAGAUAAAAGGCUGCACAGAAGGGACAUCUUGCUCCUUGUUGAAAAUCUCAUUCAAUUGCAAAUCUACCACAUCAAUAAUGCUCUCUUCUAUAAUUUUCUCAUACCCAAUCCACAAUACUAUUAUUAUACUUAUUCUGCAUGCUUUUUUUUUUCUUGCCUUUCUAAGUUAUUUUUUCUUUGGUUAUAGCAACAACUUCAUUGGUGUGUUAAAUUCUCUUAUAGGUAAUUCCUCAAACAUGUAAUAUCCUCAUUGUUGCUAUUAAGUCUUGCAGUAUGAAACGAAAAAUUAAAAUUCUUGUAUUCAAAAUCAAAUGGAAGCACAUGAAUUAAAAAAAUGCAAACACAAGAGAAACACUGAAAUCCAAUUACAAAGAGUAGUAUCAAAAUUUCCAUAUCUACAAAAUUCGGGUGUUAAGAUUUCUAAAAAUGAAAAAAAAAAAAAAAGAUUCAUUGAGAAAAGACCUACAUCGAAAAAAGAUCAAGGUGUGAGGUUAAGAGAGGAAUUCAACCCAUGCCUAACAUGGAUUCAAACAUAUUGACUAGAUUUGAAGAAUGCAAUUCAUCCAUGGGAACUUGUGUAUCUAAAGAGGGUUGGUUUUUGGAGGUACUAGAAGAUGGUUGGAGUAUGGUGAUAGUUGUUGAAAGGGUUAAUGGUGGUGGGAAUCCAUAACUACUGGUGAAGAGGAAGUUAGGUGUAUUGGAGACUUGAUGAGGAAGAUAAUGUGAGCCUAAUAAAAUUUCCUCCUACUUUUCCCUUCUCUUUCUCUCUUAUAUUCCUCACUAAUUUCUAAGGAAAGUAGAAAGGAAAAUAUUACAAUAUUUUCUUUAGCAUUUUCAUUUAUAUUUUUUUCCAUCAUAUUUCUCAUGUCACCCAAACUAAGGAAAAUAACUUUCCAUAGUAUUUUUUUGGUCCUUUCCCUUGAAUUUUCUGAAAACCAAACACAAUCUUUGUAAAUAAAAAUUAAGAACUACAACAAAUUGUAUAUUCUUCCUCUUUAUUCUUCCAUUUCUACAUCUACUACUCUAUUUGACAUCAUAUUUUUACUCGCUUCUUCAAUAAGCAUUCCUCCCUUUAUACAAAGUUAUCUUCGCACCAAUUCAUAAUAUAAGAAAGAUGAAUGAACCUUGGGGCAAGGUUGGACAACCGGUGGCAACUAGUCAAGGCUUAAAGUCAACUUUUGCUUGACUUUUUUUUGGCAUGGGCAGCGACUUGUGGACCCCUCUUUAGCAUGAAAGUGGCUAGAAUAUGUUAAGCUCUCUUAUUCGAUGGUUAAUGAUGUGUGAACCAUAACAAUCAUAGGUUGGGGAAUAUAUGGUAAUCAUGCAAAUAUCUAUCUAUCUAUGUAUCUAUCUAUCUAUCUAUAUAUAUAUAUAUAUAUAUAUAUAUAUGGUAUCCAAUUAUAUAAAAAGACAUUUUUCAACAUUUGAUAUAAGUAAAAAUUAAGAGGAAAAUAUUAAAAAAAAUUAUUAAACCUAAAAACAGGGACUUAAUAAUAAAAUGAAGCAAAAAGUUAAAAUUAAAACCAAAUAUUAAAUAUGAAUAUAGUUUAAGUAUUAAAAAUAUGAUUAUUUAGGUUUAAUCAUUGGGUUUGCUAGAGUUUAUAUAUAUAUAUAUAUAUAAACUUUGUAAAUUAAAUAUCUCUUUCUAUUAUUUAAAGGAAUCACUGAAAUGAUUGCAUGAAAGAUUUAUUUCAUAGCCUAAAAUAAUGAUAUUGGCAUUAUAUAUAUAUAUAUAUAUAUAUGUUUGUGUGUGUGUGUGUUUACUUUAAUGGUAGGCUGAUUUUUAGCCAUAAUAAUAAUAACUAUAUUAUUGUAUUAUUGAAAUAAAAAGGUUGUUGUCCUCUAAAUUUGAUUUGAAAUACAGGGGUUAUUUCUAACACUAAGAUGAUGUUUAUUUUUUUGUUUGAAUAGAAAAAAUUAAAAUAUUUGAUUUUGUUUAUUUUUUAUUUAACUAAAAGUAACCUGUUGAUAUCAACCAACAUAACUAAAGUGAACUUAUUAUUAAUAGGUUUAGUUUAGUUACGUUGGUUGAUAUCGGUAGGUUAUUUUUAACUAAAUAGAAAAAAUAAAAUAUUUUAGUUUUUUCUGUUCAAUAAAAAAGCAAACACAUCUAAAAUUAGAUAAUAAAAAUACUUUGAGUAGAAAUAAAUUCAUAUGGACCACUAUCAAAUACUAUGCACAAGGAGAAAUUCAGAUCCUCACUUGCUCUUUGAAUUUAAUGCAUUGAAUUUGAUGUUGCCUAAAACAAAAUUAUAUUUCAUGUUGUAUAUUAUGAGUAGACAACCAUUCCUUAUGUUAGAUUUUAGAUAAAGAAUGGAUAUUGGAGAUUGGAGUUGUAACAAAUUAGGAGAUCUUAAUUUUAAAUAUGUAACAAAGUUCUAUAAUUACUUCAAUCCAUGUUUUAAAAAUUGUAUUUCUUUCUAAUAUUGGAGCAAACUUUUUCUUUCUUUCUUAUAAAUUUCAUUUGGGAAUGAUUUUAAAAUAAAUAAAUAAAAGCCCUUCUAAAUAUUAAAAAGUAAACCUUUCUUAUAAAAAUUAAUUAGGUAGAUGGUAAGGUCAAAUUCAGGAUAGCUUCAUAUUUUUUGCUUUAACUGAAAAUUAAAAUCAAAAUUAAAGUAAUAAUUUUUAAGGGGUAAUAUUGAUAUUGUAAAAGUUCUAUUAAACAUGAAAGAACUUCUUAUAUAAAAAAAAAAUAGAAUUAUAAAAUUCUUAUAAAAAAUUACAUUUUGAUGACUUCUACAUGAAACCUUUUUUAAAAGUUAUAAGUUUUUUUUUUUAAAAAAAUAAUUAAAUAGGUAAAAAAUCUUUUAUUUAACUCUUAAGAGUCAAUCAUAAGGAAAUUUAAAUAUAUAUGAAAAUCACUUUUAAAAAUCCAAAAAAUCCCUUCAAAAUAAUUUCUAAACAUUUUUUUAACUUACAUUUAAAAAAUAAAAAGUAAAAAAUGAUUUGUUUUUACUAGUUAUUUAAUUUUAAGGAAGCAGUAAAGGGUUUACUUUGAUGUAAAAUAAAAGAUAAAUAAAUAAAUAAAAUGAGGGUUGAAAAGUAAGUAAAUCACUAAAAAAUAGACUUGGAGUUCCUUCGGUGUGGGGUUAGAUUCAAUUUGUCCCAUGCAAUGGAAAUGGACGAUUUUUUAUUUUAUUUCCUUUUCCUUUAUCUUGGUGUAGUCUUGUGAUAUUGUUACUAAAAUAGGAGGUAAAAAUAUAAAUUAUAUAUCAAUUAUUUUAAAUUUAGAAAAAAAAAAGUGCUUAUUUUAAUUUGAAAUAAAUAAAUAGAAAAAAACUGAUUUUAUCUCAAUUGAAUAAGACUUCAUAAAAAAAUUCUUAUUUGCAAAAUAUUUUGAGUUGUAACAGUAAAAAUUAAACAAAACAUUUCAUGACCUUUUUCACAAGUAUCCAUUUAGAUCACAAUCUAAUUUUUAAAUAUUUGAAUAAUUCAAUUACUCUAAACUAUAUCAUUUAUAAUUUUUUUUAUUAUUAAUAUGAUACCUAAGCUUCUAUAGAAUUGGAAUAAAAUAUGGAUAAGUAAAAAAUGUCAAAUGAAAGAUAAUUUCAAACUUUUCUAAUACAACAUGAUAUUUUAUCAUGUUCAAUAAAAUUGGAAUGGGCAAAAGUUGUCAAAUCAAGACUUCCAUGGCAAAUUCCAUUGCAUAUCUCAAAGAUUAUUCUACAACAUUAUCUUCGUAGACUUUUAACAAUCCAAGAAAUUGAAAAAUUAUAUAAUAAUCCCAAACACAAUAUUCUACAACUUUACAAUAUUCUACAAUUUUGUUGAACAAAAAAUAAAUAAUGAAAUCUGAAUAAUGCAAACAUUCAAUGAAAUCUUUGGCAUGUUAAUUCUUUGCAGCUUCAACAUGGUGGCAUGUCGGAUGGCGGAGGCAGCAUUUGAGCUUCUGGGUGUUUACCAUUUUUCACUAUGAACGCAGUUUCCAUGCCCCAAGUCACAUGGCGUUCUACAUGGCAGUGCAUGAACCACACUCCUGCAAUAGAGAAAAUAUACCAACAUUACACCUAACUUAUUGCAAUAUUAAGAAAAAUUAUUUCAAGGGUUUUUUUUUUAAUAGAGGAUGUGAGUGCUUGCAACAUACCAGGGUUGGAUGCCUCGAAUCUGAUUGCAACCCAACCAUUCGUAGGAACGGAGAUGGUACUCUGAAGGGGAGGAUCCACCAGAUUAUAGCGCAAAGGGUCCCUAUUUUUAUCAAAAUUCCCAAAUCCCCAUCCAACAAGGUAGAAACUGUAUCCAUGGAGAUGCAUGGGGUGGUGUGUCCCUGCAACCAAGUUUGUCCCUUGAAAAACAAUCUCCACUGUGGAGUUAUACUCGAGCACCCUUACUUCUGUUCCGAUUUCUGGCGUCUGAUACUCUAAUGGAAGAUAAUCAGCUGUAAAAUCGAACACUAGUGGUGGAACGCUAGGAAAUUUAUCUCCAUAUACACCACUGAUGUUAUAAUAGUAAGCUUGUAGUAUGUCAAUUGUAGGGGAUUGGAAGCUUAUGUUGUUUAUACUUGCGGAGAAUCGCGUCCCAUUGGGCCCUGCACAUGAAUUAUUGGGGCAUAGGAACGAGUUUACAGAAACAGUGUAAAUCAGUUUAGUGCUCGGGCUCAAUGGGACAUUGGAAGGAUGUUCCGCAUCUGCUAAGCUUCGGAGGCCAGCCAUGACCUGAACCGAUGCAUUUGUGUCAUUAUAUGCAGGAAAAUGAGGCAAGGAGAGAGGUGAAGAUGGAGUGUAGUAUCCUCUGUACUGUACAAUAGCUGUGGUGGUUGUGUUAUCAUAAAAAUUUUGAGCUACCGGGGCAAUGGAAUAAGUUUUAGCCGCCAUGUAAUAGUGAUCUGGGAGUUGGUUAGCUUCUAGUAAGACGUCGAAGGUUUGGCCAGGAUAUAUUGUGAUAUAAUCUCGUGUCAAUGGUUUCGUGUAGCUACCAUCUGUUCCAACCACUGUCAUUUUAUGCUUGGCAAUGGAGAAGAAGAGAGCCUCAUGCAAGGCAGCAUUGAUUAUGCGAAGUAGAUAGGUCUUUCCAUGAUCCACUCUUAGCUUGAAUGUGCCUGCAAUUAGAAAGGAAAAGUUGUAUACUUAUGACUAGCGAAAAGAAAAAAACAUUCCAUGAGCAUCCACCAAUUAUGAAGUGAUUGAUUAAUUAAGGGUGUAAAUUUGGCUCCAUAGUUCAAAAUUAUAUUUGGACUAGCCUUUUCUUAUGUGUUAAGUCAUGGCUCUACCAUCCUCAUAGCUAUAUUCCUCUUUCUUAGCAUUAAGUUUUAAAUAUGUUUAUAUUAAUAAGAAAAAGUAAUAUGGUUAACAUACAAGAAAAUGACAUCAAUGCACAAUUUUAAAAUGGAAAGUUAAACUUUAUACCGGAUUUUGAGCAUGGAUAUAGAUCACCGGGUUGUCCAUUUAUCAAUAAAGAAUCAGAGGCAUUAGGGUCAGCUCCGGUUGCAAGCCCUUCAUC
rnacentral:lncRNA from 1 species